rnacentral:lncRNA from 1 species
GUGACCAUAAUGUGGUGGCUUCUCUCCCUUAGGUGGUUUGCCAACUGGGGUUGGUGGCUUGUGUUCUGGGAGUGGCUUCUCCCCCUUGGGAGGUUUUUCCAAUGGGGUUGGUUUGUGUUCAGGAGGUGGCUUCUCCACUGGAGGCUUGUGUUCAGGAGGUGGCUUCUCCACCGGAGGCUUGUGUUCAGGAGGUGGCUUCUCCACCGGAGGCUUAUGCUCUGGUGGUGGCUUCUCCACCGGAGGCUUAUGCUCUGGUGGUGGCUUCUCGAAUGGGGGAUGCUUAGGGUAAUCAGCAAGUGAGGGGGCGGUGAGAACCACCAGGCCAAGCAAGACCACUAGCAAGUAUGUAGGAGACAUCUUUGGGUUUAGACUCAGAUGGUGCAAAACUAGGAGAAUUGUCUUUUAUAGCGGAUCGCACCCAAUAAUGAAAUGACACGUGUCUUUAUGACCCAUGUGUAAUGGGGUCGAUUUGGGUCCUACAGUGUUGAAAACUUCGACAUCCACUUUUGGCCUUUUGCUUUCUCUACAGCCGCCUUGCUUUUUCCCUCUUUCCUUUUGUUUUCCUCCUGCCCCAUUCUAUCAACUAAACACAAUUAUGUAGUUGUUUAAUUCUUAAAUGAGAUAUUAUCCGUCAAUCGUAUCAUAUUUUAUCAACAGAGAACGGAGUGCAAUGUGGCAAUCCAAAGAAAGAAGAUCCAUAAUGCAGCUGUAAUUUUAUCGUUUACUUUUAUCUCUUGGACCACUGCAUUUUUGUUAAGAGGUGCAAUAAUACACGUCUUUAUCUGCCAUUCAAUGUUUACAGUAAAGAGAGGGCACAAAACUCUUCACUGCUCUGCAUGUGUCCCAAAAAUGCAAUUGGACAAAUUAUGAUUUGCAUGCUAAAAAGAGGCAAAUGAGGUUAAUUCGCACCAUAAUUAUUUUGUUUUCUGGACCCCGGGGCCCUUUGGUUGGUUUGGGGGUCAGAAAAUGAACAUCAUAGGGGGUUUUUCCCUUAUGUGCAUUUGUAUCUGAUGGCUUUAACUCGCCUUGUUACUACAAAGAAAUUGUCACAUAUAGGAACUUAUUCCAGGCUGAGUAUCUCCGCAUAGACCCUAUAAAAGAAGACAAGUCAUAAUGAACAUCUAACCUUUGUUCAAUUUGAUUCAAUGCCCCAUUGUGUCCACCUCACAAAUCUGAAUUAUUAUAUCCAUUGAAUACAUAAAUUAAUGAAGAAAAUAUGAAACCCAAGAUACAUCUCUGCACAACCUCAACCCUGGUUGCUAUGUUUCCCUUCUAUUCACAUGAGGAUAUUGAUUACGGAAUAGGGAAACCUAGCAAGGGUUUACUCGGCUCUGGUUUGAUGCUAAUUGCCAAACUUGCAACAAGCCCUGAGUUUGAAGCUCACAGAAGAUGUUAUACAGGCAGGGAAAAACCUUCAGAGUUCGCUGCCAAAGAUAAUUAUUAAGGAGAUAUCACCAAGAGAAUUCCAAGGAGUCUGAAUCAAAGACAAAUUGGUCGUUCGUGGAGGUUCUUACUUUCUUUUGGGUAUAACUCACUGAGGGCACUGUCUUUUUUAUUUUCAUUUCACAUUUAGAGUUCUGUUCUGGAAACAUAUAAAAGGAGCAUCAGUUUGUUCUUGGGUAACCCAUAGUCGUGAGUGGGUCCAUUUGCAUGCUACUUAGUUGAAAAGUUGGACCAUUUGCUCCGACGCCUACCUCCUGGAUUCCAUGCUCGGAUAAAACAAGAAUAAAAAAAUAUUUAUAAUUUACAAAUGGGGGAAAGAAAAAAAUGUCAACAACAAACUAGGAAAAAAGAGUAGUAAAAUUCAUGUCACAUGCUAGUGAGAGAAGGGGUUGUUACACUCACUCGAAGUUCUUUUCAAAAUAUCGCAUGGUAUUUUAUUUUAUGUGUGAGCGCAGUUGUGAAUGGAACGUGCAAAAGUCCAAAUUGGUGACCUUUAAUAAAUAUUUAAAACAAAAAACGAAAAAAAGGAGGGAAAAGGGAUCAGAAAAGAUAAAACAAUGUGUACAAAAGCUCAAUUAGUUUGCAAAUUACUGUUUGGAUUUUGAUAGUAUUUUAUUUGAUGUAAAAGAGAAUUUAAGAUAUUUCCGAAACAAAAGCAUUAGUUUGCUCCAUGUCAAUUUCGGCAUUUCUCAUAUGUUUCACACAUACACAGAAGAGCAUCGUUUUUUAAAGCAUGCAUUUAUGUUGGAUUAAUUUGGAUUUUGUGGGAACUGGGGCAAGGAUCACAUGGAAGAGAGGUUGACUUUUUUCAGUACUUCAAUGGUUGAGACAGGUGAAGGCCUGAUUGAUACUGAAGCCUGAAAUUGCGACUCCGUCAUUUGUCAAAACAUAUGACAGCUUCCAUGCUCUCGUUUGGUUGCAUUGUUCUGUGGUCAUGCAUACAUGCCACUUAGUGAUCAGUCUGUAACUGUCAAUCAUUGGGCUUUGACUGAACAACAUCAGCCAUGUAUAAAUACUUGCAAAUCAAACGGUCUUCUUCCUCCCAUAAGGAAUUUCGGUUUAAUUAUGAAGCAUGCAUUUGGCUGACCAUCAUAAACCACUUCUUUAAAUUGAUGAAUGAUAGUUUUUCAUUCAUUCUUUCAUUCGUUCAUAUACAGAGUAUAUAUAGAGGGUAAUCAUCAUUCUAAGAAUGGGAAAGAAUGAUACAAGGAAAUAAUGAUAUAAAGAAAUAACAACUAAUAUUCUAAUAUCUCAACUUUCCUAAUAUCUAAACAUUCCUAAUAUCUCAACACUAAAUGAUAUAAAGAAAGAAUGAUAUAAGGAAAGCAUUCCUAAUAUCUCAACACUCCUCCUCAAGUUGGUGCAUAGAUGUCAAACAUGUCCAACUUGUCUAAAAAUUUUGAGAACAGUUGACUUGAGACAUCUUUGGUGAGGAUAUCGGUCAAUUGAUCUUCUGAUCGAAUCUUAGGCAAUUCCACAAUCUUAUCAUCCAACUUUUCCUUAAUGAAAAAUCUAUCCAUCUCGACAUGCUUUGUACGAUCAUGUUGUACUAGAUUAUGAGCAAUGUCACAUGCUGCUUUAUUGUCACAAAACAAUCGGAUUGGUUGCCUAGAUAGGUAACCUAAAUCCUAUAAGAGGAGUCUUAGCCAUAAUGCCUCACAAAGUCCUAAAGUCAUACCUCUAAAUUCCGCUUCUGCACUUGAACGAGCGACGACAUUUUGCUUCUUACUUUUCCAUGUCACAAGAUUACCACCUACAAAGGUAAAGUAACCAGAUGUAGAUCGCCUAUCAUCCACUGCACCGACCCAAACAGCAUUAUACUUCUAUACUCUGAUGAUCAACAUUUUUAGCGAACAAAAUUCCCUUCCUAGGAGCAUUCUUCAAAUACCUCAAAAUACGCAUGACUACAUUCAUAUGUUGCUCUCCAGGAUUAUGCAUGUAUUGACUCACUACACUCAAUGUAUAAGCAAGAUCUAGUCUUGUAUGAGCUAAGUACAUUAAUCUCCCCACAAGUCUCUGGUAUCUUCCCUUAUCGAUUGAUACUUGAUUAGGCUCAACACACAAUUUCAGACCUUCUUCUAUUGGUGUAUUAAUAGGUUGACAUCCCGACAUUCCAGUUUCCUGUAGAAGAUCUAAGGCAUACUUUCUUUGAGACAGAAAAAUUCCUUCACUUGAUCGAGAAACUUCAAUCCCAAGAAAGUAUUUCAGACGACCAAGAUCUUUCAUUUCAAAUUCUCUAGAUAGAUACUUUUGCAAAGCUUUUCUUUCUUCAGGAUCAUUUCCUGUAACUACAUGUCAUCCACAUAUAUCAUAAGUGUCGUAAUCUUACCAUGUUGCUUUUUCAAGAACAAAGUGUGAUUUGAAUUACUUUGAUGAUAGCCAAAAGCUCUCAUUGAUUUUGUGAACCUUCCAAACCAUGCUCUCGGGGAUUGCUUCAACCCAUACAAUGACUUCUUCAAUUCGCACACCUUCUGACAUUGCUUUUCUGACACCAUGCAUCCUGGUGGAAGAUCCAUAUAUACUUCUUCAGAUAAAUCGCCAUGCAGAAAGACAUUUUUUACAUCGAACUAUUGUAAUGGCCAAUCUAGGUUUGCAGCUAAAGACAAUAAUACUCGAACUGUGUUGAUCUUAGCUACAGGUGCAAAUGUCUCUGUGUAGUCAAUUCCAUAAGUUUGAAUGUACCCACUAGUCUUGCUUUAAAUCGUUCAAUACUACCAUCUGCCUUGUACUUCACAGUAUAGAUCCAACGACACCCAACUAGCUUCUUUCCUGGUGGACAUUCUACGAGUUCCCAUGUUUCAUUUUUCUGCAAUGAUUUCAUCUCUUCAUUCAUGGUUGCUUUCCACUUUGGAUCAGCUAAAGCUUCCUGCACACUAUUAGGAAUAGCUACAGUAGAUAAUUGAUUUACAAAUGACUUAUUUGAUUCAGACAAACCAUGGUGUGGACCCGCAUUUUUCACGUGCGCCUCUACUCGAUCGGCGAGACUCGCUUUCUAUUUGUGAAAAAUUAAUUUUAGAAAAGUUGGAGUCGCCACCUAUUUUAUUUUUAUUUUGAAGGGAAAAUAAAACAAGAAAGAAAAACCCUAAAAAGUGACUCCAUAGUUUUGGAAAAAGCAUGUCUUUGGGAAACCUGAGUCUAGGUCCGGGGAUCAUGUUACUUAUUGGGAAGGUACCUCUAGGAGGUAGCACCCCUCUAAGCCUUAUGAAGGUCUCUACUAACUAAAUUAAGGGAAGUGUGGCAAUAAAUCGAUUGAUCAUAGAUACCUAAGUAGACUAGGUGAUUUUAAAGUGUGGCAUGUCAAACACAAUCAAAUUGCAAUAAAGGAGAGUUAGGGCGCGUACCUGAACCGCUUCUCAAGCGCUAUCAUAAAACAUCAAUGGUUAAUUUAAAUAAUAUAUCAUCCAGCAUGUAUUUUAUUAGAAAUAAUCAAACAAUGAAACAUGUAUAUCAGAACACUCAAGCAUUAUUAGACAUAAGCAUUAUUUCACUAUUCACAGAAUUCAGAAAGUAGGUGAUAGAGGACAUACCUGGAUAGCAUAGAUAAUUUGUAAUGUGCUUCCUCAAGUUGUAAGGGGUUAGAUAACAAAUAAUAAAAUAUAGAAAUCCUAGCAUGCUCGUUAUCUAAUUAGCAUAGCAAAAGUGAUCACAGUAUACAGAAUCAUCAAUUAUCACAUACAUCUUGUAUAUAAUUCCUAAAAAAAAUAGAUAGACAUGAUUUCAACAAGUGUCAAAUGUGGCAACAAAAAUAAAUUUUGAAAAGAUUUUCUUAUGUAGGGGUUUCACCAAUUCCCCAAAUUAAUAUACACGAAUUUAGCUUAGAAUUAUCCCAUUUAUUUGGGACUACAAGCUUUGAUUCGUGUUUUUGUUCAAAACCAAAAAUUUUUGUUGAAAAUCAAGAAGGAUGCGAACCGAACAAGAUAUGGUUGCAUAUUAUUUUUAAAUAAAUAAAUAAAUAAAUAAAGGAGAUUUUGAUCCUGAGGACUUUAAUGAGUUUUUUUUUUUAAAAUAGAUUUUUAAAAUGAUUUUUUUGAGAAAAGUAUUUUAUUUUAAAAUAAAAGGGAUUAAUUUGGGAAAAAAAUAAAAUAUAAGAAAUAAAAUACCAAACAAAACAAAAAUGAAACCUCAAAGUAAAAUUUUUUUAGUAAUUAACAAAAAUGAUAAUGGUGAUGGUAGAGGGCAAUCUUCAUGAUUUUCCAAUGGCCUCAGAAAGAAAAUCAAAUUAAAUGAAGGAUCACUAACAGGCAAGACAUUCUAAAUUAGACAAACUAACAAAGUAUCAAUUCAUGAACUAACCGCUAGGAUUUUGAAAGCAUAUAAGCUAAGAUAAGGGUGAUCAGGAACUAAUAUUAAUGAUUUUGAAAUAAAAACUAAAAAAAAGGAUCAAUUCGGGUAAGGAACUAAAAUUAUAAAAGUACCUAAACUAAUUAUGACGAGUUUGACUAAAUUAAACUAAAAACAUGAACUUUCAAACAUAGAAUUAAUUUUACUAAUGAACCAAAGCAAACUAAAAAUAUGUACUUUCAAGCAUAGAAUUAAUUUUAUUGAUGAACUAAACUAUAACAAAUAUCUAAACUAAAUAUAAUGAAUCAAAUUAAAUUAAAGCAACUUAAAAACGCAAACUUUCAAACAUAGAAUCAAUUUUAUCAAUGAAUUAAAACUAUAAAUGUAUUUGAACUAAAUAGAUGAAUCAAACUAAAUCAGAGCAAAAUUAAAAAAAAAAAAGAACUUUCUAACAUGAAAUCAAUUUUAUCAACAAAUAAAUGAAUGAAUAACAAGUAAUUAAAAGAAUAGCUACUACAUGAAUAACUGAAUGAAUAAAAUUCAAAUGUUUUCAAUCUGAAGCAAUCAAUCAAAAUUAAAUAGGGAUCAAAUCAAAAUAAUCGAAAUCGGAAAAACAAUAUGCAAUCUUUCUAAAGGUUUAACCAGACAAUUGAAUUAAAAUUAUGAAUAGAAUAAAUUAAUAAACCAAAUCGAAACCUAAAUUGUACCUAAAAAGAUUAAUUAAUUAAACUAAGAAAUCAAAAUCAAUAACAAAACUAAACUAAGGAGUAAAUUAAGACAAGACUAAUUAAAUUAAACUCACAAACACGUUUUAACUAUCAUAUGGAUUAAAACAAAAUUAGCAUGGACUUAUGAAUUACGAACAAAAAUAAUCAAAACUAUUUUAAAAAACUCACCUCUAUUAUAAGAAAAAAUCUGCCUUUGAUGCGUUGAGGUGGCUCCCCUCUCUGUGUGGAUCUCUCUGCUCCCCAGAAAAAAAAUGUCUCUUCCUCCGUUCUCUUUUGUUUCAGCAAAAUAAUAUAUCCCCUGCUGUGGAUCUCUCUACUCCCAGAAAAUAAUAUAUUCUCUCCGUGUCCUAAAGUGGACCUAGGGUGCCUAAGUGGACCUAGGGUGCCUAAAUGGGCCUAGGGUGCCUAAAUGGGCCAAGUGUAUCUAAAUAGGCUUAGGGUGCCUAAGUGGGCCUAAGUCUAAGUGAGCCUAAGUCUAAAUCAAGACUACCAAGGAUCAUAAUAAGGGGUUAGGCAAUCCCUUAACCAAAGUCUCCAAGGUGGCUAAAAAAAAGUAAGUAGUAUGAGUAGCUAUGGGUCACCAAGGAACUACUGUGGAGCAUUGAAAACGAAUUUAAAGACAUGUGCCAAAGGGACAAAAUUGAGGGUCUACAGAUGGUUAGACACAUAGUUGCUCAUGGGAUAUUUGACUUUGGUAAACAAUUCAGAUUCAUAUGUGGGUUUAGGAAUACCUUUAUUAUGACGGUGUGGUAAUCGUUUCAUGAAUGGAUCAGGUUGCAAAUUAAGAACACCCUCAGCAAACAACGAUUGGUUUGGUAUUUCAGUGAAGACAUCUUCGAACCCAAAUUGUUGACCACUCAUAUCCAACUCACCCGCUUCCUGGUUCACUAGUUCAGAUUGUCCAAAUUCAUCAUUCUCAUAGAUAUGAUAAUCAUAAUCGAGAGUCUGAAUUUCCUUAUGGUACUCCCCCUGAAGUUCAGACUUAGAUGAAAAAUACAUCGAAUAUUCAUGAAACAGCNNNNNNNNNNNNNNNNNNNNNNNNNNNNNNNNNNNNNNNNNNNNNNNNNNNNNNNNNNNNNNNNNNNNNNNNNNNNNNNNNNNNNNNNNNNNNNNNNNNNNNNNNNNNNNNNNNNNNNNNNNNNNNNNNNNNNNNNNNNNNNNNNNNNNNNNNNNNNNNNNNNNNNNNNNNNNNNNNNNNNNNNNNNNNNNNNNNNNNNNNNNNNNNNNNNNNNNNNNNNNNNNNNNNNNNNNNNNNNNNNNNNNNNNNNNNNNNNNNNNNNNNNNNNNNNNNNNNNNNNNNNNNNNNNNNNNNNNNNNNNNNNNNNNNNNNNNNNNNNNNNNNNNNNNNNNNNNNNNNNNNNNNNNNNNNNNNNNNNNNNNNNNNNNNNNNNNNNNNNNNNNNNNNNNNNNNNNNNNNNNNNNNNNNNNNNNNNNNNNNNNNNNNNNNNNNNNNNNNNNNNNNNNNNNNNNNNNNNNNNNNNNNNNNNNNNNNNNNNNNNNNNNNNNNNNNNNNNNNNNNNNNNNNNNNNNNNNNNNNNNNNNNNNNNNNNNNNNNNNNNNNNNNNNNNNNNNNNNNNNNNNNNNNNNNNNNNNNNNNNNNNNNNNNNNNNNNNNNNNNNNNNNNNNNNNNNNNNNNNNNNNNNNNNNNNNNNNNNNNNNNNNNNNNNNNNNNNNNNNNNNNNNNNNNNNNNNNNNNNNNNNNNNNNNNNNNNNNNNNNNNNNNNNNNNNNNNNNNNNNNNNNNNNNNNNNNNNNNNNNNNNNNNNNNNNNNNNNNNNNNNNNNNNNNNNNNNNNNNNNNNNNNNNNNNNNNNNNNNNNNNNNNNNNNNNNNNNNNNNNNNNNNNNNNNNNNNNNNNNNNNNNNNNNNNNNNNNNNNNNNNNNNNNNNNNNNNNNNNNNNNNNNNNNNNNNNNNNNNNNNNNNNNNNNNNNNNNNNNNNNNNNNNNNNNNNNNNNNNNNNNNNNNNNNNNNNNNNNNNNNNNNNNNNNNNNNNNNNNNNNNNNNNNNNNNNNNNNNNNNNNNNNNNNNNNNNNNNNNNNNNNNNNNNNNNNNNNNNNNNNNNNNNNNNNNNNNNNNNNNNNNNNNNNNNNNNNNNNNNNNNNNNNNNNNNNNNNNNNNNNNNNNNNNNNNNNNNNNNNNNNNNNNNNNNNNNNNNNNNNNNNNNNNNNNNNNNNNNNNNNNNNNNNNNNNNNNNNNNNNNNNNNNNNNNNNNNNNNNNNNNNNNNNNNNNNNNNNNNNNNNNNNNNNNNNNNNNNNNNNNNNNNNNNNNNNNNNNNNNNNNNNNNNNNNNNNNNNNNNNNNNNNNNNNNNNNNNNNNNNNNNNNNNNNNNNNNNNNNNNNNNNNNNNNNNNNNNNNNNNNNNNNNNNNNNNNNNNNNNNNNNNNNNNNNNNNNNNNNNNNNNNNNNNNNNNNNNNNNNNNNNNNNNNNNNNNNNNNNNNNNNNNNNNNNNNNNNNNNNNNNNNNNNNNNNNNNNNNNNNNNNNNNNNNNNNNNNNNNNNNNNNNNNNNNNNNNNNNNNNNNNNNNNNNNNNNNNNNAACCAAAGGAAGCAUGUUCCAGACGUCGAUGCCACAACCAAAUUUCAGACUUUUUCUUCUCCUCCUUAGAUCCAUCUGCCAUCAAGGCUUGUUGCAACUUAUUUGAAUCCUUUGAUUGCAAGUCCAAGUAUAGAGUUUCCCCCGCUUAAUACGACAACCAAUCGUCUGUCUUGUUUGAAUGUCCUUAAUCACACAAAAUUCAGGCCAAAAAAUGACAAUACAAGAUAAGGCUGCAGUGAUUUGAGAAACUAACAAAAGAUUGUAAUCUAAAGAUGGAACAACUAAAACAGAAUCCAAAUUCAAAGUAUCAGUAAGAGUUAAGGAUCCUUCCCCAAUGACUGGGGUUGUGUUACCAUUGGCUGUGGAAACAAUUUUUUGUGAGGAAGGUCUAAGGGGUGAAACCUGUCUAGAAUCAAAAGUCAUAUGAUCUGUAGCACCAGAAUCAAUUAUCCAUGCACUAUUAAUAACAGGUGUAAAAGUAUUUAAAAACUUACCACAAUGAUCUGUAGCGGCUACUAAUGCAGAGACUUUCUCAACAACAUUAGUCUUUGUUUUUAUUUCGGUAACAGUUGCAAUCAAGGUUUUCUUGGAAUUCUUCUUCCGUUGAUCACGAUUAUUAUCAUUAAUAACAAAGUGUUGAUAGCCUAAACAUGAUCUAAAGGUCCAUGGUGCAAACCCUCGGUUCCUCAUUGUUUUCCUGGUCAUACCAAGAGUUGUUGCUUUGAAAUUGUGGGAUAUCCAGACUGGUGGGAUCAGUUUUAUUGCAGUGAGUGCAUUUGAAUGUUGACUUAUCAAUAUUAGGGCUUGUCUUCGGAUGGUUGAUUGCUGUUGGACUACCAUAGCGACAAAAUAUCCAGGAUUUCAAUUCCAGGGCUCUGAUACCAUCUUCAAAUUGAUGAAUGAUAGUUUUUCAUUCAUUCUUUCAUGUACAGAGUAUAUAUAGAGGGUAAUCACCAUUCUAAGAAUGGGAAAGAAUGAUACGAGGAAAUAAUGAUAUAAGGAAAUAAUAACUAAUAUCCUAAUAUCUCAACUUUCCUAAUAUCUCAAUAUUCCUAAUAUCUCAACUUUCCUAAUAUCUAAACAUUCAUAAUAUCUCAACACUAAAUGAUACAAGGAAAGAAUGAUAUAAGGAAAACAUUCCUAAUAUCUCAACACCACUUCAUGAUAUAUAUAGUUUCUUACCCUUAAUCAAUGGUUUCUAAGUGAAUUUAUAUAGAAAGAAAUCCAAACUGUAGACAGCAGUAUUGGUAACACUCAAUAUUCUGUAUAUAAUAGAAUAAAUAGCGUCACAGUGAUCGUCGCCUACAAGCAAGGUACAAAUACCACAAAGAGUGACCCACAUAGACAUUCCCCAACAAGAUGUAGUAGUGACUGACACAUAGCCACAAUUAACACGUAGAAAAGGAUAAGACCGGUGCACAGUAGCUCUUAUUUUACAUACUACUUAUGCCAACCAAAGUCACUCAGUUGGGAUGGGAGGGAGAUGGAGGUUUGUGCGGUGGCUUGUGGGGCGGAGUUGAUGGCUUCUUUCCAGGAGCUUCUGGCUUUUUCAUCGGAGCUGAAGGAGGCUCAAUCUUAUGAGGCGGCUUGUACGAGUCUUCUUUGCUCUCGAAAGGAGGGUGGCCAGGGUUGUGACCAUAAUGUGGUGGUUUCUCUCCCUUGGGAGGUUUACCAAUUGGGGUUGGUGGCUUGUGUUCUGGGAGUGGUUUCUCUCCCUUGGGAGGUUUAGUGGGUGACUUGUGUUCUGGAGGUGGCUUCUCCACCGAAGGCUUGUGCUCCGGUGGUGGCUUUUUGGUUGGAGGGGGCUUGGGGUAAUCAGCAAGAGAUGGGGUGGUGAGAACCACCAGUCCAAGGAACAACACUAGCAAGUAUGUGGGAGACAUUUUUGAGUUUGGGCUGAUCAGAUGAUGCAAAACUAAAGCAUUACGUGACCUUUUAUAGCAAGUAGCUCCCAAUACCUACUUGACACGUGUUACUGUGACCCAUAAAUAUUAUGGGGUCUAUUUGUGCCCUACCGGGUUGAAAACUUGGACAAUUGGGCAAGGACCCGCCUGACUAUGGAGGACUACUGAGGUGUGAUCACAGCUUUAGGAUUUUUCUUCCUCUGCAGCCGUCUUGCCGUUGGCAUGAUUUUCUUAAUCUCAAAUAAAGGCAUAGUUAUAGAGUUGUUUAAUCUCUAAAUGGGAUUUUAUAUAUCUUCAGAUAGCCAUUAAUACAUUUGAUGAAGAAAGAAAGACAAGUGCAUACAACAUGUAUACGACUAGCUUUCAUGGAGUUCAUUUAUGAUCAGUUUUCCUGUACAUGUAAACCAAGAUCAUAUAUGUUUUUGUUCCACAACAAUUUUGGAAUCUUGUUUAUCCGUUUUUAUCAUUAUAAUGUCACAUAGGCUGCCAACUUGGGCGCUAAAUUAAAGAUCCAGUUGGGCAAGUUCGUUUCAGAAUUUCAAUGGUGGAUUCAGGAAUUGUUUUAUAAGAUAUGCAAAAUAGUAGAGGGAUGAAUAGUGUUUCAUUAAGAAAAGAGCCCUGUAAAAAUAUUGUUUAAAGGUGCCAUAGAAACUAUAAUCAAUAAAUAACUUUUUUUCCCCAUGGGUGGUGUUUCUUGUGGGGAUCAGUGACUGGUUUGAGUCAACGCCGUGUCUCUUUAGUCCAGAAAUCAACUAUUUUAUGCAUUGAAUACAUCAACAAAGAAAAUAUGAAAGCCAAAUGACACCUCCCCCGCAAAAACUAAACCCUGGUUGCUAACUUUCUAUGUUUCAGUUCCAUUCACACAAGAAUAUUAGUUCAAGUUUGAGAAAAAUGGCGACUUACCUAGUGAUAACUCGGUCUUGGUUUGCGAUUUGACUUUAACGUCAUGGGUUGAAGCCUCCUACAAUCAUCGUGUAUGCUAGUUCAAAGCUCGUGGAAGAAGUUAUACAGGGAGGGAGAAACCUCCACAGCAAGCUCCAAAAGAGAAUUAUCACAUUGAAAGCUCCAGUUGAACACUGGGUGAAAGCCAUAACAAGAUUGGUUUUCUAUCGCUCUUUUAAGUAAUGGAAGAUUAUUAUCUCUGCUUGUCACUACAACCGUGCAUGCUGCUAGAUCUUUCUAGACACUUCAAACAGUGAAACCAAGUAUGAUUCUUUUUCUCUUGAGUGGGUCCACUUGCAUGCCAAUGAACGAGUUGAAAAGUUGGACAAUUGGCCACAGCGCGCACUUACCUUCUGGAACCGAAGGUCAGUGAAGUGGGGUUCCUUUUGGCCCCUUGUGUUUCUGUUCCAACCUACUCCAGGAACCGAAGUUCAGUGAAGUGGGGCUACUUUUGGCCUCUUGUGUUUCUGUUCCAACCAAACAAAAAUGGGAGGGAAAAAUAGCAUUAUGCUUGUGCUAAAGAUCAACGCAUGAUAGCUGAAUAAGGGAGAAAAAGGCAUUGCUAUCUCAAUUUCAUAAACUUGAUAAGUAGUGACAUUAAUAGUCUUCCUCAUAGAUGGAUACAUGGUUUUAUUUUAUUUAUUUAUUUUUAUUUUUUUGUUUUAUGUCAAUGCUAAUGAAUGAAGUGCAUUAGCUUGUUUUGUGACUAGAACUACAAAUGUCCAAAUUGGAGCUUCUCCAAUAUAUUUCUCAGUGAGUUAUUGAUUAGAACUCUUGGAUUGAGUUCCAAGAUUUGAAUCAGACCCCUCUAGCAGCUUCAGGGGUACGUAGCAACCUAUAGCAUAUUAAUGAAGACUUAGGAUUUAGACUUAGGAAUACAAAUUAAUAUGUACCUCAUGCUCUGACUAGCUUCCCUGCGUAUGCACAAAAUGGAGAUGACUCCCAAAAAAAUAGCAGAAUCGCCUUAGUAUGUUUUUGUGGUUAAGAUGAUUCUCCACUUUAUAUAUCCACAUUGGUUCAUUAUGCAAAUUAAUCAACUAAGCUAUUUUUAUUUUUUCUUAAAUGUGAAAUAGGAGCUCCAAAUUAACCUAACCAUUGGCCUGAUUGAAUUGAUUUCACUUGCAUAAUGUUAUAGUAGAAGUCCGUAAUUUGAAUUUUAUUUUUGCAAAAGGUAACGUAAAUGAAGCAUUGUAAUUAAAUUUAUUUGUAAUUACAAACUAAUUUUAUUUUAUUAAGAAUUAAUUUAAUUACUCAUUUAAAAUAAAAAUCAGUUAUACUUUUACCAAGAUGAUAAUAUUCAUAUUUUUCUAGUUAACAUAUAUAAAAUAGUACACUUUUUCAUAUAAAAAAAUAAUUUAUGAUUUAUUAUAAUGUUACUAUUCACAUUUUACUAAAUUGAUGGUACAUGAUAGUGAGAGAAGGGGGUGUCACACUCAGCUAAAGUUCUUUUCAAAAUAUUGCAUGGUGUUUAAUUUUAUGUGUCGGCGCGCGUGUGAAUGGAACCUGCAAAAGUCCAAAUUGGCGUUUCUCCAUUUUCCACAUAGGAUGGUGACGUUAAUAGACAAAGAUACAAUAUCUGUAGACAUUGCUUAAAAAUCGAUGUGAAGUAUUAGAAAUUACAGGGCACUGUACUGGGGGAGCGGCUGCCCCGCCAAAGGAGGAAGAAUGUAGCAAUUUCUUCUGUUAGCCAGGCCUUAGGAUUUAUGCAUGGGAUGCCUAAUAACAAACAGAGAAAAUAUACUUUUGGGGAAGGUAUCCAACAACAGACACCAUCAUUCAGAUGGUGGGAAGGUAUCCAACAGAUGCCAUCAUUCAGAUGGUAACAUAUAUAUACAUUUAUUAGUGAGUUUUUUUAAUACCUAUAAAAAAAAAUAUACACUUUGAUAUUGUGGCUGAAUCCAUUACAUACUCAACUAACCUUGCUCAUUAGGGAUUUGACUUAACAAGGGCAACGUUGCAGUACAAGCUCAAAACUUUAUGCAGGUGACAUUACAUUUGGUAAAGAAGAGGAAAAUAACGAAAGCCAUCCAUAAAAGCAAAAUUCCACAUGGGAUGAAAUUCACAAGCUUCAUUUACGAUAGAGUCGCAUCCAGGCAAUUAAUUCCACAUUAGACCGCCUGUUGACAUGUGUACCAAUCUUUUUUCAAAAAAUAUUUAUAAAUAAUUGAUACUCACAAAAAUAAUUUAAUAUUUAUAAAGGAUAAAAAAAUAUUUUCAAAUCUAUAACAAUUUAUAAAAUAUUAAUAAAAAAUUAUCUCUUAAACUUAGUAUAGUUUUAUCAGAUUAAACUUUUAUUUUGAACAAAUAAUUUUAAUCUAAGUUUUAAAUUCUAAAAUUAUUUCCUUAAAAUAAAAUUUUAAAAUUCAACACUUCAAUUGAAAUUGUCUUUUUAAAAAAUAUCUUCUUAUUUUAAUCCUUAUAAACUAUAGUUGAUUGAAAAUACUAUUGAAGUUCUCUCUUAAAAAAAAGUCUUAUUUUAAUCUUCAUAAAUUGCCCUUGAUUUGAAAAUAAAUUUUCAGUUAUCAUAUUUUAAAUAAUAUCUAUAUUUAAAAUACUCUAUUUAAAAAAAAAUGAACUAAUUUUAAUUAUAUUAUAUUUUAUUUUUUUAUAUAUUUUUAAUGAUAAACCAAACAUAGAAAAUCAUUUUUCUAAAUAUUUUAAAAUUUCUAAGCAACCAAACAUAAUCUUCAAAAUAAAAGGAAAAUAAGGAGGGACAUUUGAGAAAUGGCGAUUAAAAAAAAGUGUACAAAAGCUCAAUUAAUUUUCUUCUAGUCUUUUAUAUAAAAAAGUAAAGGAAUUGAAAAGUAUUGAUAUGUAAAUUAAUAUUUGGAUUUUAAUAGUAUUUUAUUUGUCUUUCUCUAUCUCAUGUAAAAGAGAAUUUAAGAUAUUUCCUAAAGCAAAGCAUUAGUUAUCUGCAAUCAGUGGUGAUCAUGCCCCAUGUCAAUUUCGGACCCAUAUCUUAAAACUGUAUAAUUUGCAUUCAAACAUUACUGAUUUCUCAGAUGUUUCAUACUCCACAGAAGAGCAUUGUUUGUGAAAGCAUGCAUUUAUGUUGGAUUUUGGAUGAUGUGGGAACUGGGGCAAGGAUCAUAUGGAAGAGUGGUCGAUUUUGUUCUGUACUUUAACAUUUGAAAUAGGAGAAGCUCGGGCAUUUGUGGGGCUUAAUUGAUUUUGAAGCCUGAAAUUGCGUUUCUGUCAUUUUGUAAAAAAUAUGGCAGAUUCCAUGCUCUCAUAUGUUUGGUCUGUGGCCAUGUAUAGAUGCCCCUUAGUGACCAGUUUGUAACUGUCAAUCAUAGUGUUUUGACUCUGGCUCAACAACAUCAGCCAUUGACGGAUUUUCAUACUUGCAAAUCAAAUAGUCUUCUUCCUCCCUUAGGAAUUUCGGUUUAAAUGUUAUUAAGCAUACAUUUGGCUGACAAUUAUUAACCACUUCAUGAUAUGGUUUCUUACCCUUAAUCAAUGGUUUCUAAGUGAAUAUAUGCAGAAGGAAAUCUGAACUGUAGACAGCAGUAUUGAUAACUCUCAAUAUUCUUUAUAUAAGAGAAUAAACAACGUCAUAGUGAUCGUCGCCUACAAGAAAGGUACAUUUCCCAACAAGAUGUAGUUGUGACUGGUACAUGGACGCAAUUAACUCGUACAAAAGAAUAAGACCAGUGCACGGCAGCUCUUAUUUUACAUGCUAAUUAUGCUAACCAAAGUCACUCAGUUGGGAUGGGAGGGAGAUGGAGGUUUGUGCGGUGGCUUGUGGGGCGGAGUUGGUGGCUUCUUUUCAGGAGCUUGUGGCUUUUUCGGAGCUGAAGGAGGCUCAAUCUUAUGAGGCGGCUUGUACGAGUCUUCUUUACUCUCGACAGGAGGGUGGCCAGGGUUGUGACCAUAAUGUGGUGGCUUCUCUCCCUUAGGUGGCUUGCCAACUGGGGUUGGUGGCUUGUGUUCAGGAAGUGGUUUCUCUCCCUUGGGAGGUUUACCAAUUGGGGUUGGUGGCUUGUGUUCUGGGAGUGGUUUCUCUCCCUUGGGAGGUUUAGUGGGUGACUUGUGUUCUGGAGGUGGCUUCUCCACCGGAGGCUUGUGCUCCGGUGGUGGCUUCUCCACCGGAGGCUUGUGCUCCGGUGGUGGCUUCUUGAUUGGAGGGGGCUUGGGGUAAUCAGCAAGAGAUGGGAUGGUGAGAACCACCACUCCAAGGAACAACACUAGCAAGUAUGUGGGAGACAUUUCUGAGUUUGAGCUGAUCAGAUGAUGCAAAACUAGAAGAAUUACGGGACCUUUUAUAGCAAGUAUCUCCCAAUACCCACAUGACACGUGUUACUAUGACCAUAAAUAUUAUAGGGUCCAUUUGUGCCCUACCGGGUUGAAAACUUGGACGCUUGGCCGAGGACACACCUGACUAUGGAGGACUAUUGACGUGUGAUCACAGCUUUUGGAUUUUUCUUCCUGUGCAGCUGUCUAGCGGUUGGCAUUAUUUUCUUAAUCUUAAAUAAAGGCAUAGUUAUAGAGUUGUUUAAUCUCUAAAUGGGAUUUUAUAUAUCUUCAGAUAGCCAUUAAUAUAUUUGAUGAAGAAAGACAAGUGCAUACAACAUGUAUACGGCUUGCUUCAAUCGAGUACAUUUAUGAUCAGUUUUCCUGUGCAAGUAAACCAGUUUUUUGUUCCACAACUAUUUUGGAAUCUUGUUUAUCAGUUUCUAUCAUUAUAAUGUCACAUAGGCUGCAAACUUGGGCACCCAAAGAUCUAGGUGGGCAAAUUUGUUUCAGACUUUCAAUGGUGGAUUCAGUAAUUGUUAAAAGGUGUUUCUUCAUUAAGGAAAGAGUCCGGUAAAAAUAUUGUUAAAAGGUGUCAUAGAAACUAUAAUAAAUAAAUAACUUCUUUUCCCCAUGGGUGGUGUUUCUUCUGGGGAUCAGUGACUGGUUAGGGUCACCCAAAAUGAGUCCAGAUUAAAAUUGGUUCGAGUCAAAGCAGUCUCUUUUGUCCAGAAAUCAACUAUUUUGCGCAUUGAAUGAAUCGAUAAAGAAAAAAUGAAAGCCAAAUCACACCUCCCCUGCAAAACCUAAACCCCGGUUGCUAACUUUCUAUGUUUCAGUCCUAUUCAUAUAGGAAUAUUGGUUCAAGUUUGAGAAAAAUGGCAACUUACCUAGGGUUUACUUGGUUUUGGUUUGCGACUAUUUACGCAACCAACCAUGAGUUUGACUUUAACGUCAUGGGUUGAAGCCUCCUACAAUCAUGUAUGAUAGUUCAAAGCUCGUGGAAGAAAUUAUACAGGAAGGAAGAAACCUCCAAAGCUAGCUCCAAAAGAGAAUUAUCACAUCGAUAGCUCCAGAGAUUCCCAAGGGAACUGAAUCAAAGACAAGUUCCUCACUUUUUCUUCUUUUGAGGCCAAAUAUGAACCAAGGAUCACACGACCUCAUUCAACUUCAUAAGUUUGAUUUCAUGCAGUUGAACACUGGGUGAAGGCCAUGACAAGAAUUGAUUAAAAAAUUCUACCACUCUUUUAAGUAAUGGAAGAUUAUUAUCUCUGAUUGGCACCACAACAGCACAUGCUGCUAGAUCUUUCUAGACACUCCAUGCAAUGAAAGCACAAUGGAUCUUGUAAUGAUAGAAACUAAGCCAUGCUACAGUACUAGAUGAGGGGGUAAAACUAGUAGACAUCUUUCUAGACACUCCAUGCAAUGAAAGCACAAUGGAUCUUGUAAUGAUAGAAACUAAGCCAUGCUACAGUACUAGAUGAGGUGGUAAAACUAGUAGACAUGGCUGGCAGUUGAUUACUACUCAAAAAGUACUCUUUUAUAGCUUGAAACUAACUGUUUUAAACACUUUUGAGUAGUAGUUAAUACCUUUUAACUUAAUUGGCACAUUAAGGAACCUAGCAAGGGUUACUAAUCAACAUUUGGCAAGUUUUGAUGUUUUUGGUAGCUAUUUGAUCAUUGAAACAAGCCAAGAAUGAGGGGGAAUUUUGUGAAGUCCAUGGCAAUGCAAGUUAAAGCUCAAAUACAUGAAGAAUCCAAGCUUUGGAGCACUUCAUAGCCCUUUGCCAAGCCAAUCAAAGAUGCAAGGAAGAAAACCAAAGGAAGAAAUCCAACAAUCAGCAUUUUGGCAUGGCUAUGUGAAAUUUCGCACACCAUGCGAAACCACAAGAGGCAGCCAAAGAAUUUCGCAUGGUAUGCGAAAUCUUCUUGUGCACUGACUCUGUUAGAUUUUUAUCUUCAGAUAUUUUGUGUAAUUUCCUAGUUUCUCCUUGUAACCAACUUAGAUAUUUUCUUUUAUAUCUUUUUUUAUAUUUUUUAGGUAACAUCAUAUAUAAGAGGAGAGACAUAAGGAGGAUAUGGAUGUUUUUCAUAGAACACUUGUAAAUUUUUGGUAGUAAGAAAUAUACAAAGCUUUUUGCUCUGCCUUACCUUCUCAAGGGAUGAGUGGCUAGGUUUUCUUGGAGUGAGGGAAGCUAGGUGAAGGACCUGAAUGCAAAGGUGGGAGUUUUCCUUACUUUAAAUGAAAGUAGUUGUUAAACAUUAAUGGUUUUUAUUUUAAGGUUUAGCUUUAAAUCCCUGAAAAACACCUUGAAUGGCCAAUACUUGGUAAGCUUUUUAGAUUCUAUGGAUGCUUAUUGCUAGAUCCAUGGAUGUCUAUUAGUUAUCAUUUACGAGCCAUUGGAAGGUGAUUCAAGGUGAGGGUCUUUAGUGUUUGAAGCCAUUAAUGGGAAGCAAUUACCAUUUUUUCAUGAAUCCUUUGGAUCAAAUCUUAAUUGCUAAAUAUAAAACCGGUUUCGAGAGAUAACCACCAUCCUUUAUGUUAUUAUCCCCAACGCGAGGAGAAGAUCCGAAAUCUUCCUUUUUAUCUAAGGAACCCGAUCCUAGUGACCUAAAGCUCCAAGAUACCUUUUCUUUGUAGUUAACUUCAUUUAUUGUUUUUGCUUAACUUAAAAUCAAUCUUUGCAACCACAAUUCCAUUUUCUUUAAAAGCUAAUUUUUAUAAGGAAAAACACCAUUUUAUUUCCUUCACUAAGUCAACUGUACGAUGAAAACCCAUCCCUGUGGACGAUCCUAGAGCCACUAUACUAUGUUAGCUAUGCUACCCUAGUGUGAGGUGAUUUAGGUUUUAUAAAUUUUUUUGAUAACACCCAUCUGAGCCAGAAUCAAAUGGCACGACUGAACCAGGGACGAAUCAAAUGACGCCGCUACCAAGGAUGGUGCCAAAGUACAUUGACAUGACUUUUGGUGAACACUUGUGAUCUUCACCACAAGUUUGGUGAUUUUUCUUUUACUAAUUUUUUUUAUUUUAGCUUAUCUUUUAUUUAGUUUUUAGUUAACCUUAAAUUUUUCCUAGAAUUGUAUUUCUUUUGUUUUCUUUGUUUUUGUUUCAGUGAUCUUUAGUUGUGCAUGCCCUAUUGGAUAAGAGAUAUUGAGGGAAUACUUGUGAAGAUUGAAACUCCUCGAGAAACUGAGUUAGAAGUGUGCUUGAACAUCAUGGAUGUUCCACCUGAAGACCAGAAUAGCCAACAUGGUUAAGAGGAUAAUUUCAACACAUACCGAUCCAUGAGGAACCGCAUACAUCCACCUUGUAUGAGUGCACCGUCAGGCAUAAUGCCUCCCACUGAGCAGCUAGUAAUCUGACCUCACAUUGUGCCACUCCUACCUACUUUCCAUGGGAUGGAGAGUGAGAAUCCCUACUCGCAUAUUAAGGAAUUCGAGGAGGUUUGUAAUACAUUCCAAGAAGGAGGAGCUUCAAUUGACUUGAUGAGGCUCAAGCUAUUUCCUUUCACUUUGAAGGAUAAGGCCAAGAUUUGGCUUAAUUCUUUAAGGCCAAGAAGUAUCCAAACUUGGAUUGAUUUGUAAGCCGAGUUUCUUAAGAAGUUCUUCCCUACCCAUAGGACCAAUGGUUUGAAAAGGCAAAAUUUGAACUUCUCAGUUAAAGAGAAUGAGAAAUUCUAUGAGUGUUGGGAGAGCUACAUGGAAGCUAUUAACGUUUGUCCUCACCAUGGCUUUGACACAUGGCUCUUAGUGAGCUAUUUUUACAAUGGUAUGUCUUCUUCAAUGAAGCAACUCCUAGAAACUAUGUGUGGAGGAGACUUCAUGAGUAAGAAUCCGGAGGAAGCCAUGGACUUUUUGAGUUAUGUGGCUGAAGUUUCAAGAGGAUGGGAUGAACCAAAUGCUAGAGAGGUGGGAAGAAUGAAGUCUCAACCUAAUGCUAAGGGUGAGAUGUAUGUUUUGAAUGAAGACAUUGACAUGAAAGCAAAGGUUGCAGCUAUGGCAAGGAGAUUGGAAGAGCUAGAAAUGAAGAACAUACAAAAAGUGCAAGCCAUUUCUGAGACAUCAAUGAAAGCUAUGCCUUGUUCCAUUUGUCAAUCUUAUAAGCACCUAGUGGAGGAGUGUCCUACAAUUCCAGCAGUGAGAGAGAUGUUUGGUGAUCAAGCAAAUGUUAUUGAUCAAUUCAAGCCUAAUAACAAUGCUUCAUAUGGCAACACCUACAAUUCAAAUUGGAGGAACCAUUCAAAUUUCUCUUGGAAACGAAAGCCACCUCAAUACACACAACCUACUCAAGCACCUUAGCAAUCCUCGAAUCUUGAACAAGCUAUUGUGAACCUUAGCAAGGUUGUGGGAGACUUUGUGGGAGAUCAGAAGUCCAUCAAUGCUCAACUGAAUCGGAGAAUUGACAGUGUGGAGAGUACAUUGAACAAAAGGAUGGAUGAGAUGUAAAAUGAUCUGUCUCAAAAGAUAGACAAUGUCCAAUACGUAAUCUCAAGGCUUACCAACCUCAACACAGUGUAAGAGAAAGGAAAGUUUCCUUCUCAACCUCAUCAAAAUCCUAAGGGUAUCCAUGAAGUAGAGGCUCAAGAGGGAGAAUCUUCAAAGGUGAGGGAAGUCAAAGUAGUUAUCACCUUGAAGAGUGGUAAAGAGGUUGAUCAACCCACAUCCAAGCCAAAGCAUAAUGAAGAGAGUGUAGCAGAAAAAGAAAAGAGAGGAAAAUAAAGGAAUUAGAAUAGAGAAAAAUACAAAGAAAGAUGACCAUGAGUCUAGUGUGGAUGAAGAGCCCGAGAGGAUGGUGAUCAAGGAAGAUAUGAUGAAGAAACACAUGCCUCCACCUUUCCCCUAAGCUUUGCAUGACAAAAAAAGAACCAAUAAUACAUCAGAAAAUUUUGAAGUAUUGAGGCAAGUGAAGGUCAAUAUCCCUUUGCUAGACAUGAUCAAACAAGUGUCGACAUAUGAAAAAUUCUUGAAGGACUUGUGCACUGUAAAGAGAGGGUUGAAUGUGAACAAGAAAGCUUUAUUGACCGAGCAAGUGAGUUCCAUCAUACAGUGCAAGUCCUAGUGAAGUACAAAGAUCCGGGUUGCCGUACCAUCUCAGUGAGUAUUGGAAGGACUUGUGUGGAGAAAGCUUUGUUGGACUUGGGAGCAAGUGUGAAUUUGCUAUCCUACUCUGUCUAUAAGCAGUUGGGAUUUGGAGAGUUGAAGCCAAUAUCCAUCACUCUAUCUCUAGCGGAUAGAUCAAUGAAGAUUCCAAGAGGGAUGAUCGAAGAUGUCCUGGUUCAAGUUAACAAAUUCUACUAUCCAGUAGAUUUUGUUGUUCUUGAUAUGGAUCCGGUUGUCAAAUGAACUAAUUAUGUUCCUAUCAUACUUGGAAGACCCUUCCUAGCUACAUCAAAUGCAAUCAUCAAUUGUAGGAAUGGAGUCAUGCAACUCACAUUUGUCAACAUGACAUUAGAGCUCAACAUCUUCCAUUUGUACAAGAAGCAUAUCCAUCAGGAGGAAAAAGAAGGUCUAGAGGAAGUGUGAAUGAUUGACACUUUAGUGGAAGAGCAUUGUGAUCGAGAAUGCAAAAAGAUUUAGUUGAGAAUUUUGGGGAUCUUGAUGAAAGGUUACUUGAACCCUCAGAUUUGCUUGCUACCCUACUCCAUUGGAAGAGAAGAGAAGAAAUUCUACCCUUAUUCAAUGAGGAGGAGACGCAAAGAGCUGCAAAGGAGAAACCCCCAAAACUUAUUCUUAAGCCACUACCCACAGAGUUGAAGUAUGUAUACUUGGAAGAAGACAAGAAGUGCCCUAUUGUUAUAUCUUCAACUCUUACCAUUCAUCAGGAGGAUUGUCUACUUGAAGUCCUUAGAAGAUGUAAGAAGACAAUAAGGUGGCUAAUUUCUUAUUUGAAAGGGAUCAGCCCUUUAGUCUGCACCCAUCAUAUUUACAUGGAGGAUGAAGCUAAGCUAAUUCAUCAACCUCAGAGAAGGUUGAACCCUCACAUGCAAGAGGUGGUUCGAGCUGAAGUUCUGAAGCUACUUCAGACCAGUAUUAUUUACCCCAUAUCAAAUAGCCCAUGGGUGAGUCCUACUCAAGUUGCGCCAAAGAAGUCUGGGAUCAUGGUGGUGCAAAAUGAUAAGGGAGAAGAUGUCUCUACACGCCUCACUACAGGUUGGAGGGUGUGUAUCAAUUACAGGAGGUUGAAUGCAGUGAUAAGAAAGGACCAUUUCUCAUUGCCCUUUAUUGAUCAGGUGCUUGAGAGGGUCUCUGGGCUUUUUUUUUUAUUGUUUCUUGGAUGGCUACUCCGGGUACUUUCAGAUAGAAAUUGAUGUUGAAAACCAAGAUAAGACCAUUUUCACAUGCCCAUUUGGAACCUAUGCAUAAAGGAGAAUGCCUUUCGGCUUAUGCAAUGCACCCGCAACUUUCCAAAGAUGCAUGUUAAGCAUUUUCAGUGAUAUGGUGGAGCGUAUUAUGGAAGUCUUUAUGGAUGAUAUCACCAUUUAUGGAAGUGCAUUUGAUGAAUGCUUGGUCAACUUAGAAGCUGUUCUGAACCGAUACAUUGAGAAAGACUUAGUGCUUAACUGGGAGAAGUGCCAUUUCAUGGUACACCAAGGGAUUGUCCUUGGGCACAUUAUCUCCAAGCAAGGCAUUGAAGUUGACAAAGCAAAGGUUGAACUCAUUGUUAAGUUGCCAUCCUCAACAAAUGUCAAAGGAGUAAGGCAAUUCUUUGGCCAUGUCGGGUUCUAUAGGAGGUUUAUCAAGGAUUUCUCUAAGCUUGCAAGGCCUCUUUGUGAAAUAUUGGUGAAUGAUGUUAAAUUCAUAUGGGAUGAUGGAUUUGAAAGGAGUUUUGAAGAAUUGAAGCUAUUUUUGACAACCGUACCAAUAGUGAGGGCUCCCAACUGGCAACUGCCCUUUGAAGUAAUGUGUGAUGUCAAUGAUUUUGCUAUAGGAUUUUUUCUUGGGCAAAGAGAAAAUGGAAAACCUUAUGUGAUCUACUAUGCGAGGAAGGCAUUGAAUGAGGCACAAAGAAACUACACAACCACCGAGAAAGAAUUGUUAGCUGUAGUUUUUGCCUUGGAUAAGUUUCGCGCUUACUUGGUGGGGUCCUUCAUCAUGGUUUUUACUGAUCACUUUGCUUUGAAGUAUCUGUUGACUAAGCAAGAUGCUAAAGCAAGGCUGAUUAGAUGGAUUCUCUUACUUCAAGAGUUCAAUCUCCAUAUCAAAGAUAAGAAAGGAGUGGAGAAUGUGGUAGCAGACCACAUUUCAAGGCUAGCUAUCGCACAUAAUUCCCAUGCUUUGCCCAUUAAUGACGAUUUUCUAGAGGGGUCUCUCAUGUUGGUGGAAGUUGUCCCUUGGUACGCUCACAUUGCUAACUACCUGGUCACGGGAAAAGUUCCAAGUGAGUGGAAAGCACAAGAUAAGAAGCACUUCUUUGCAAAAAUUCAUGCCUACUAUUGGGAAGAGCCAUUUCUAUUCAAGUAUUGUAUGGAUCAGAUAAUAAGGAAGUGCGUUCCUGAAGAAGAGCAACAGGGGAUCCUUAGUCAUUACCAUGAAAAUGCAUGUGGAGGCCACUUUGCUUAUCAAAAGACAGCCAUGAGGGUGUUGCAAUCGGGUUUCUGUUGGCCAUCACUUUUCAAAGAUGCCCACACCAUGUGCAAGAGUUGUGAUCGAUGCCAGAGGCUUGGGAAGUUGACACGCAGGAACAUGAUGCCUUUGAACCCCACUUUAAUAGUUGAUAUUUUUUAUGUUUGGGGCACUAACUUCAUGGGACCUUUCCCUAUGUCUUUUGGCUACUCUUACAUCUUGGUAGGAGUAGAUUAUGUUUCUAAGUGGGUUGAGGCAGUCCCAUGCAAACACAAUGACCAUAGAGUGGUUCUCAAGUUUCUUAAAGAGAAUAUCUUCUCAAGAUUUGGGGUGCCCAAAGCCAUAAUUAGUGAUGGGGGUACUCAUUUUUGCAACAAGCCUUUUGAAACUCUCCUAGCCAAGUAUGGGGUGAAGCAUAAGGUAGCUACACCUUACCACCCUCAAACUCAUGGACAAGUUGAGUUAGCAAACAGGGAGAUUAAAAACAUAUUGAUGAAGGUGGUGAACACAAACAGAAAAGAUUGGUCAGUCAAGCUUCUUAAUUCACUAUGGGCAUAUAGAACAACUUACAAGACCAUUCUCGGGAUGUCUCCUUAUCGCCUAGUUUAUGGCAAAGCAUGCCAUCUCCCUGUGGAAUUGGAAUACAAAGCUUGGUGGGCAAUCAAGAAGCUCAACAUGGAUUUGAGCAGAGCUGGGUUGAAGAGGUUCUUAGACCUUAAUGAGAUGGAGAAAUUGAGAAAUGAUGCCUACAUCAAUUCAAAAAUUGCAAAAGAAAAAUUGAAGAGGUGGCAUGAUCAGUUGAUUUCCCGCAAGGAUUUUCAAAAUGGACAAAGAGUCUUACUUUAUGACUCUAAACUCCACAUCUUUCCGGGCAAGCUGAAAUCAAGGUGGAUAGGUCAUUUUACCAUUCACCAAGUGCAUUCAAAUGGAGUAGUGGAACUACUCAACUCCAACAAUAUCGAGAACUUCAAAGUGAAUGGCCACCGUCUCAAGCCCUUUGUGGAGUCUUUUUCUCACAACAAGGAGAAAUUCAUCCUCCUUGAUCCACAUCAAGCUUAACAAGACCAAUUUUCUUGAUGGACUUAGUCUUUCUAAAGACUAUCGAGUCCAUAACUUUUUGUUUUAUUUUUUAUUUGAGAUUUUUUCGGUAUUGUUACUUGUUUUGUUUUUUAUUUUUCGUUUUAAUUUUAUUUGGUUUGAUUUAACUUAGGUUUUUGAUGAUCAAUUACAGGGGGGAUUUCAAAUAGAGGAAAAACCAAGAUAAUUCGCACACCCUACGAAAAUUUCGCAAGGCAUGCGAAAUUUAUGGCUUAUUUUGCAUGGGGUGAAAAUUUUCGUACAUCUUACGAACCAAUUUCGAACACUUUGCGAAAAUAAACCAACCCUGCGAAAUCAUUUCGAUUACUCUACGAAAUUUUCGUAGAGCAUGCGAAAAAUUUAGCACACCAAACACCAUUUCGCAUACUAUGCAAAAACCUAAGGGGUCUGCGAAACCAUUUCGCACCUCCAAAUCCAUUUCGCACAUUGUGCGAAAACCAAGAGGCGCUGUGCGAAAAUGAAAAGUCGCCCUGUCAUCCCUUUUUAAACCCCUCGAGCCCUAAAAUCUCCAUUUCGCAAGCACCCCUGUCCUUGCGAAUCCCUCAUUUUCCUCUACUACCUUGCAACCUCGUCCCUUUCCAUUUGAUAUUGUGCCCCGCGCACAUCUCAUUUCAGAGACUCGCACUCCGCGCCCCCUCAAAGCAUGGACUCGAGACCCACCUUCCAUUUCCGACGUGGCACGGACCCAAGGAGCCCUUUCUGCCCCUUCACUAAGACACACACCAAGGCAGAAAGCCUCCUUUGCUCAAGUGCCUAGUGAUUCUCCAUCUUAGGCCUCAGAGGCCUCGGAGGCCCCGUGGAUUCCACCUUCCGAGGGUAGAGCAGCCAUUGGUCCUUCCUCUUCUACUCCUUAGCGUAGAUACGAGACGAGGAGACCACCUACUACACAAGGGGCGACUACUUCGAGCCUUGAGAAUUCAGUACGAUGCCUUCCUGCCAAGAGGGUCAAGACUUCAGGUCCAAGUGAGUCAUCCAGAGCUUCAUAGCCUAAGCCUCCUGUAGAUUCCAAGGUUCCUACUGACAUAUCACCGGAGUCUAUUAUCAGAAGCCCGAUGCUCAUAGCACCGCCCAUUGAGGGCAACUCAGAUUAUAGAGCGAGAUCUUUCCACUUGGAGCUAUAUUUUGAUCAGGAGGCCAUACGACAGCAGCCUGAGCUCCGAGACUCUUAUGGCUUACUGCAGAGGUACCAUCUUGAGGAACUUAUGACUCCUCGUGAGUUUUUUUAUCCCAGAGUAGCACUAAACUUUUACCAGUCCAUGACUACUCGUGGCGUCCCGAGUCCUACCACGAUUCACUUCACCAUUGAUAGACGUCAUGGUAUCCUCAAGGCCAGACAUAUUACAGAGGCUCUACAAAUUCCUUUCGAGCUAGAGGAUCCAUCUGUUUUUCGCUAAUGGUCCCCAGUAUCUCAGAGGGACAUGGUCCGUAUUUUAUCUAGGGGAACAUCUACAGAUUCGAUCUUUCUACGGAAGGAGCUUCGACCUGGGAUGCUCCUCUUAGAUGUGGUGCUAUGCUCCAACCUCUUUCCCUUACAACAUUCGGUACAUAGGUGAUGAGCUAUUUUGGACGCUUUAUUCCGUAUAUCAGAGGGCUUCUACUUUGGCCCGCACCACUUGAUCAUGGUCUCCCUCAUCCACUUUGAGGAGAAGGUUCAUAGGAAGAAGCUUCAGAGGGUGGACACCAUUCCAUUACUAUUCCUGAGGUUACUUUGCCAGGUCUUGGAGUACAUGGGCUUUCCUACUGAGCCUCGGCUCGAGCUUUGCCGCCUUUGUCGAGAGUGAUCCACUCUCGACAAAUGGAAUUAGUUGGCGGGCUAUUCUGCACCUCCAGGAGCCCCUCCCAUGGUAGCACCUCCAAUGUCCCCACAGGCAAAGUAGGGCGAGCUCCCGGCAAAGACUGUACCACCAAUGCCCACACUUGAGGCUAUUUCUGCUGCUCUGCCUAUGACUCCUACUGUUCCACCAGUUGGUCCUUUUACAUCCGAGCCUUCCAUCACCAUCUCGGCUUCGGAGUUUCGCGCCCUUGUGCAUACCUUUCAGACACUCACCACCACACAUACUCCUCUCUUCUAGCAAAUGGUUGAGAUGUGUGCCCAUCAGGACCGGAAGACUACUAUACUCUGCCAAAUUCAGCAGCACCUAAGACUUUUGCCUCAACCUCAACCUAACCAUCCCAUAUCAUCAGAGCCUCUAGCUCCAACUGAGGAUACUAUUCCACCUGAGAACACUACCACAGUAGAGGUCCGGUUUCCACCACCUUAAGAGGCCACCACAGCUACAUCAGAGGAUGUGUCAUCUCCACUUGAGGCUCCCACUACUUGAUCAUAGGACAUAUCUUUAUCUUAUUGUAUUUACAUAUUAUAUUACUAGAGAUUUGUCCUUGUUUUGAUACUUUAUAUUCUGGGAUUGGAUGUAUUGCCUGAUGAUAUCUCAAUUGUACUUUCUCAUAUUAAUAUAUAGACAUCAAUUUUUUUUAGUAUACUUAGCAUUUUUCUAUUUCCUCUACUCAUUACUCUUUUGUUUUUUUUUACUCAUGUGGUUUCUCUUAUACAACUCAGACUCCAUUUCACUCAGGAGGUACCACUUCCUCCCUUUAUUUUCAAUUGCUCUUGAAAUAUUGAGUGCAAUGUUGAUCUUGGUUGGGGGGAGAGUUGAGGAAGGAAGUUUUGUUAAUAAUGCUAGGUUAAUUUGUUAAUUUAGUUACUUUCUGCUUAAUUUUAAAAGUUUUCACUCUACUUUCCAUGGUUAUUAAGGAAAAAUUCUCAAAAUGAAAUGGGAGAAAUCGAAUUCUUGCAUUUUUACUUGAAUCUUAGAAUUUGUAUCAUGCUUAUUAAAGUUGAUGAAUUAUUGAAACUCCUAUUGAAUUCAACCUUAUUUUUUCCACUUUAAUCUUACCACACACGGUGCACAUUAGGUUCCAGUUAUAAGAUAAAAAACUAUCUCACCCCCUAAACUUAGAAAAAUUUACACUUGGUACCUUUGACAUCGUUUUAAUAGUGUUGGGACACCUUAUAAAAGGCCAAUGAGCCUUUAAAAAAAAAAAAAAAAAAAAAAAGAGAAAGAACAAAGUAUUGCACUUGCCUUGAAACCUGAGCAAGAUCCGAGGGGUAUACAGUGAAAGUCUUUAAAACCUGGUGCCCUAAGCCUUGAUUGGUUGGGAGUCACCGACCUCAAUGCUCGUUAUAAGGGUGAAUAGGUGGAGUUUAACAUAUUGUAGGUGCUUGGGUAUUGAAUUUCAAUCUCAAAAGUCCGGGAAAAAAUCUAAGGAGUUAGUGGUCAAAAGAUCCUUAAAGCUUGAUGCCCUAAACCUUGAUUGGUUGAGAGUCAUUGAUGGAUCCCCGCUACAUGGACAUUUUAGAAAACAAUACCUUUAGCAUUGCACGCCUACAAUGAAAAAAAAAUGUGAAAUAAAAGAGGUGCGUUCUUAGCCUAUUGGAGGUUGGUCAGUUUGCUAAAGUUUGAGAAAUCUAGGUUGGGGGGAGAGAAUAGUCCGACAUACUAUAAUAAAAAACUAAUAACCUUAACACUUAGAUUUUUGUGGAAGAGUAAGGAUUGGACCUUUAGGGGUGGAAAUUCUUUUGAUGCUUAAAUUUGCAUAAUGCCUACUCUUUAUAAAUUAUGAUUAGGCAAGAGAUUUGAUGACUCUUGUUCAAAGUUGGGUUUUUCCUCUUUGAUGUUCCAUGAGAGAGUAUAAUCCUCAUCAUGCCACUUGAAAUCUUUUUGGAGUGAUUAACAUGAUUUUGUAAAUUAUUUUACUGUCUAUUUUUCUUUAUCUCUCUUUUAUUGCUAAUGGACUAGCAAUAUGUCAGUUGGGGGGAGUGAUUACUACUCAAAAAGUACUCUUUUAUAGCUUGAAACUAACUGUUUUAAACACUUUUGAGUAGGUGUUAAUACAUUUUAACUCAAUUGGCACAUUAAGGAACCUAACAAGGGUUACUAAUAAGUUUUUGGCAAGUUUUGGUGUUUUUGGUAGCUAUUUGAUCAUUGAAACAAGCCAAGAAUGAGGGAGAAUUUUGUGAAGUCCAUAGCAAUGCAAGUUAAAGCUCAAAUACAUGAAGAAUCCAAGCUUUGAAGCACUUCAUAGCCCUUUGCGAAGCCAAUCAGAGAUGCAAGGAAGAAAACCAGAGGAAAAAAUCCAACAACCAGCAUUUUCGCAUGGCUGUGCGAAAUUUUGCACACCAUGCGAAACCACAAGAAGUAGCCAAAGAAUUUUGCACACCAUGCGAAAUUUCGCAUGGUAUACGAAAUCUUCCUAUGCACCAACUCCGUUAUAUUUUUAUCUUCAGAUAUUUUGUGUAAUUUCCUAGUUUCUCCUUGUAACCAACCUAGAUAUUUUCUUUUAUAUCUUUUUUUUAUAUUUUUUAGGUAACAUCAUAUAUAGGGGGAGAGACAUAAGGAGGAUAUGGAUGUUUUUCAUAAAACACUUUUAAUUUUCUGGUAGUAAGAAAUAUACAAAGUUUUUUGCUCUGCCUUACCUUCUCAUUUUGUUUUCACCUAUCUUUCUAGCCAAACAACCUCUGAGAAUGAUUUCUCAGGGGAUGAGUAGUUAGGUUUUACGUUUCUUGGAGUGAGAGAAGCUAGGUGAAAGACCCAAAUGCUAAGGUGGGAGUUGUCCUUGCUUUAAAUGAAAGUAGUUGUUAAAUAUUAAUGGUUUUUAUUUUAAGGUUUAGCUUUAAAUCCCUUAAAAACACCUUGAAUGGCCAAUACUUGGUAAGCUUUUCGGAUUCUAUGGAUGCUUAUUGCUAGAUCCAUGGAUGUCAUUAGUUAUCAUUUAUGAGCCAUUGGAAGGUGGUUCAAGAUGAGAGUCUUUAGUGUUUGAAGCCAUUAAUGGGAAACAAUUACCAUUUUUUCAUGAAUCCUUUGGAUAAAAUCUUAAUUGCUAAAUAUAAAACUGGUUCGGGAGAUAACCAUCCUUUAUGUUAUUAUGCCCAAUGCAAGGAGAAGAUUUCGAAUCUUCUCAUUUGUCUAAGGAACCCGAUCCUAGUGACCUAAAGCUCCUAGAGACCUUUUCUUUGUAGUUAACUUCAUUUAUUGUUUUUGCUUAACUUAAAAUCAAUCUUUGCAACCACAAUUCCAUUUUCUUUAAAAGCUAAUUUUUAUAAGGAAAAGCACCAUUUUAUUUCCUUCACUAAGUCAACUGUAUGAUGAAAACCCAUCCCUGUGGACGAUCUUAGAGCCACUAUACUAUGUUAUCUAUGCUAUCCUAGUGUGAGGUGAUUUAGGUUUUAUAAAUUUUGUUGAUAACACCCGUCUGAGCCAGAAUCAAAUGGAACCACUGAACCAGGGACAAAUCAACAGCCUAUAUGGGAGGGACACAAGUUUAAUUGAUUUGCAUUUCAGCGUUAUAGAUAAGUAUGUUUUGGAAGAUUUGUUCUGGAAAUACUGCACCAAGUACGAUUCUUUUUCUCUUGAGUGAGUCCAUUUGCAUGCCAAUUAACGAGUUGAAAAGUAGGAGCACCUACCUCGUGCUCAUGGAACCGAAUGUCAGUGAAGUGGGGCUCCUUUUAGCCUCUUGUGUUUCUGUUCCAACCAAGGCGGCGUAGGGAAAAACAACAAUAUGUCUGUGCUAAAUAUCAACGCAUGAUAGAUGUUUUUUUUUUUUUUUUUGGUAUGUCAAGGCUAACGAAUGAAAUGCAUUAGCUUGUUUUGUGACUAUAACUGCAAAUGUCCAAAUUGGAGUAUCUCCAUUUCUCACUUCGGAUGGUUAACUUUAUAAACAAGAUAUAGGAAACAUGUGAACAUCUUGAGGAACAAUUCAAAUUAUUCAUUAGAAGUCCUGGGUUAAGUUCCAAGAUUUAAAUCAGACCCUUCUAGCAGCUUCAAGGGUACUUAGCAACCUAUAACAUAUUAAUGAAGAUUUAGGAUUUAGACUCCGGAAUACAAAUAAAUAUGUAUCUCAUGCUUUGACUAGCUUCCCUACAUAUGCAUAAAAUGGAGAUGACCCAAAAAAAAUAGCAGAAUCUAGCUUCCCUACAUAUGCACAAAAUGGAGAUGACCCAAAAAAUAGCAUAAUCGCCUUAGUUUCUGUGGUUAAGGUGAUUCUCCGCUUAAUAUCCACAUUGACUCAUUAUGCAAAAUCAACUGAGCUAAUUUUAUUUAUUUAUUUAAUGUCAAAUAGGAACUCCUAAUUAACUGAUUACUGUCGAAAAGUGCUAUUUUGUAGACCUAAUUAUAAGGGUUUUAAGCACCUUUGAGUAGUAAUCAUAUUCAUUUAACCUAAUUAAUUCAUUAAGCUCCUUAGUAAUUAGUUCUAACCAUUUUUAGUGGCAAGUUUACAUGUUUUUCAUCAGCUUAUGAACCAAUUCAAGCAUGCCAAUUGAUGGAGGAGCUACUUGGGCGAGUUAAGCAAGGAUUUUGGACGUUUACAGGCUUGAAUUUCAAGUGGAAACACGAGCACAAGCAAUGGGAACACCAUUUCGCAAGGGGAGGCAAUUCACCUUGCCAAAUGACCAAUUUCGCAAGGGGAUUUUCCUCAUGGUGCAAAAUUUGGUCAUUUCGCACCAUGAAGAAACCACCUUGCAAAAUUUCGCAAGGUGGAUUUAGGCACCUUGCGAAAUGCCAAAUUUCACAAGGUGGCUUUUCACCUUGCGAAAUUUGGACCUUUCAUCUUCCCCCCUUGCGAAAUGCCUUUGAAAUCCCCUGUUUUGAGACGCUGUUGAUGAUAUUCCACUGCCGGUUCUCCAAGAUAUUUUGCUUGACUUUUAGCUUUAUAAAUACCUAUUUUACCCUUGUAAUCAACCAAUGAAAAGGUUGCUUUUGUAAUAGCUCUUGUAAUUUAGCUUUUUAUUGUCUUUAAAUAGAGGUGAAGAGCCUCAGACACGAUCAUCUUGUAACCUGUAACUUUAUAAGUUAUAAGAGCACUUUUGUUCAUACGCUUCUUUUCUCUUUUCUUUCUCAUUUUCUUAGUAGCCAAACAUCCUUGGAGGAUGAAAUCCCCAAGGAUGAGAGGCUAAAACCUUUUAGUUUCUUGAAGUAAUGGAUGCCAUGUGAAGCUCCCGUGUCAGGAUGGAGAUUUCCAAGCCAUAAAUGUAAGUAGCUGAGCGUCAUAAAUGUUUUCAUUCAAAGUAAAGCUUUUAAUCCCUCUGACUUGCUUUGAAUGGCCAAUACUUGAUAACCUUUUGGUCUCAAUGGAUUCUUAUUGUUAGAUCCACUGACGUUCAUUAGUUAUCUCCUACGAGCCAUUGUAUUGCAAGUCGAGGAGAUGACCUAUACCAAUAAAAGAGCAUUUAUGAGGUUCAACUACCCUUUUUGUAAGUUUUCAAGGACUAAAACUCAGUUGUUAAACUCAUACCGGUUCGAGAAGUAAGCAUCACCUUAGUUGCUUCCCCAACUCGAGGUGAAAAGUCCCAAAAUCUCCAUUUUUACACAGUGAGUUAAGCAUGGCUAUCCAAAGCUUUAAGAAACUUCUUUUUCCAUCUUUUAACCUAUUUUCAUGUUAGUUUAGUUUACAACACCUUCAUCUUUUUAUGUUUUCAUCUUAACCUAAUUUUUAUUAAGAAAAGUUCACUCCAUCCUCCGAACUUCACCAGUUAAAGUAAAAACCCUUCCCAGUGUUCGAUCCUAGAGCCACUAUGCUAUAGUAGCUUUGCUACUUUAGUGUAAGGACCUUAGGUAUAAAUUUUGUUGAUACCCUUACAUGCCAAGCUACCAAGAGUCGGGUUAUCAUUAACCUAACCAUUGGCCUGUGUAAAUUGAUUUCACAUGCACAAUGUUGUAGUAGAAGUCCAUAUUUUGAAUUUUAUUUUUGUAAAGGUAAGGAAAAUGAAGCAUUGUGUAAUUAUAAAAAUAACUUCAUUGGAAUUCACAAGGUUCACCCAAAAUGGAGCUACAUCUGUAUUCUAUCCUACAGUAGACUAUAUAGAUUGUACAAUAGUAAAUUGCAAAUACAAUUAAUAAGUCUUGUGCUUCCUUACUAAUAAUCCUUUGACAUGAACAUUGCAGCACUAAGGUCCUCUUGGGAAGACACCUUGCACCCAUGAGAGCACUAAGAGGAAGCAAGGCAGAGUCAUGGGUGCAAUGUCAUGACUUGUUGUUGCACCAAGAGAGGCUUGGUGAUGCCAUGGUGUUGCAGUAGCAAGAAUGUUGCCUUGGCAGGGACACGAUCUAGGGAUAGAUGCCAAGAAAGGCUUAGCACUCACAUGAGUUGCACAAAGAUGAAUGUAAUAGAGCAUCAGAGAGACGUCUUGGCAAGUAAAUGAAUGGAUCCAAGAGACAACAACAUGAGGAGUUUCAAAUGGAUAAGGAAUGACUCAAAGACAUUUGAAAGCUACAAGUUGGAUUCUAAUUACGAUUGCAAUUUGAGUUUGAGUAGGAGUUUAGAUUUUGAUUGUAAUUGUAGUAUGAGUUGGACUAGGAUUGCUUAUCCUUAGUCAAUAUAGGAGCGGUUCGUGUCACCCUAUGAAAAGAGUUUGAGUAGGGACUAGGAUUGCUUACUCCUAGUCAAAUAUGGAGUAGGUGGUGCCACACCUAUAAAAAAAAGGGACAACAUGAGAGAGAGAGAGAGAGAGAAAGAGAGAGUGAAUUCACUAAAGAUAUUGUGGGAGUUUUGCUUUGUUACGUCUUGUAUUAUUACUUAGAAUAGGAAUAAAAUACAAGUUGGGGCUAGAGCCCCAUAAUUAAUCUCGUGUGCCUUUGUGGUUAUUCUUUAUUUGUCAUCUCGUGUGGAUUGGAUUAGGUUGACUUAGAGGGCUUCUAAGCACCACCUUUGUGGGUUAUUAUUUAUUUUCCAUCUCUUGUGGAUUAGAUUAGGUUGACUUAGAGGGCUUCUGAGCACCACCUUUGUGGGUUAUUAUUUAUUUUCCAUCUAUUGUGGAUUAGAUUAGGUUGACUUAGAGGGCUUUUAAGCACCACAUUUGUGGGUUAUUCUUUAUUUUCCAUAUCGUGUGGGUUGGAUUAGGUUGACAAGGAGAAAAAUUAUGUGGGAAAUUUGUGUUGGGACACUUACCAUAACCAAGUAAAAUCUACCAAGUCCUUUGUAAUAUCUUCAACAAAUAUUUUAGACUAGUUCUUUCAGUUAGUGUAAAGGAGGAAGAAGUGGUAUUGAUUCUAGAAAUAGGGUGUGUGUAUUUGAACUACAAUCCUUAUGAUCCUUAGGUCUCUAAACCUUCGUGAUGGGCUCCCUGACAUUUCAUAGGUUGUGCUACACAUGCGUUUGAAAUUUAGAGUGCGUUUGACAGUGAUUCCGGGAAGUGUUUUUGGCCUUUCUUACACUUGAAAAUUUUUAUUUUUCAAGUAUUAGAAAUGCUACAAACACUUUUGAAAAUUACUGUCAAACACACUCUUAGGAGCGCACAUAUAUAGUAGAAAACUAGAAAUUGUGGUUUUUUUAGGAUUUACUGUAAUGUCAUUAGGAGGGUAGUAAGUUGAAAUUGAGUAUGAACAAAUAUUUCUUUCUUUGGGAUGUUCUUCUAGUAGGUGCUGAUGAAACUGUUCUUUCUACUGCCAAUGUCACAUAUCAGCCAGAAAUUGAAAAUUUCAGUCAAGGUGUCCUCUGUUUUAGUGGUGAGGAAAGCUAGAAAUUUUAAGGUGAAGUUUUGUUAAAAACCUUAAGUAGCUGGGAUAUCAGGCCUGUUUUGCUUGAAAAAAAAAGUUGCAAGAUAACUCAUAUGCCAAACAGGUUCUGAUAUUGUGAAUCUAUCGGCAGACAUCAGUAAUCUCAUCUUCUGAGAUGGAUGUUGGGGGUGCAUGUGGUGGUGGAGGGGCAAGGUUUCAUUUGGUUUAUUUUGUUGAUGGAUAUUGUCUAGCCACCUGCGCCAAGUUUGAGGGGUGGUGGGUUGUGAUGACCCUACAAUUACUAUUAAUUUCUUCAUCUUUUACCGAUUAAAGUGUCCGAACAGUCGAAGUUACCCUUAUGCAUGUCAACUUGAUCACUUACCUCUUCAAUGGAGUUUAUGCUGGUUCAUUUAGGAACUGAUUUUUAUUGUUAUGUAUUAUAUGCUGAUGUUUAGGUCUCUCCAUCAUCACUAUAUACAAAAAUUCUAGGUUGAUACUAUAGGUUGAGAUUUAUUUUUUAAAUAAAAAAUAAUAAAAAUAAAAAUUAUGGUGAUGUUUAGUUGUUUUAUGGAAAAUUUUAACAAGUAAAAGUUAUUUUUGGGCAAGUUUUCAAACAAAAAGAAAAGUAAAAGUUGUUUUGACAAAAACAUAUAGAAAAAAAAAUCAUAGAAAAUAAAUAAUUUCCCCAUAUUCUAACUUUUUUGAAUUUUUCUCAAUGGGCAAAGGAAUAUCAAAUCAAGUUUGAGUAGGAUUUCUUAAUUUUUAAAAUAACUUACAAUUAAAAAAUUUUGGUGUUUUCAUUUUUGGACAAUUUUUUAUUAAGCAAAUGGACUCUGAGUCAUGCAAGAGAUAUGGUUCAUUAACCGGUCGAACAAUUUUUUUAAAUUAAUUUAAAAGUCAAAUACAUAAUCAAUUUCACAAAAUUUAUAAACAAAAAUAGGUUUAGAGAAGAUCUACACAUAAUUUUACUUUUCUAAUUUUAUUUUAUUUUAUUUUUUGUUGGAAAAUAGUCUUCAAAUCAUGUAAGAUUUAAUAGGUUAAAUUUGUUAACAAUAAAUUUUAAAUUAUAAAAUAUAAUCUGGAACUCAAAAAUCAAUUCAAGUAAUGCUAAAAAAAAAUCAAAUUUGGUAUAGAAUGACUUUGUAAAUUUUUUUACAAAACAAAUGAAUUUUAAAUCAAGUGAGAUUUAAUGCAUUAGAUUUUUAUCAAAUAUAGUAAUUUUAAAAAUAAAUUUGGAACUCAACAAUAGACACAAUAAAUACCAAAAAAUAAUGAACCAAAAUUGGUUUGGAAUAACUCCACAACCUUUUUUUUUUUUUUUUGGUGCACACGAAUUUUCUUACUAGGUAUAUUGCUUUCAAAUUGAGAAAGAUUUACCAUUUAGAUUUUUUUUUAAUGAGUUUAAUGGUAUUUUAAAAUAAUUCAAAAUUUAAAAAAUUGACUAAUUAAUAUUAUAAAUUGAUAAACCAAGACUAUUUCAAAAUGCAUUGGGGGCUAAGGGGGUUGAAAAUAGGGACAAUGGGAUGGGUUUGGGACAUGACACUCAUAUCUCAUUUCCAUUCCAAUUACACAGUUAUCUCCCAUCCUUAUCCCAAACUUGUGUUGGAGCAAGUUGAUUUGUUCCCAUCUUUGUUGACGAAAUGACUAAUAACCUCAUCCCCUCCUUAUCUUAGAUGUACAUUUUGUCAAAUUUGAUCAGGUAUGAUUGAUCCAAGCCCUAACCCUAAUUGGUAAUGAGUGAAUACUACACCUAAUUGCAUUCUUCUUUCAUUGCAAAAUAAUGAGAUUAUAAUAAUCUAGCAAAUAAGAAAAAAUAGUAUGGAAGUUCAAAUUAACACCAUAACUAUCAAUAAUUUUAAGCUUAUAGAUGACUUAAAUGAUUAAAAACUAAUGCAAAAUCCUAAAAAAAAUAAAAAUCAUAUAAAGAAUUCACAAGAGAACAGAAUGAACAAAAACCAAAUAUGAACAUGGGUCAACAUUAGUUAUGGAUUUGGAUUCCUUUCAAGGCCAAUCUUUGAACCAAGACUUCAUCAAAUCAACUACUUCAAAGGCUUUUGUGUUCUUCUUGGGUUGUGCUCUCAAACAAAGACUUCGAGGUGAUGUUCUAGAUGAUUGAAUUACACAUAUUUAGGGUGGAGAGAUUGGAGAAGCUUGAAGAUGCCAACGAUGGGUACAAUUGAGUGGUCAAUAAGAACAAUGUAGCCUAUGACUAGUUUGAUGUCAUGGUACAAGAGUUUUAGGCAUUGAGGUUAAAGCAAGAGCAACAUGGAAUUGAUUUCGGAGUCUUUCAGUUAGUGUAAAGGAGGAAGAAGUGGUGUUGAUUCUAGAAAUAGGGUUUUAAGUGGUGCGUGAUUACUACUCAAAAAGUGCUAUUUGAUAGCCUUUAAUUAAUCCUUUUUAACACUUUUGAGUAGUAGUUUAGGCCUUUUAACUCAAUUGGCAUGUUAAGGAUCCUUUAAAGCAAUUUUGAUCACUUUGUGCAAGUUUUGGUGUUUUUGUUAGUAUUUUGAUCACCAAAGCAAGUCAAGAAUGAGGAGAACUAUGAGGAAUCAUGGGCAAAGCUUAGAAUUCAAUUGCCAAGAGUGAAUCCGGAUUGCAAGGAGAAAAAGCAAAGAGAAUCUGUCAUGAAGCCUAUUCUUGAUGACAGUCGUAGCAGCCACUUUUGGAGCACUUUCUGAAGUCCAAAUGAUGCAAGCUAUAUACCAUUUCAAAGAUCAGGAAGUCAACAAUCCAAUGCUUCAAACGGUGCGCGAUUCGGAGUUGAAACGAAGAAGUUGCAGCCAUUACAAGCCAGUCACUCUAAAGUGUUGCGGAAUCAGCCUUUUGUUGCGAGAAUUUCGCAGCACUUUUGUACAGUAAGGUGUUUCUCCUUCUGACGAUGCACGAACCAUGCCGCGAGAGGGAAGCUAGGAACUUCAAGAUGGAAGCCAACUUUGCAGCCUGGUGAAGAUAGCUUGGUCUUGCGAAAUAAUUUCGCAGCCCUCUUGGGUGUCUGCGAAAUUUCGCAGGCACCACUUUUUUCCUGCGAAAUGGCUCCGGAAGCCUCCCGAAGCUUGCUACCGACAUUGGGAGAUAUUUUCCAUUAGAUUUUUGUUGUCUAAAUUCCAAAAUACUCCUUGUAAACCACCAAUUACAUGAUUCCUUAGUUUUUAAGUUAGUAAAAAGACCAAAUAUCUAUGUAAUAAUUAGUUUUAUAUUAGUUUGCUAUAAAUACCUCUCGGGAGCAUGUUCUCAGAGAGGAGUUCCUUCUGUAACCAUUUUGGUAAGCAAGUAAAGUCUUUUCUUUCUACUGCCUUACCUUCUCACUUUGUAUUUUCAUUUUAUUUCUAAGUUAUGAAUUCUCUGAGGAGCUUUCCCCAGAGAAUGAGUAACUAAACCUCCAAUUCCUUGGAGCUAAGGUUGCCGGGGAAGGUUCCAAGUGCAAGAAUGCAAAGCUCUGUGGUUUUAGCUAGUAAUGAAGAGGAAGUGAAAUCCUUUAGUGAUUUCAAUGUUUUUAGUUAACUUAAAACACCUUGGAGUCACCUGGGCCAACACUUGGUAAGGCAAGUGAUUUCCAACCGUGGAAAUGCACUAGUUUACCCCUUGCGAGCCUCUGGUAGGUGACUUCAAGGUAGGAUUUUCUGGAAUUACCAACACUUGGUAAGCUUUUGGACUCCUAGGAGACAUCCAUUAGUUAUCUCUUGCGAGUUUGUGAAGGGGAAUCCAAGGUUAAAGAUCACCUUGAAUGGUAAGUGCUCGUGAGAGGCAUGAACCAUUGCAAGUUGUAUCAGUGAGAGAAUUAAAGUGAAAUCUAAUUGAAGGAGUCUCUGUACAUCACCGGUUAGAGAAUUGACUAUAAGUUGAAUCUCUAAUGCGAGGAAAUGAACCAUCUGACCGGAGCUAUGUCUUUUGCAUGAGGAACCACCCCAGUGAACCUAAAUCUCCAAGGAAUGCUUUUCUUCCUAAAUUAUUCCAAACUUCUGUUAAGUUAGUUAGUUUAAGUCUAAACCUUUACCAAUCAAACUUUGUGUUUUAUUUCUUAAGCUAACCGUGAAAUGAAACAAAACCAAUUCACUUGGAAUUGGUAUCCUUGAUUGCUUGCAAAUCAUUCCCAGUGAACGAUCCUUAGAGCCACUAUACUAUAGUAGCUUUGUAUUUGCUACCCUAGUGUAUGGUGUUAUAGGUAUAAAUUUUGUUGAUCACUUCCUCAAUCAAGGAACACCAGCUGAACACAAAUCAGCUGAGACACCAAUUGGGCAUGAGUCAAAUGGCGCCGUUGCCGGGGAAUGAGUGUCAAGAUCAUUGUGAUACCAUUUUUGAGCACUUGUGAUUUUCAUCACAAGUUGGUAAAGUUUCUUUCACUUUACUAAUUUUCAUUCUCUCUUUGUUUAUUUACAAUCUAAGUUUAUCUUUUUAAAAUUUAGUCUAGUUUAAUUUUGCUAUUGUAGCCUUGUUUCUCUUGUUGUCCUCUGUUCUUGUUGUCCUCUGUUUUCAUUUUAGUUGCAGCUGAAUACUAGUUGUGUAUGCCAAAGUGGAUACGAGACAUUGGAGGUAGGCUUAUUAAGUGUGAUACACCUCAGAGAGGAGAAUUGGAAGUAAUCUUGAAUAUCAUGGAGGCUGCACCUGAAGAUCAGCAUAGUCACCAAGGUCGUCAAGACAAUCUCAAUGAAUUCAGAUCAAUGAGGGACCGUAUGCAUCCACCUCGUAUGAGUGCACCAUCAUGUAUAGUGCCCCCUACAGAGCAACUAGUGAUCAGACCAUAUCUUGUUCCACUUCUACCAACUUUCCAUGGGAUGGAAAGUGAGAAUCCGUAUGCACACAUCAAGGAAUUUGAAGAUGUUUGUAAUACAUUCCAAGAGGGAGGAGCUUCAAUUGAUUUGAUGAGGCUUAAGUUAUUUCCUUUUAAUUUAAAGGAUAAGGCCAAAAUUUGGCUUAAUUCUUUAAGGCCAAGGAGUAUCCGCUCUUGGACUGAUUUACAAGCUGAAUUCCUCAAGAAAUUUUUUCCUACUCAUAGAACAAAUGGCUUGAAAAGGCAAAUUUCAAACUUCUCAGCUAAAGAGAAUGAGAAAUUCUAUGAGUGUUGGGAAAGAUACAUGGAAGCUAUAAAUGCUUGUCCUCACCAUGGCUUUGAUACUUGGCUACUGGUGAGUUAUUUUUAUGAUGGUAUGUCCUCCUCAAUGAAGCAACUCCUCGAGAAAAUGUGUGGAGAAGAUUUCAUGAGCAAAAAUCCAGAGGAAGCUAUGGAUUUCUUGAGCUAUGUAGCUGAUGUUUCAAGGGGAUGGGAUGAACCAACUAAAGGAGAAGUGGGAAAGAUGAAGUCUCAGUUGAAUGCUUACAAUGCAAAGGCUGGGAUGUAUACUUUAAAAGAGGAUGAUGACAUGAAAGCAAAGUUGGCAGCUAUGACAAGAAGAUUGGAGGAGCUGGAGCUGAAAAGAAUGCAUGAAGUGCAAGCUGUUGCUGAAGCACCAGUGCAAGUGAAGUUGUGUCCCAAUUGUCAAUCGUUUGAACAUUUGGUAGAGGAAUGCCCUGCAAUUUCAGCUGAAAGGGAAAUGUAUAGAGAUCAAGCAAAUGUUGUUGGACAAUUCAGGCCCAAUAACAAUGCUCCUUAUGGAAAUACCUACAAUUCAAGUUGGAGGAAUCAUCCAAAUUUUUCAUGGAAGGCCAGAGCAACUCAAUACCAACAGCCGGAUCCACCAUCUCAACAAUCUUCAAGUAUUGAACAAAUAAUAGCUAAUCUCAGCAAGGUAGUGGGAGAUUUUGUGGGAAAGCAAGAAGCCACCAAUGCUCGAGUGGAUCAAAGAAUGGACAGAGUGGAUCAAAGAAUGGACAGAAUGGAGAGUAUGUUGAACAAAAGAAUGGAUGGAAUGCAAAAUGAUAUGAAUCAAAAAUUUGAUAACAUCCAAUAUUCAAUUUCAAGGCUUACAAAUUUGAAUACACUGCAAGAAAAGGGAAGAUUUCCUUCUCAACCUAACCAAAAUCCCAAAGGUGUCCAUGAAGUGGAAAGCCAUGAGGGAGAAUCAUCACAGGUGAAAGAUGUGAAAGCUUUGAUCACUCUAAGGAGUGGUAAGAAAAUUGAGCAGCCAACACCCAAGCCACAUGUUGAGAAAGAAGAAGAGAUGAAGAAAGGGAAGGAAAUGGAAGAUAAAGGCAGUGAGAUCAGUGAAGAAAAGAAGGACUCUGAUGCAACAAUGAAAGUAAUUCCAGAGAAGGAGCUUCUGAAGGAAGAAAUGCUGAAGAAAUCAACUUUUCCACCUUUUCCUCAAGCAUUACAGGGGAAAAAGGGGGUUAGAAAUGCAGCUGAAAUCCUAGAAGUAUUGAGGCAAGUGAAAGUUAAUAUUCCACUGCUGGAUAUGAUCAAACAAGUUCCAACGUAUGCAAAAUUCCUAAAGGACUUGUGUACUAUCAAAAGAGGGUUGACUGUAAACAAGAAAGCCUUCUUGACUGAGCAAGUAAGUGCAAUCUUACAGUGUAAGUCUCCUUUGAAGUACAAAGACCCUGGAAGUCCUACCAUUUCAGUCAUGAUUGGAGGAAAGGUAGUGGAGAAAGCCUUGCUAGACUUGGGAGCAAGUGUGAAUUUGCUUCCAUAUUCUGUCUACAAGCAACUGGGACUUGGAGAGUUGAAGCCAACAGCAAUCACUUUGUCUCUGGCAGAUAGAUCAGUGAAAAUUCCAAGAGGGGUAAUUGAGGAUGUAUUGGUUCAAGUAGAUAAUUUCUACUAUCCUGUAGAUUUUGUUGUUCUUGAUACAGAUCCUACUGUAAAGGAAGCUAAUUUAGUUCCUAUCAUCCUUGGAAGGCCAUUUCUUGCAACUUCAAAUGCAAUCAUCAACUGUAGAAAUGGGCUUAUGCAACUCACUUUUGGUAACAUGACACUGGAUCUAAAUAUUUUCUAUAUGUCUAAAAAGCAAAUCACUCCAGAAGAAGAAGAGGGUCCAGAAGAGCUAUGUAUUAUUGAUACUUUGGUGGAGGAGCACUGCAAUCAACAUAUGCAAGAUAAGUUGAAUGAAAGUUUUGUGGAUAUUGAGGAAGGUUUUUCUGAAUCUCCUAAUGGGCUUGCUACUCUACAAAGUUGGAGAAAGAUAGAAGGAAUUCUACCUUUGUUCAAUGAAGAAGAGGAGGCAGCUGUUGAAAAAGAAAUUCCAAAACUCAAUCUGAAGCCUUUACCUAUGGAGCUGAAAUAUACAUAUCUUGAAGAAAAUAAUCAAUGUCCUGUCGUAAUAUCUUCAUCUCAAACCAAGUCUCAAGUGAAGGAUGCAAGCUUCAAAUGGGAUCCGGGCAAACUGAAUCAGGAAGGGCAAAAAGUUUUGAUGUAUGACACAAGACUCCAUAUCUUUCCUGGGAAGCUCAAGUCAAGGUGGAUUGGUCCAUUUGUUAUUCACCGAGUAUAUUCCAAUGGAGUGGUGGACUUAUUGAAUUCCAAUGGCAAGGACAGCUUUAGAGUCAAUGGAUAUCGUCUUAAGCCGUUCAUGGAGUCAUUCAAAUCAGAAAAGGAGGCAAUCAACCUCCUUGAACCUCAAAAAGCCUAAGUGAAAUGGGUUUGCUGGACGUGGUUUUACCACAGUCCAAAAAUUUUUGUAAAUUUUGUAAAUUUUCAAGUUGUUUCCAUGCUUUUAAUCUUAGUUUUUGAUUUUAAAUCAUGUUUUUAGGUGUGUUUUAAUCGUUUUAUAUGAUCCCAGGCGGAAGAAAUUUCAAGGGGAUUGAAAAGAAAAAAAUCGGGUCGAAAUUGGAGCCGAAACAGAGCAAAAACAGGGGAAAAACAGAGCUCUGCGAAAUUUCGCAGGGUGAAGGAAACUUCUGCGAAAUUGGCAUUUUGCUGCCAAACCAUUCCGCAGCACUGUAGAAGCCUCUGCGAGUGUAUUUCGCAAUUGCGAAAGUGGAUUUGGCACACGAGUGCCACUUCGCAGCACAGUGACAUCAAUUUCGCAGCUGCGAAACUCACUGCGAAGUUGCUGCGAAAAUGGCAAGUUGCUGCGAAAUUGGCGUUUUGUUGCGAAACGUAAUCUGACCCCUGGGCUUCCGUUUUUCCUAUUUAUACCUGUCAAAAGUGCUGCGAAAAAGGUUUCAAAAAUUAGAGCACCAUUCUCGCAGCCCUUUCAUCUUCUUCGCCAAGCCACGCCGUCCGUUUCUCCGGUCGUCUUCUCCGUUUAGCAGCGCCGGCCAAAGAUCGAUAGCCCAAAAAUGGCACGAACGCGAGGGGCAAAGUCUUCAUCCCCUUCGAACCGCAAAAGGAGUCUGCGAAAGGAGCCAAGUUCAGGCUCUGUUCCAGAACCUGCUCCAAAGCCUUCGCCGUCGAGACCACAACCUUCUCCAGUGAAGCCGGCGCCACCAAAGCCGCCGGCAAGGCGAUAUUUAACCAGGUCAGGUGGUCAGCCAUUGAAGAAGAAAGCCAGAGUUGAGAGCUCUGAACCAAUCGAUUUGACUGAGCAAUCCCCUGAGAAAUCACCAAAUCCUUCACCGGUACAAAUUCCAGUGCCAUCACCGGUUCCCUCGCCAAUUCCCUCACCAGAAGCAACUCCAAUUCCAUCGCCGGUACCAUCUCCGGCACCCCAAGAAAAAGCUCAGGAGCCUCAAGCGCCAAUUCCAGAGCCCCAAAUUGCAGCUGAAGCACCUCUGGAAGAAGUGAUCCGAAGGCCAAUGCUGCCUCAGCCCCCAAUCGAAGGAAACCUGGAUUGCCGAACUCGGGCAUUCCAUUCUGAGCUUUGCUUCGAUUUAACAGCAUUCAGAGUGAGGCCAGAGCUUGCCCAAUCCUUCCAACUGCUGAGGAGAUAUCAUAUGGAGCAUCUGCUAGCUCCAAGGGAUUUUUUCUAUCCCCGGGUAGUCACGGAUUUCUACCAAACCAUGACAACCAAAGAAGUAAGAAAUCCAACUCUGAUUCAUUUCAUAAUUGAUGGAAGGCAUGGUAUUUUGGGAGCAAGACAUAUUGCUGAAGCCCUGCAAAUUCCUUUUGAGCCAACUCAAUUCGACAAUUUUAAAGCUUGGACAAAUCCUACUGAGUUAGAGAUGGUUAGCACACUAACCAGAGGAGCUGCAAAUCGAUCGCAUUUGUUGAGGGGGGAGCUACCUCCAGUUAUGUUUUUGAUUGAUGCCUUUUUGAGGCAUAAUAUCUAUCCCCUGCAGCAUUGGACCCAAAGAAGGGGAAUUCUCCUAGAAGCCUUGUACAAAAUGUCUGAAGGAUUCUUCUUUGGGCCUCAUCAUCUGAUCAUGGCAGCCCUUCUAUACUUUGAGGAGAAGGUUCACAAGAAGAAGCUUCAAAGAGCAGAUUGCAUUCCACUCCUCUUCCCAAGGCUGCUAUGCCAAGUUUUGGAGCAUCUCGGAUACCCCUCUGAGCCUCAGCAGGAAAGAAAGAGAAUAUGCCGUGAGCCUUUUACCCUUGAUAAAUGGAAUAAUAUGACGGCCUACAAAAUUGAUCAGCCUGGGCAGCCUCAGCCAGCAGCAAGGAGAGUCUCCCCAAGACAUAUACCUGAAGGUAUAACACUUGCUACUCCUGCCAUCCCUCGAGCUCCACCAGCUGCACCUGCUCCAUCACAGCCAUCCACAUCAGCUGAGCCGAGGAUGGCCAUCCCUAUAUCCGAAUAUCGAGAGCUGUGCCGUGCAUUGGAGACUCUUACAGCUUCUCAGAGCAAUCUUGCUCAGGAGUUGGCAGCCAUUAAAGCAUGCCAGGAGCAGAUGUUAGCCUCUCAGACUCAACAAGCUGCCAUCCUAAGGCAGCUUCAAGUCCAUUUCGAUCUGCCACAAGCUGUAGAGCCCUCUAUUCCUACUCCACCAGAGCCACACUCUCAGCCUUCAGAGUCUCAUCCUCCAGAACCCGAAGCACCAGCUGAUCCACCUACUGAGGAGGCAGAUCCUUCUGCCUAGCACCAUCACCCCCCUCAUCAGACAUUAUAUAUAUAUUUGCUGUUUAUGUUUUUAUGCAUGUUUGUUUUGUUUUAGUUGAAAAGAAAUCCCAGUAUUUUGGUACUAUAUAUGGGAUUCCUUGUGUUACUUGUCUUUAGUAUUGUAAUCACAUGAACUCAAAGUAAUACAAGUUGACUAUUUCUUGUUAAAAGUUAGCAUUAAAGUUUCCUUAUUUCCUUUUCUCACAUAUUCUAUUCUUUUUGAAACAUGUGGUUUUCCCCAAUCAAUAUUCGAAUUUGAUAUCAGCAUGGAGGUACCACUUCCUCCCUUUUAUUACAGUCACUCAAAUCACAUUGAGGACAAUGCUCAGUUCGGUUGGGGGGUAUGAGGAAGGAAGUAUUCUAAACCUUUUUGGUAUUGCAAUUAUAUUGGUUAAUUAGUUGUAGAUUUUACUUUUUACUAGUGUUACUCUAUUCUCCAUGAAUUUUGAGGAAAAAUUUUCAAAUUAAACCAAGAGAAAUUGAACUGUUGUUUUUCACUUGACUUAGAGUAUGGAUUAUGCUUACUAAAGUGGUUCAAUUGUUGAAACUUCUACUGAAAUUGAAUUGAGUUCUUCCACUUUAAGCUAUCCACACACUGUGCACAUUAGUUUCCGAUUAUAAGAUGAAAAGCUAUUUCCCUCUUGACUUAGUAUAUUUUUGGGACUUGGUAUAUUUGACCUCAUUUGAUAAAAAUUGAAACACCCUGCAAAAGGCCAAUGAGCCUUUGAAAUAAAGAAAGUUGUUUGCUUGCCUUGAAACCCGAGCAAGGUCUGAGGGGUAUAUGGUGAAAAUCUUUAAAGCCUGGUGCCCUAAGCCUUAAUUGGUUGGGAGUCACCGACCUCAAUGCUCGUUACAAGGGUGAAUAGGUAGAGUUAGCAUAUGGUAGAUGCUUGGGUAUUAGAAAUUCAUUCUUAAAAGUCCGGGGAAAAAUCCGAGGAGUUAGUGGUUGAAAGAUCCUUAAAACUUGGUGCCCUAAACCUUAAUUGGUUGGGAGUCAUCGAUGGACCCCCAUUACAUGGACAAGUCAGAAAGAGUACCCCAUAAAGCUACCUUAAAAAAAAAAAAAAAAAAAAAAAAAAAAAAAAAGAUGAAAGUGUGUUCUUUUCUUAUUGAUUUUGGUCAGUUUGCUAAAGUGUUGAAAAGAGAUAGGUUGGGGGGUGAGAUUAGUAGCAUAUUAUUCUCGGAACCUAAGGAACCAAUACACAUAGAUUUUUGUGGAAGAUUGAAGUUUAGUUCUUAGAAAAUGAAAUGAUUUUAAAACUUCAGUUUGCAUAAUGCACUCCCUUGAUUGACAGUGUUUAGCAUAGGUGUUAUGACUCUUGUUGAGAUUUGGGUUUGUAUUUCUUUAAUGAUUCAUGUGAGAAAUAGAUCAUCAUGCCACUUGAGAAUUAUUUUCCUUUUAGCAUGAUGUUGUAAAUUUUAGAUUAGUUUGCUAUUUAUUUUUUAUUUUCUCUCCUAUAUUGCUAAGGGACUAGCAAUAUGUCGGUUGGGGGGAGUGAUUACUACUCAAAAAGUGCUAUUUGAUAGCCUUUAAUUAAUCCUUUUUAACACUUUUGAGUAGUAGUUUAGGCCUUUUAACUCAAUUGGCAUGUUAAGGAUCCUUUAAAGCAAUUUUGAUCACUUUGUGCAAGUUUUGGUGUUUUUGUUAGUAUUUUGAUCACCAAAGCAAGUCAAGAAUGAGGAGAACUAUGAGGAAUCAUGGGCAAAGCUUAGAAUUCAAUUGCCAAGAGUGAAUCCGGAUUGCAAGGAGAAAAAGCAAAGAGAAUCUGUCAUGAAGCCUAUUCUUGAUGACAGUCGUAGCAGCCACUUUUGGAGCACUUUCUGAAGUCCAAAUGAUGCAAGCUAUAUACCAUUUCAAAGCUCAGGAAGUCAACAAUCCAAUGCUUCAAACGGUGCGCGAUUCGGAGUUGAAACGAAGAAGUUGCAGCCAUUACAAGCCAGUCACUCUAAAGUGUUGCGGAAUCAGCCUUUUGUUGCGAGAAUUUCGCAGCACUUUUGUACAGUAAGGUGUUUCUCCUUCUGACGAUGCACGAACCAUGCCGCGAGAGGGAAGCUAGGAACUUCAAGAUGGAAGCCAACUUUGCAGCCUGGUGAAGAUAGCUUGGUCUUGCGAAAUAAUUUCGCAGCCCUCUUGGGUGUCUGCGAAAUUUCGCAGGCACCACUUUUUUCCUGCGAAAUGGCUCCGGAAGCCUCCCGAAGCUUGCUACCGACAUUGGGAGAUAUUUUCCAUUAGAUUUUUGUUGUCUAAAUUCCAAAAUACUCCUUGUAAACCACCAAUUACAUGAUUCCUUAGUUUUUAAGUUAGUAAAAAGACCAAAUAUCUAUGUAAUAAUUAGUUUUAUAUUAGUUUGCUAUAAAUACCUCUCGGGAGCAUGUUCUCAGAGAGGAGUUCCUUCUGUAACCAUUUUGGUAAGCAAGUAAAGUCUUUUCUUUCUACUGCCUUACCUUCUCACUUUGUAUUUUCAUUUUAUUUCUAAGUUAUGAAUUCUCUGAGGAGCUUUCCCCAGAGAAUGAGUAACUAAACCUCCAAUUCCUUGGAGCUAAGGUUGCCGGGGAAGGUUCCAAGUGCAAGAAUGCAAAGCUCUGUGGUUUUAGCUAGUAAUGAAGAGGAAGUGAAAUCCUUUAGUGAUUUCAAUGUUUUUAGUUAACUUAAAACACCUUGGAGUCACCUGGGCCAACACUUGGUAAGGCAAGUGAUUUCCAACCGUGGAAAUGCACUAGUUUACCCCUUGCGAGCCUCUGGUAGGUGACUUCAAGGUAGGAUUUUCUGGAAUUACCAACACUUGGUAAGCUUUUGGACUCCUAGGAGACAUCCAUUAGUUAUCUCUUGCGAGUUUGUGAAGGGGAAUCCAAGGUUAAAGAUCACCUUGAAUGGUAAGUGCUCGUGAGAGGCAUGAACCAUUGCAAGUUGUAUCAGUGAGAGAAUUAAAGUGAAAUCUAAUUGAAGGAGUCUCUGUACAUCACCGGUUAGAGAAUUGACUAUAAGUUGAAUCUCUAAUGCGAGGAAAUGAACCAUCUGACCGGAGCUAUGUCUUUUGCAUGAGGAACCACCCCAGUGAACCUAAAUCUCCAAGGAAUGCUUUUCUUCCUAAAUUAUUCCAAACUUCUGUUAAGUUAGUUAGUUUAAGUCUAAACCUUUACCAAUCAAACUUUGUGUUUUAUUCCUUAAGCUAACCGUGAAAUGAAACAAAACCAAUUCACUUGGAAUUGGUAUCCUUGAUUGCUUGCAAAUCAUUCCCAGUGAACGAUCCUUAGAGCCACUAUACUAUAGUAGCUUUGUAUUUGCUACCCUAGUGUAUGGUGUUAUAGGUAUAAAUUUUGUUGAUCACUUCCUCAAUCAAGGAACACCAGCUGAACACAAAUCAGCUGAGACACCAAUUGGGCAUGAGUCAGUGCGUUAGAGGAUCAAGAAGAAGAAAAAGAAGGAACUGUUGGAAUUAGUAUGAGUGUGAAGAGAAAAGUAUAUAAAUAAGGGGAAGUAAAAGCAAAGUUCAAAAAGCUAUAUUUUUUUAUUGUUGGUGUAUGGUUGCAUGAUUAUCCCUAUAAAUAAUAGGAGUUUUUUGGUAUUCUACUAGUAGUUGAAGCAUAAUUUCAUAAAUUAAUAUUUAGAGCGGGGUGGGGUGAGUUGUGACAAAAUUCAUACCCGUCCCAAACCUUGGUUCAGAUUUUUAAAAUAUUCUCAAACUUAUCAUAUACCCAACUUUUAUAUUUCAUACUUGUCCUAAUAGAGGCACGUUAGGCCGGGUUACUUGAGUAACCUACAUAAUUGUCAUCCCUAGUUGAAAUACACUUUUUGGCAGUGGCCACCAACUGAGCUAGAAGCUUGAUUGAUUGACCUACAAGAUUAGUUCUCAUCAUUUUAAAAAAAGUUCUGGCUUUGGUUGUGAGUGCAAUUGAAUCUAAACUGGCAUUUGCUUAAUGCAUCUACUUCAAUCCUAAACUUCUUACUUCUUAAGCCUCAAUUGUUGUUAGGAUUUUGGAAAACCCAUUUCCUUAAAUUGUAAAUUUAAGAUAAAAUAAAAUAAAAGUGAGACAUUUCUUGAUUGAAUAUUGUUAAAGGUCCCUUGGCAUUAAGACUUGGUUGAAGCCUUGGAAGAUUAGUGGAACUCUCAACAUGUGUUUGAAUCUUGAGGAGAGUGGAUGUAAGCCAAAAUUUUGUCAAACCAUUAUACAAAUUGAGUUUGAAUCCUCAUUUCUUGAUUUCUUAUUUAUUUGCUUUUUCUUAUUAUUACUUGAAUUGUCAUUUGCAUUCAUUAAUGUUAAAAUUGGUUAUAAUUAACCAACACUAAUUCUCUUUCCCCUUCCCUUUCUUGGGUGUAAACCUAGGUUGGAUUAACUAGAUAAAUCUAUUAAGAUGGUAAAAGAAUAAUUAUUCUUAACAUACAUAAGAUCAUCUUCAAUCAAAUGACUCAUUGGCUAAUAUGUUGAAUUUGCUUAUUACUUGCAACUCAAAAUUGUGUUCUAGUUGUGUCAAGUCCCCAGUGUAUGGACAUUAAAUUUGUAGUACGUGAUGAGUAAUUAGAUGGUCCAACUCCAAGAAAGUGAUUGAAAAGUAGUUCAAGAAAGGUGCAAAAGGGAAUUGUUUUGGUAUUUUCGUUUUUAUUCUUGAAGGUGGCAGAGCUAAAAUUUGAGAAAUCAAGCAAAACAUACUGAAAUUACAUUGAAAGAAAGAAGAUGGGAGUUAAUGUCUUGCAGUACAUGAUAAGGACUUCAUGCAUGUAGUGUGACCCAUGUCUUGGACUGAUGCCAACUCACGGUUACACUUAUACCCUUGGUUCUCUCUUUACUACCUUGGCUAACCUAGAUCAGGCUAUGAGAUAGGCUCCUCACCACACCAUUACUUGCCCAUUAAUUAGAGACAUUUUCAAGCAAUGAGGUAACAUGGUGACACCAAGAGGGUCUAUUCCUCGCCCGGAACAAGUCUAGACUUGGUCUCAAAAAAAUGGAGAAAAAUGAGGUGUCGUUAUGUAGAAAUACAACAACCAUGCCUUCCUCAUUACUUAGAUUCAGAAUGUGAAGGUGAAAUUGAGAAACAGAAACUCUUGAAACCAAAAUGAAAAUUGAUACUUUUACGAAGAAUUACAACAACAUUAGAGGAAGACUACAUUCUUCCUCUUUAUUCCUACAUUUCUACACUACUUCUACUCCACUCCAUAUUUCUACAUACAUCUUUAAUCAGUCUUCCCUCCUUUAUAUAGAGCCAUCUUCACACAAAUUUCGCAAGGUAGAAAAGAGGAAUGAAACUUGGAGCAAGGUUCGACUACUGGUUGUAGCUUGUCAAGGCUGGAAGUGAACUUUUCUUGGCUUUCUGGGCAUGGGUAGUAACUUGUGGGUUCCUGUUUGGCAUAAAAAUGGCUAGAACAUGUGGCACUAUCUUGUUGGAUGAUGUGUCAAGCAUGUGGCAGCCAUCUAGUGGCGAUUAUGUCAAUUUUGGGAUGGAGAGUUGGCAUCCAAUUGCAAAGAAAUAUGACGUCUACCAACAUGCAAUGUAAACCUAUGUAGAUCAUAUGAAGAUAGAGAGGAAAAAUAUAGAAAUGGAUAUAUACCUAGAACUAGCUUUUUAUUAAAUGAAACGGAGAGACAACAAUGAAGGAAAAUAAAAUUUUUUGGCUUAUAUCAAAGAGUUCACAUUGUGUUACCCUAGGUUUUCUUAAAACUUACUUUUAUGAUAACAAAAAAGAAAAAACCAUUAUUGUUUAAUCCUUUGUUUUAAACGCAUGUAAGGUGUAAUUAAGUUAGUUCAAUGCAUUAAUUUAAGAAACUUGACCUAUCAAAAGUACAAAAUUAGAUGAAAUCCAUUUCAAUGGUUAAAAUGAUCAAAAUCAAACUUUUUCUAAGUAUUUUUUAAAAGCAUCAAUAGUGAAAGACAAUUUUAUAUUUAGUCGGAGUUUGGACAAAACUGAAAAACACACAAAAUCCAAGCGACCAUCUCUAGCUUGGAUGGUCGCUUGAUCCCACCUAGAGAUGUGCAUGAGUAAAAGGAUUUGAAAAUGGAAAUUGACUAUGUAGUCGAUCAAUUAACUUUGCAACAUCAUAUGCAAUCCUAAUUGCUAGUCAUCUAAUCAAUUAGGUAGUCAAUCAACAGGCCAAAAAUAUGUUUAUAAUGACUAUUUUGUACAAAAACCACCUGUAUAGUUAAAUAUAAUGCAUUUCAUUUAUAAAUCUUCUAAUUCUUGAAUAACGAUCCUAUCAUCCUUUGAAAGUUUUUAUUACACUUUUUUUACUUUUGUUCUAAAACUUACACAUCACCCUUAAUUGUACCAUGAGAACCUAGCUAUUUUUUAUUUUUUUUUUUGUAAUUCAUCAAAGUUAGCUUUUGUAUUCAUUGUUGUAUUAUUUUUAGUAUAACUUAGAAAGCUAGUGUUUUCAAGUGAGUAAAAUUAACUUGUAAAUAUUGUAAAGAUUCAUCGACAUGUAUCUUAAACUAAGUGUACAAGUUAAAACAUUUGCUAGUAGAUUUUCUCAAAAUUUAGAAUAGAGCUUGAGACUAUUGAAAUAGGUGGGGUUGCACCAAACCACAUCACAUCGUUGUUUGCACCUUUUUUCACUCUCUUUUACUUAGUUGCUCUAUAUUUGUUGUCUAGUAAUAUCCUAUAGGCUUGAUGGGUUAGGGAGCAUCCCUUUGUGAAAAAAUUUUAUUCAAUCCUUAGUUGUAUCACGCAUAUAUAAAAUGCCUCAUUGUUUUAAUGGUAUUCAGUCGUGGCAUCACAGAUAUGGGCAUCUAAAUUUUAAAAGUUUGAAACUUUUAUCUAAAGAAAAUAUGGUGCUUUGCCUUUUUGUAAAGCAUGUUGAUGAAAUCCAUGAGAAUUGUGUACUUGGGAAGCAACACCGAGAUGACUUUUUUUUUUUUUUUAUAAUAUUGUUUGUCCAAAUUCCCUACAAAUUAGGCCACCAGAUGUUCAUAAUUCUCCCUUCUUGAAUUUGAAAACUCGGACAAUUGGACAAUGCGACACCUAAGUCCGGUUUCUAAAUGCUAAAGUGAAAGGGUAGGUAUGGACCAUUGAAAUGUGAUCACAACUUUUCUCUGUAGCCAUGUUGUCUCUUUUUUCUUUUGCAUGAUUUUCUUACCUUAACAGAAUCAUAGACUUGUUUAGUCUCUAAAUGGGAUUAAUUUCAUCCAGCUUUAAGCUACUAUAUUAUAUCUAGGUGGAGGACUUUUAAGAGUGCAACCGACAUAGAGCACAUGGAAGUGGGUAUAUGGGACAUGAAAUUUCUUCUUAUAAAGAUUGCAUGAUUUUUAUAUUAGAGUUGUUGAGGCGCUAUGUAUUUAGCUUGUUUUGCAGUUAAAUUAAUUGGAUAAGUAGACAUUGGCGUUUCUAAAUCUACUGUGAAGUGCUUCAUGUACGUGUGAAGUAUUAGAAAUUUCUUUCUUGGCAACUUGUUUUUCUUUGCGGUCUACUGAUAGGUUUGACUAAAAUUAUAUUCCCUGUCAUGCUAAUUAAUUUUCACGUGCAUGCUCAAAAGAAAAGUAUGACCUUAGUGCACCAAAAUCACUUUGAUUAAUUUGUGAUAGGUUUUUGUGCAUCAUGACAUUAGCCUUAUUCAUUUAGAUAAUGUUUAGUUUUUAGAAAGUAUUAAGAAAAGGAAAAUAAAUAUUAAGAAAAAUAUUCUUAUAUUUGAUUGUAUUAUGAAAAAUAUCAUAAAAAAAUCAAAUAUAAUUUAAAUUAAUUAAUAAUUUAUACAUUUUCAAAUUAUUUAAUCUUUAUAUUGAAGAUAUAAUAUAAAUGAAAUGAGUUUUAAGUAUUAUAUAAAAGUGAUUUAUUGAUCUUACAUAUAUAUAUUUCUUUUUUUUUUCCUUCUAUUUUUUCUCUUUAUUUUAUUUUCCUUAUGUUUUCCUCAACAUUUUCCGGAACCAAACAUAGCCUUAGGAAAUCCACAAUUACCUUCAACUGAGUAGAUUCUGUUGUUUUAGCAAUGUUAGGCUGCUAACUUGUGUUGGUACGAACCUAUUAAGCCUAAAGAUGUAAUUAGUUAGGAUAUUCUUUUCCCUCUAGUCUUGUAGCUCCACGUGUACAGUUGGUUAGGACCUCAUUGUAUAUAAUGCUUGCCCUGUUAUUGUAGAAGACAACAAAGAUAAAUAAUAUUAACAUUUUUCCUCUCAUCUCUCUCUGUUUCCCUCUGUUUUCAUCUCCUCUCUCAUCUUGGUAUCAGAGCCUCCAUGGCUUCUUUCAAAGAAACCUCCGAAUCACCUUCUGCUAGCAUUGUUAAUGUGCAAAACCCAUUAUCUCAAUCAAACAACCUUCCUUCACCAGUAGCCACACCCUCUUUUUCUUUCUCGUCUAUGAAUCAACCUCUCACAGUGAAGCUGGAUAAUGGGAACUACCUCAUAUGGAAGAAUUAGCUUCUAAAUGUCAUCAUUGCUAACGGACUCGAUGAUUUCAUUGACGGAUCUCGACCCUGCCCUCCUCGAUUUCUCGAUCUGCAACAACAAACCCUCAAUCCAGAGUACUCAGCUUGGCAGAGAUACAAUCGACUUCUGAUGAGUUGGCUGUACGCAUCCUUGUCCAAAGAUAUAAUGGCUCAGAUUGUUGGGUAUUCAACAGCUAUGGAGAUUUGGAAUGCCCUUAAUCAGAUUUACUCUGCCUCUUCUAUGGCGCGGUUUACUGAGCUUCGCACCAAGCUUCAAACGCUCAAGAAAGAUGGACUCUCAGUUGGUGAAUAUAUUCAAAGGCUCAAAUCCAUUUGCAAUAGUCUUGCAGCAAUAGGAGAACCAGUUUCUGAGAAAGACCAUCUUAUCUAUUUGUUCAAUGGAUUAGAUUGUGAGUAUUAUUCUUUUGUUACCUCCAUUCAAAAUCGAUCUGACCAACCAACUAUUGACAAAAUCCAUAGCCUAUUGCUUAGCUAUGACUUCCGGCUUGAACAACAAAACUCUGUUUCUCUCCAUUCUGCCCAAGUCCAUAUGGCUCAUCUGAACAAGAAACCUUAUAAAUCAACUCCUCAACCUACAUUCAAUCAUAUUCACAUUCAACCUAGAUACUCUUCUCCACCUUUUAAGCCAACCACUAGUCAAUAUCAACCCAACAUUUUGGGCAAACCACAACCACAACCAUGACAGCCUCAACCUCAAUGGAAACCACAUUUUUCAAUCUAAAAUCAAAAGCCUCAGCGCCAAAUUUGUGGUAAAUUUGGACACACUGCUCUUAUUUGCUUCCAUCACACAAAUUUGAACUAUUCACCCCAACCUUCUCCUAAAUCUUUCAAUACUGUUCUCACCACAAAUUCCCAGCUCCCUAAUCCUCCAAAAUUUUCUUACCCUACAAUGGCUCAUCCUGCUGCUACGCAUAACACGGUUCCCGAUACAAAUUGGUACAUGGACUCAGGUGCUACACAUCACUUUACUCUGGACAUCAACGUGCUUGACACUGUGACACCAUUUAGUGGUUCAGAACAGGUGACAGUUGGGAAUGGUAAGCAACUCUGUAUCUCACAUCUUGGUACUGCAAAACUACCAUCUUCGUAUUCUCCUCCUGUUCUACAUCAGGUAUAUCACACUCCAAAAAUUUCAAAUAAUCUUAUUAGUGUUAAAAAAUUGUGUUCUGAUAAUAAAGUUUUUGUUGAAUUUUAUGCCACUCAUUUUCUUGUCAAGGAUCAGGUUUCGAAGAGAGUUCUCCUUUAGGGUCAACUUGAUAAUGGCUUAUACAAAGUUCAGUCGUCAUGCUCUCCUUCUGCUGUUUCCUUUCCUCCUCAAGUUUUCAUAGCCAACAUCAAGUAUCCAAAUCUGUGGCACAAGAGACUAGGCCACCCAGCUUUAUCUGUUGUUAAUCAAAUCUUGGAUUCUUGUAACAUUGCUCGAACACAGAAAAUUUGUUUUAAUUUUUUAAAUUCUUGUCAAUUAGCAAAGAGCCACAGGCUUCCUUUUUCUCUGUCUCCAUCCAUUGCAGAAAAACCUUUUGAGUUAAUUCAUACAGACCUAUGGGGUCUUUCGCUCGUUCGCUCUAUUUCUGGUGCUCUUUAUUUUUUACUUUUCAUUGAUGAUCAUACUCGUUUUACUUGGUUUUAUUUGCUCAAAACAAAAGAUGAAGCAUAUCCUACUUUUCUCAAGUUUCAAGCUCUCAUUGAAAAUCAAUUUAAUACCAAGAUUAAGGCUGUCCAAUCUGAUUGGGGAGGUGAGUUUCGAUCUCUCUCCAUACCGUUUUCAAAUAUGGGCAUUGUCUAUUGUUUAUCGUGUCCAUACACCUCACAACAGAAUGGGCGAGUUGAGCGAAAAAAUCGCCAUGCGAUUGUCCUUUCUUGCUUGCUCUAUGCCCUUAUCUUAUUGGCCUUAUGCCUUUCAAACUGCCACUUACCUUAUUAAUCGUCUCUCUACCCCUGUGCUGCAUCAUCAAUCCUCUUACUUCGCACUCUAUCACAAACUCCCAACUUAUACUCAUCUUAAGGUCUUUGGUUCCUCUUGUUUUCCGUAUUUGCACCCUUAUAAUACCCAUAAACUCCAAUACAGGUCACUAGAGUGUGCUUUUCUUGGUUACAGUUCACACCACAAAGGUUAUCUAUGUCUUGACAUUCAUUCUAGCAGGGUGUAUAUUUCUCGCCAUGUGAUUUUUAAUGAAGAUUCUUUUCCAUUCAAGAAUUUGAAAUCUUCUCUCUCUCAGUCUAUUUCUUCUUCCUCUUCUUUAUAAGUUCCUCUGUUCAUUCUCUUGCCUCCCCUUUCCCCAUCUCCUCUUAUUUCUUCAUCUAUACCUCAUUCUUUUCCCUCUUCUUCUUCUACCUCUAGUACUUGUUCCCCUCUCGUUGCUCCUACCUCUCUUCCUUCCUCUUCACACUCUGUGUCUCCAUCUAUUCCACCUCCUUCUCCACCUUCUCCGAGUGUGGACCUGCUUGCACCUUGUGUGAAUACAAAUUUACAUACUUCUUCUCGCACUCACAAUAUUCAUCCUAUGGUGACUAGAUCUAAGGUUUGUAUCUAUAAACCUAAGUUGUUGUUGAGUGUCUCCAUAGGUUCUCUCACUAAGCCUACUUCCUUUCUUCAAGCUAUUAAAGAUCCUUCAUGGAAGCAAUCCAUGGAAUUCGAGUUUGCUACCCUUCAACACAACAAGACCUGGCAUUUGGUUCCUUCACCUUCCUCAGGCGAAGUAAUCGGUUGUAAAUGGGUCUAUAAGCUAAAGCUUCAGCCUGAUGGCUAAAUUGAGAGAUACAGCCUGCUUAGUAGCUAAGGGUAUCAUCAAAUUGAAGUAUGGACUACUUCGAAACAUUCAGCCUGAUNNNNNNNNNNNNNNNNNNNNNNNNNNNNNNNNNNNNNNNNNNNNNNNNNNNNNNNNNNNNNNNNNNNNNNNNNNNNNNNNNNNNNNNNNNNNNNNNNNNNAGCUUCAGCCUGAUGGCUAAAUUGAGAGAUACAAGGCCUGCUUAGUAGCUAAGGGUUAUCAUCAAAUUGAAGGUAUUGACUACUUCGAAACAUUCAGCCUGAUUGUCAAGCUUUCUACUAUCUGUAUUGUGCUCAGUCUUACUUUUUCCCAGAAUUGGUGUAUUAGACAGCUGGAUGUUCAUAAUGCCUUCUUACAUGGUGACUUAGCUAAAGACGUUUUCAUGGAACAACUGCCUGGAUUUGUUGAUCCUCUCUAUCCUACUCAUGUCUGCAAGUUGGAUAAGUCUCUCUACUGUCUUAAAUAGUCACCUCGGGCUUGGUAUACUAAGCUGAGUACUUCUCGCUACACUUGGGAUUUGUUACUUCUAAGAAUGACUCUUCCUUAUUUAUUUGUCAUUCGUCUCAUGGGUUACUUCUUGUUCUUGUCUAUGUGGAUGAUAUAAUCGUCAUUGGGAGCCACUCUCCUCAGGUUACUCACCUUAUCCAACAGUUGCAUCAUUAGCUUUCUUUAAAGGAUCUUGGUCCUUUACAUUAUUUUCUGGGCUUGGAGGUUCAUCACACCCCUACUGGUAUUCACCUCAGCCAAGCAAAGUAUAUCACUGAUCUCCUUACCCGGGCGGCUAUGUUGGAUGCCAAGCCAUGUCCCACUCCUAUGUCCUCCAACACAUAUCUCUCUUUUCAUGAUGGAGUGGCUCUUGAAAAUGGUUCAGAUUAUCGAAGUUUUGUUGGUGCCCUUUAGUAUUGUACCAUGACACGCCCAGAUAUAGCUUUUGCAAUAAAUAAAGUGUGUCAAUUCAUGCACCAUCCCUCUAAUGUUCACUGGCAGGCUAUAAAACGUAUUCUCCGGUACUUAAAGGGCACAUCUCAUUUUGGUCUCUUCCUACAGCCUUCCUAUGACUUCAACAUCACUUGCUAUACAAAUGCCGACUGGGCUUCCUGUCCUGAUGACAAGUGUAGCACCAGUGGCUACUGCCUCUUUCUUGCCUCUAAUCUGGUUUCUUGGUCAUCUUCCAAACAAAAAGUGGUCUCCCGCUCCAGCGCCGAAUCAGAGUACCGAGGGGUAGCAAAUGGGGCUGCUGAAAUUGCUUGGACUGAAUCUCUUCUUUGUGAACUUUCCAUUACUCCCCCUCCCCUCAUUCUCUGUGACAAUAUCAGUGCCACGUACUUAGCUGCCAAUCCUAUUUUGCAUGCCCGCACCAAACAUGUGGAAAUCGACUAUCACUUUGUCACGGAACGUGUUCUUCAAUGCUCUCUUUUUGUCCAGUUUACACCUUCUGAUGAUCAACUUGCUGAUUGCAUGACCAAGCCUCUCUCCACCCAACGUUUCAUCACUCUACGCUCCAAGCUCACUGUUCUCACUAGACCAAUGAGCUUGAGGGGGGAUGUUAAGCCUAAAGAUGUAAUUAGUUAGGAUAUUCUUUUCCCUCUAGUCUUGUAGCUCCACGUGUACAGUUGGUUAGGACCUCAUUGUAUAUAAUGCCUGCCCUGUUAUUGUAGAAGACAACAGAGAUAAAUAAUAUUAACAUUUUUCCUCUCAUCUCUCUCUCUGUUUCCCUCUGUUUUCAUCUCCUCUCUCAUCUGAACCAAAUGAUCCAUGUUAACCUUGGCUUGGUUUGAUUUGGCUCUAUCUUAGAGAGCUCAAGGAUCACGUCAACUCUGGUUUCUACUAUUCAGGUCCAUUCCCAUAUGAACUGGUUCAAAUUUGAGAAAAUGGUAACAGACCUUUAGUGAUGUUGGUUUGGAGCCAGUUGCCAAACCCGCCCUGAGCUUUACCACUAAUGUCAAGGGAGAAAGCCAUUUGAACAAAAACAAUAGCUUCAAGGGACUGAAUCGUGGAUGAAAUCUGAUCCACAUUUCUUCUCAUUUUGGAAACAAAUGAGAACUUAACUAAGAAGAUUCUACGGCCUCAUAGUGCUUUUCCUGAUCUAAGGUUGGUUCGUUUCCCAAACUGUGAGAUGCACGUGCCAGACUUCAGAACUCUCACGCUCAGGAGUGUAUCCACGUGGUGGACAUAAGAUGGUGGCUUAAGAUCUGGUGUCGGUGGCUUUACUUUACUAGGAGAGUAGUGUGUCUUCAUCUCAUUCACUGCCGGAGGGUGGCGUAAGCAGUGACGCUAAGGUGGGGCACAGUCAAUAUCAUUUGCAUUUGACCAUUAUAGUUUUCUCCCGGCUUUAAAGUAACCUUAUCGUGAUAAAGGAUUACUAGCACUAGUUCAGAUGAUAGUCAUGUUAAAUUCGGACCAUGUUUGUGUCACAUUAUCAGCAACCAUGUGUUUAUGGUUCAUGCUUUCUGCAACUAAAAUUGAUAUAUAACCAGGUGAACUUCAAUCUAAAUUCUGAAAGUACUCAUGUGAUAGAUGGUGCCCGUCUGCAGAGUCCAUCAAUUGAAAAAUGGAGUGAGUGUAUCUAUAAGAGGGAAGGCUUGGAAAAUGUUCAGUUUUCUGGGAAUUCAACAAGGAUCUAAAAUAGAUUGUUUUCUUUGCUGAUUUCAAUGGUUGAAAUUUGAGAAGAUUGUGUCCACAUAACACAACUAUUACUGGUCCUUCUGUUGCAAUUUAUCCUCUAAAGCUCUAGCAUGUCUUCCAAUUCCCACUUCCCUGUUACUCCAGGAAAGCUAUUUCUGUCAUUGUGAAGAAGAAAAGAGAAUGUACAUAUCGAUGCUUUUAAGUGACUGGAGCAUUUAUAUCAGGUGGUCUGCAGCCAUAUAUGCCACUUUGUGAAGAUUGGAACAGUCAAUCACUAGGCUAUAUAUUAGUGUGGCCCAGCCACUUUAAUCAAGGACAAGUCUUCAUACUUAAAGUCAAAUUCUGCCUUUAGUCUCAUUAUAAAUUUCUGUUUAAAUAUUAAGCAAACAUUUGUUUAAUGCGAUUAAGACAGUACUAACUCAAUACCUGUUCUAUUUUUGGAUGCAAAUGCUUGAUGGUUUCAUCAUUGGAUGGGAUAAAGGUGCAUUCAUGAUUAGGAAUACUAGUAGUUAUAUUUUAAUUCUCUUUUUUCUCAAUGAGACUUGUUGGCACAAUUUUGCUGUUGAGAAACCUACCUCUCCAUGGAAAAUAAGUUGUGAUUGAUAGUACUGGAUAUAUUCAAGAAAUCUAAAUAUAGAUAGCACAAAAUAUUAUCGACAUAAAUAGCAUUAACAGCGUACGUAUGUCUCAGUGCUCAUCAGCUAUAAGCAUGGGGCAAACACUUACUAUGAGCAACUUACGUCAAAAUUCCAGAAUAGGACAUAGAAGUGACAGAUAUAGAACAUUGCAUAUGAGUCACAAGAAAGGAAAUUACGGGUGCAUAGCAGCUCUUAUUUUACAUACUACUACUCAUACUGAUCAAAGUCACUCAGUUGGGAUGGGUGGGAGUAGGAGGUUUGUGGGGUGGCUUGUGCGGAGGAGUUGGCAGCUUCUUUCCAGGACCUGGUUGCUUCUCUGCUGGAGUUGAAGGAGGCUUAAUCUUCCGAGGUGGCUUGUAUGAGUCUUCAGCAUUCUCAGCUGGAGGGUGACCAGGGUUGUGACCAUAAUGUGGUGGCUUCUCUCCCUUAGGUGGUUUGCCAACUGGGGUUGGUGGCUUGUAUGAGUCUUCAGCAUUCUCAGCAGGAGGGUGACCAGGGUUGUGACCAUAAUGUGGUGGCUUCUCUCCCUUAGGUGGUUUGCCAACUGGGGUUGGUGGCUUGUGUUCUGGGAGUGGCUUCUCCCCCUUGGGAGGUUUUUCCAAUGGGGUUGGUUUGUGUUCAGGAGGUGGCUUCUCCACUGGAGGCUUGUGUUCAGGAGGUGGCUUCUCCACCGGAGGCUUGUGUUCAGGUGGUGGCUUCUCCACCGGAGGCUUAUGCUCUGGUGGUGGCUUCUCGAAUGGGGGAUGCUUAGGAUAAUCAGCAAGUGAGGGGGCGGUGAGAACCACCAGGCCAAGCAACACCACUAGCAAAUAUGUAGGAGACAUCUUUGGGUUUGGGCUCAGAUGGUGCAAAACUAGGAGAAUUGGCUAGCCUUUUAUAGCGGAUCGUACCCAAUAAUGAAAUGACACGUGUCAUUAUGACCCAUGUGUAAUGGGGUCGAUUUGGGUCCUACAGUGUUGAAAACUUCGACAUCCACUUUUGGCCUUUUGCUUUCUCUACAGCCGCCUUGCUUUUUCCCUCUUUCCUUUUGUUUUCCUCCUGCCCCAUUCUAUCAACUAAACACAAUUAUGUAGUUGUUUAAUUCUUAAAUGAGAUAUUAUCCGUCAAUCGUAUUAUAUUUUAUCAAGAGAGAACGGAGUGCAAUGUGGCUGUAAUUUUAUCGUUUAGUUUUAUCUCUUGGACCACUGCAUUUUUGUUAAGAGGUGCAAUAAUACACGUCUUUAUCUGCCAUUCAAUAUUUACAGUAAAGAGAGGGCACAAAACUCUUCACUUCGCACCAUAAUUAUUUUGUUUUCUGGACACCCCGGGGCCCUUUGGUUGGUUUGGGGGUCAGAAAGUGAACAUCAUAGGGGGUUUUUCCCUUAUGUGCAUUUGUAUCUGAUGGCUUUAACUCGCCUUGUUACUACAAAGAAACUGUCACAGAUAGGAACUUAUUCCAGGCUGAGUAUCUCCUCAUAGACCCUAUAAAAGAAGACAAGUCAUAAUGAACAUCUAACCUUUGUUCAAUUUGAUUCAAUGCCCCCAUUGUGUCCAUCUCACAAAUCUGAAUUAUUAUAUCCAUUGAAUACAUAAAUUAAUGAAGAAAAUAUGAAACCCAAGAUACAUCUCUGCACAACCUCAACCCUGGUUGCUAUGUUUCCCUUCUAUUCACAUGAUUUGAUGCUAAUUGCCAAACUUGCAACAAGCCCUGAGUUUGACACCUAGUAUCGAUGGGCGAAUUUAAAGUCUCCUCCAAACAUAUAUUCCACAGCUUGAAGCUCACAGAAGAUGUUACAGGCAGGGAAAAACCUUCAGAGUUCGCUACCAAAGAUAAUUAUUAAGGAGAUAUCACAAAGAGAAUUCCAAGGGGUCUGAAUCAAAGACAAAUUGGUCGUUCGUGGGGGUUCUUACUUUCUUUUGGGUAUAACUCACUGAGGGCACUGUCUUUGUUAUUUGCAUUUCACAUUUAGAGUUCUGUUCUGGAAACAUAUAAAAGGAGCAUCAUUUUGUUCUUGGGUAACCCAUAGUCGUGAGUGGGUCCAUUUGCAUGCUACUUAGUUGAAAAGUUGGACCAUUUGCUCCGACGCCUACCUCCCGGAUUCCAUGCUCGGAUAAAACAAGAAUAAAAAAAAUAUUUAUAAUUUACAAAUGGGGGAAAGAAAAAAAUGUCAACAACAAACCAGGAAAAAAGAGUAGUAAAAUUCAUGUCACAUGCUAGUGAGAGAAGGGGUUGUUACACUCACUCGAAGUUCUUUCCAAAAUAUCGCAUGGUAUUUUAUUUUAUGUGUCAGCGCAGUUGUGAAUGGAACGUGCAAAAGUCCAAAUUGGCGUUUUUCCUUUUCCCGUGUAGGAUGGCGACCUUUAAUAAAUAUUUAAAACAAAAAACGAAAAAAAGGAGGGAAAAGGGAUCAGAAAAGAUAAAACAAUGUGUACAAGAGCUCAAUUAGUUUGCAAAUUACUGUUUGGAUUUUGAUAGUAUUUUAUUUGUCCAUCUAUAUUUGAUGGAAAAGAGAAUUUAAGAUAUUUCUGAAACAAAAGCAUUAGUGUAAAACUAAAUUAAGGUAUAAUUAAGUUAGUUCAAUGCAUUAAUUUAAGAAACUUGAUCUAUCCAAAGUACAAAAUUAGAUGAAAUCCAUUUCAAUGGUUAAAAUGAUCAAAAUCAAACUUUUUCUAAGUAUUUUUUAAAAGCAUCAAUAUUAAAAGACAAUUUUAUAUUUAGUCGGAGUUUGGACAAAACCAAAAAGCACACAAAAUCCAAGCGACCAUCUCUAGCUUGGAUAGUCACUUGAUCCCACCUAGAGAUGUGCAUGAGUAAAAGGAUUUGAAAAUGGAAAUUGACUAAAUAUUUAGUUGAUCAAUUAAAUUUGCAAUGUCAUAUGCAAUCCUAAUAGCUAGUCAUCUAAUCAAUUAGGUAGUCAAUCAAGUGUUUGUAAUGACUAUUUUGUACAAAAAACCACAUGUAUAGUUAAAUAUAAUGCAUUUCAUUUAUAAAUCUUCUAAUUCUUGAAUAACGAUCCUAUCAUCCUUUGAAAAUUUUUAUUACACCUUUUUUACUUUUGUUCUAAAACUUACAUAUCACCCUUAAUUGUACCAUGAGAACCUAGCUAUUUUUUUUUUUUUUGUAAUUCAUCAAAGUUAGCUUUUGUAUUCAUUGUUGUAUUAUUUUUAGUAUAACUUAGAAAGCUAGUGUUUUCAAGUGAGUAAAAUUAACUUGUAAAUAUUGUAAAGAUUCAUUGAUAUGUAUCUUAAACUAAGUGUACAAAUUAAAACAUUUGCUAGUAGAUUUUCUCAAAAUUUAGAAUAGAGCUUGAGGCUAUUGAAAUAGGUGGGGUUACACCAAACCACAUCACAUCGUUGUUUGCACCUUUUUUCACUCUCUUUUACUUAGUUUCUCUAUAUUUGUUGUCUAGUAAUAUCCUAUAGGCUUGAUGGGUUAGGGAGCAUCCCUUUGUGAAAAAAUUUCAUUCAAUUCUUAGUUGUAUUACGCAUAUAUAAAAUGCCUCAUUGUUUUAAUGGUAUUCAGUCGUGGCAUCACAGAUAUGGGCAUCUAAAUUUUAAAAGUUUGAAACUUUUGUAAAGCAUGUUGAUAAAAUCCAUGAGAGUUGUGUACUUGGGAAGCAACAUCGAGGUGACUUUAUUUUUUUUUCCUUUUAUAAUGCCACACCUAAGUCCGGUUUCUAAAUGCUAAAGUGAAAGGGUAGGUAUGGACCAUUGAAAUGUGAUCACAACUUUUGGCCUUUUCCUUUCUCUGCAGCCAUGUUGUCUCUUUUUUCUUUUGCAUGAUUUUCUUACCAAAACAGAAUCAUAGACUUGUUUAGUCUCUAAGCUACUAUAUUAUAUCUCGGUGGACUUUUAAGAGUGCAACCGACAUAGAGCACAUGCAAGUGGGCAUAUGGGACAUGAAAUUUCUUCUUACAAAGAUUGCAUGAUUUUUAUAUUAGAGUUGUUCACGUGCAAUGUAUUUAGCUUGUUUUGCAGUUAAAUUAAUUGGAUAAGUAAACAUUGGCAUUUCUAAAUCGACUGUGAAGUGCUUCAUGUACGUGUAAAGUAUUAGAAAUUUCUUUCUUGGCAACUUGUUUUUUCCUUGCCAUCUACUGGUAGGUUUGACUAAAAUUAUAUUCCCUGUCAUGCUAAUUAAUUUUCAUGUGCAUGCUCAAAAGAAGAGUAUGACCUUAGUGCACCAAAAUCACUUUGAUUAAUUUGUGAUAGGUUUUUUUGCAUCAUUUAGAUAAUGUUUAGUUCUAAGAAAAAUUUAUAUAAAAAUGGUUUAUUUAUCUUACAUAUAUAUAUAUAUAUAUAUAUUUUUUUUUUUUUCAUUUUUUUUUCUUCUAUUUUAUUUAUUUAUUUUAUUUUCCUUAUGUUUUCCUCACAUUUUCCGGAACUAAACAUAGUCUUACGAAAUCAACAAUUGCCUUCAACUGAGUAGAUUCUGUUGUUUUAGCAAUGUUAGGCUGCUAACUUGUGGUGGUACGAACCAAAUGACCCAUGUUAAUCUUGGCUUGGUUUGAUUUGGCUCUAUCUCAGAGAGCUAAAGGAUCACGUCAACUCUGGUUUCUACUAUUCAGGUCCAUUCCCAGAUGAACUGGUUCAAAUUUGAGAAAAUGGUAACAGACCUUUAGUGAUGUUGGUUUGGAGCCAGUUGCCAAACCCGCCCUGAGCUUUACCACUAAUGUCAAGGGAGAAAGCCAUUUGAACAAAAACAAUAGCUUCAAGAGACUGAAUCGUGGAUGAAAUCUGAUCCACAUUUCUUCUCAUUUUGGGAAAAAAUGAGAACUUAACUACAAAGAUUCUACUGCCUCAUUCAUAGUGCUUUUCCUGAUCCAAGGUUGGUUCGUUUCCCAAAUUGUGAGGUGCACGUGCCACUCUCACGCUCAGGAGUGUAUCCACGUGGUGGACAUCAGAUGGUGGCUUAAUAUCUGGUGUCGGUGGCUUUACUUUACUAGGAGAGUAGUGUGUCUUCAUCUCAUUCACUGCCGGAGGGUGGCGUAAGCAGUGACGCUAAGGUGGGGCACAGUCAAUAUCAUUUGCAUUUGACCAUUAUAGUUUUCUCCCGGCUUGAAAGUAACCUUAUCGUGAUAAAGGAUUACUAGCACUAGUUCAGAUGACCGUCAUGUUAAUUCGGACCAUGUUUGUGUCACAUUAUCAGCAACCAUGUGUUUAUGGUUCAUGCUAUCUGCAACUAAACUUGAUAUAUAACCAGGUGAACUUCAAUCAAAAUUCUGGAAGUACUCUUGUGAUAGAUGGUGCCUGUCUGCAGAGUCCAUCAAUUGAAAAAUGGAGUGAGUGUAUCUAUAAGAGGGAAGGCUUGGCAAAUGUUCAGUUUUCUGGGAAUUCAACAAGGAUCUAAAAUAGAUUGUUUUCUUUGCCGACUUCAAUGGUUGAAAUUUGAGAAGAUUGUGUCCACAUAUCACAACUAUUACUGGUCCUUCUGUUGCAAUUUAUCCUGUAAGGCUCUAACAUGUCUUCCAAUUCCCACUUCCCUGUUACUCCAGGAAAGCUAUUUCUGUCAUUGUGAAGAAGAAAAGAGAAUGUACAUAUCGAUGCUUUUAAGUGACUGGAGCAUUCAUAUCAGGUGGUCUGCAGCCAUAUAUGCCACUUUGUGAAGGUUGGAACAGUCAAUCACUAGGCUAUAUAUUGGUGUGGCCCAGCCACUUCAAUCAAGGACAAGUCUUCAUACUUAAAGUCAAAUUCUGCCUUUAGUCUCAUUAUAAAUUGCUGUUUAAAUAUUAAGCAAACUUUUGUUUAAUGCGAUUAAGACAGUACUAACUCAAUACUUGUUCUAUUUUUGGAUGCAAAUGCUUGAUGGUUUCAUCAUUGGAUGGGAUAAAGGUGCAUUCAUGAUUAUGAAUACUUGUAGUUAUAUUUUCAUUCUCUUUUUUCUCAAUGAGACUUGUUGGCACAAUGUUGCUGUUCAGAAACCUACCUCUCCAUGGAAAAUAAGUUGCGAUUGAUAGUACUGGAUAUGUUCAAGAAAGCUAAAUAUAGAUAGCACAAAAUAUUAUCGAUAUAAAUAGCAUUAACAGCGUACGUAUGUCUCAAUGCUCAUCAGCUAUAAGCAUGGGACAAACACUUACUAUGAGCAACUUACGUCAAAAUUCCAGAAUAGGACAUAGAAGUGACAGAUCUAUAUAUAUAGAACACUGCAUAUGAGUCACAAGAAAGGAAAUUACGGGUGCAUAGCAGCUCUUAUUUUACAUACUACUACUCAUACUGAUCAAAGUCACUCAGUUGGGAUGGGUGGGAGUAGGAGGUUUGUGGGGUGGCUUGUGCGGAGGAGUUGGCAGCUUCUUUCCAGGACCUGGUUGCUUCUCUGCUGGAGUUGAAGGAGGCUUAAUCUUCCGAGGUGGCUUGUAUGAGUCUUCAGCAUUCUCAGCUGGAGGGUGACCAGGGUUGUGACCAUAAUGUGGUGGCUUCUCUCCCUUAGGUGGUUUGCCAACUGGGGUUGGUGGCUUGUAUGAGUCUUCAGCAUUCUCAGCAGGAGGGUGACCAGGGUUGUGACCAUAAUGUGGUGGCUUCUCUCCCUUAGGUGGUUUGCCAACUGGGGUUGGUGGCUUGUGUUCUGGGAGUGGCUUCUCCCCCUUGGGAGGUUUUUCCAAUGGGGUUGGUUUGUGUUCAGGAGGUGGCUUCUCCACUGGAGGCUUGUGUUCAGGAGGUGGCUUCUCCACCGGUGGCUUGUGUUCAGGAGGUGGCUUCUCCACCGGAGGCUUAUGCUCUGGUGGUGGCUUCUCCACCGGAGGCUUAUGCUCUGGUGGUGGCUUCUUGAAUGGGGGAUGCUGAGGGUAAUCAGCAAGUGAGGGGGCGGUGAGAACCACCAGGCCAAGCAACACCACUAGCAAAUAUGUAGGAGACAUCUUUGGGUUUGGGCUCAGAUGGUGCAAAACUAGGAGAAUUGGCUAGCCUUUUAUAGCGGAUCGUACUCAAUAAUGAAAUGACACGUGUCAUUAUGACCCAUGUGUAAUGGGGUCGAUUUGGGUCCUACAGUGUUGAAAACUUCGACAUCCAGUUUUGGCCUUUUGCUUUCUCUACAGCCGCCUUGCUUUUUCCCUCUUUCCUUUUGUUUUCCUCCUGCCCCAUUCUAUCAACUAAACACAAUUAUGUAGUUGUUUAAUUCUUAAAUGAGAUAUUAUCGGUCAAUCGUAUUAUAUUUUAUCAAGAGAGAACGGAGUGCAAUGCAGCUGUAAUUUUAUCGUUUACUUUUAUCUCUUGGACCACUGCAUUUUUGUUAAGAGGUGCAAUAAUACACGUCUUUAUCUGCCAUUCAAUGUUUACAGUAAAGAGAGGGCACAAAACUCUUCACUGCUCUGCAUGUGUCCCAAAAAUGCGAUUGGACAAAUUAUGAUUUGCAUGCUAAAAAGAGGCAAAUGAGGUUAAUUCGCACCAUAAUUAUUUGGUUUUCUGGACACCAUAAAAAGAUGUUAUACAGGCAGGGAAAAACCUUCAGAGUUAGCUACCAAAGAUAAUUAUCAAGCAGAUAUCACCAAGAGAAUUCCAUAGAGUCUGAAUCAAAGACAGAUUGCUCGCUCGUGGGGGUUCUUACUUUCUUUUGGGUAUAACUCACUGAGGUCACUGUCUUUUUUAUUUGCAUUUCACAGUUAGAGUUCUGCUCUGGAAGGUUUGUUCUGGAAACAUAUAAAAGGAGCAUCAUUUUGUUCUUGGGUAACCCAUAGUCGUGAGUGGGUCCAUUUGCAUGCUACUUAGUUGAAAAGUUGGACAAUUUGCUCCGACGCCUACCUCCUGGAUUCCAUGCUCGGUAAAACAAGAAUAAAAAAAAAUAUAUAAUUUACAAAUGGGGGAAAGAAAAAAUGUCGGAAAAAAUAGUAAAAUUCAUGUCACAUGCUAGUGAGAGAAGGGGUUGUUACACUCACUCGAAGUUCUUUUCAAAAUAUCGAAUGGUAUUUUACUUUAUGUGUCAGCGCAGUUGUGAAUGGAACGUGCAAAAGUCCAAAUUGGCGUUUUUAUUUUUCCCAUGUAGGAUGGUGACCUUUAAUAAAUAUUUAAAACAAAAGACGAAAAAAAAAAGGAGGGAAAAGGGAUCACAAAAGAUAAAAUAAUGUUUACAAAAGCUCAAUUAGUUUGCAAAUUACUGUUUGGAUUUUGAUAGUAUUUUAUUUGUCGUUCUAUAUUUGAUGUAAAAGAGAAUUUAAGAUAUUUCCGAAGCAAAAGCAUUAGUUUGCUCUGUGAUGUCCCACAUCGAAUAGGGGAGAAAGUUUCUGGCGCUAUAUAUGUAGAGGCUCCUCUUAACCAAGUAGAUGCGUUUUAAAACCAUGAGGGCCCCCUUAGGUCCAAAGCGGACAAUAUCUACAUGAUUGGGUGUAAGUCAUUACAAAUGGUAUCAGAGCCGAUCCCCGACCCCGGUGUGGGGGUUUGUUUGGCCCUGUAAGGGGUGUUUGUCUGUUUGACCCCACAAUCCCAUGGGACACAACGAGGACGUUGUGUCUGCAUGGGGGGGCGUUUGUGAUGUCCCACAUCGGAUAGGGGAGAAAGUUCCUAGUGCUAUAUAUGUAGAUGUUUCUCUUAACCAAGUAGAUGCAUUUUAAAAUUGUGAGGGCCUCUUUGGGCCCAAAGCGGACAAUAUCUACAUGGUUGAGUGUAAGUCAUUACAUGCUCCAUGUCAAUUUCAGCAUUUCUCAUAUGUUUCACACAUACACAGAAGAGCAUCGUUUUUUAAAGCAUGCAUUUAUGUUGGAUUAAUUUGGAUUUUGUGGGAACUGGGGCAAGGAUCACAUGGAAGAGAGGUUGACUUUUUUCAGUACUUCAAUGGUUGAAAUAUGUGAAGGCUUGAUUGAUACUAAAGCUUGAAAUUGCGACUCUGUCAUUUGUAAAAAAAUAUGACAGCUUCCAUGCUCUCGUUUGGUUGCAUUGUCCGGUCGAGAGGUGCAAAAAGCAUUCUCUCUCUUCUAAUAGUCUUUUCGUUUAAAUCAAGGGAUUUGCCUUCCCGGUCGAGGUCCAAUAGAGGGUAACGGUCACCUACUAAACAUUAAAUGCUCCAACAACUAGUGAACUGAUCGACCCCAGCUCGACUAGUUGAGGUUACUUUUUGGUUUUCUUGUCUCCCGAGGUUAGAAACCUAUAAAUAGAGAGCUUCACUUCAUUUAUGAGUAAGAGAACACCUAAAUUUAUUUGUUUACCUACUUGUUUUUGCCAUAAAAGCUCUCAUUUCUUUUCUUGGUGUAUUAAAUCUCCAUUUGCAUAUCCUUUAGUGCACCUUUGUGAUUCAUUCUAGCCUUGAGUUGUAUUUAAGCCUUUGUUGAGCUAGGUUGAGAGUUUCAUACUUGUUUAUUGAGUGUUAAAGCCUUCAAGUGAGUUAAAACUUGAAGAGAUUGUGUAAGAGCCCAUUGGAGUCGGAAUCCAAGUGUAAAGGUGAUUAAAAGCUUGGUUGAAGCUUCAAGUUAGUGGAACUCUCACUCGGUUAUGAGCUUGAGAAGAGUGGACAUAGACAAGGCAGUGUCGAACCACUAUAAAAUCUGAGUUUGAUUUCUCUAACCUUAUCUCUUUAUAUUUGCUUCUCUUGUGCUUAAAUUUUUUGUGUUUAAAAAGAAUUUUUAAAAACUCAAUUCACCCCCUUCUUGGGAGUUUUUCUCUUUUAAGAUCAGCUUUUAUUUUCUCAAUUGGUAUCAGAACUAUGCCUCUUGUUUAAGACUUAAUCGUCUAAGAGGAAAUGGCUAAUCCAUCAAGUUCAUCUCACAUUGAAAGUUUUGCAACCAAUAGACUUCUUUUUUUUUUUUUGCGGGAACUGAUUAUCCCUAUUGGAAAACUAAAAUGACUUGGUUUUUACAAUCAAUUGAUUUAGAUGUAUGAGAUGCCAUUGAAGAUGACCUAACUUUUCCUUCAAAACUAGUUGAUGGAGUCAUGGUUCCAAAACCUAAGCAAGAAUGGGAUGAGCGUGAUUGAAGAAAUUUUCAAUUAAAUGCUAAAGUCGUUUAUACUUUGCAAUGCUCUAUGGACAGAAAUGAAUAUAAUAGAAUAUGUCAAUGCAAAUCGGUUAAAGAAAUUUGGAGAUUGCUUGAAAUAACUCAUAAAGGAACAAAUCAAGUUAAAGAGUCAAAAAUCAAUUUACUUGUUCAUAGAUAUGAAUUGUUUUUUAUGAAAGAUAAUGAAACUAUUGUUAAGAUGAUCACUAGGUUCACCAACAUUGUUAAUGGUCUUAAAGCCUUGGGAAAGACCUACAAGGAAUCCGAAAACGUGAUGAAGAUCUUGAGGUCACUUCCAUCAAAGUGGCAUACCAAGGUCACCGCAAUUUAAGAAGCAAAAGACUUGAUCAAGCUACCUUUGGAGGAGUUCAUAGGGUCAUUGAUGACAUAUGAAAUCAAUUUGGCAAAGAAGUAACAAAAAGGUGAAGACAAAAAGAAGAAGAACAUAACUCUCAAAGCUACAACUAAGGAAGAAGAAGUUGAAGAAGAAAAACAAAUUGAAGAAGAUGAAGAUUUAGCCCUCAUCACAAGAAAGUUCAACAAAUUCAUGAGGGGUGAAAGGUUUAGAAGAAGAAGGUUCACUUCUAGAAGAGACUUUUCUAAAAAGGAAUCUUCAUCUAAUGGUGACAAAAAGAGAUGGGAAGAGAAAAGAGACUUGGUGUGUUUCAAGUGCAAGAAACCGGGACACAUUAAAUAUGAUUGUCCUCUCUACAAAAGUGAAGUCAAGAGGAAAAAGAAUAAGGCAAUGAUGGCCACUUAGAGUGAAAGUGAAGAUGAAUCAUCCGAAGAAGAAAAUGAGAAAGAAGUGGCAAACAUGUGUUUCAUGGCAAUAGAUGAACUUGAUGAGGUAAAAUCUAACCUUAGUGAUUAAGAUAUACAUGAUGCAUUUGAAGAAUUGUAUGAGGAUUUUUAAAAACUUAGUUUGAAAAAUAUUUCUCUUAAAAAGAAAGUUCAACAACUUGACAAAGAACUUAGAGAAGUAAAAGAAAAAUUUUCAAAUGUUAAAGUUUCUAAAACUCAUCUUGAAAAAGAAAAUGAGAUUCUAAGAAAGAAAAAUGAAUAGUUGAACUCCUCUCUUUCAAUCUUUUCUUCUAGACAAAAAUCUUUUGAAAUGAUUCUAACUAGCUAAAAAUGUGUUUUUGACAAACAAGGGUUAAGAUUUAAAUCUUCAAAAAAUCAAAAGUAUUUUAAAAACUAUUUUGUAAAGGAAUCCACAAGUGCAAGUCCUUCCACUACUUGCAACUUUUGUGGAAGAGAAUGGCACAUUAGUAGUACGCCCUUUAAGAAAUGGUUCUCAAAAGAAUUUAAAUGCAAAAACUAAAAAAGAUUUGGAUUGAGAAAUCCAAGGUCACUAACCCUCAAGGACCCAAAAAGAUAUAGGUACCUAAAUCAACUUGAGUUUUAUGUUGUAAGGUUCAAAGAAUGAUAAGUGGUUCUUAGAUAAUGGUUGCUCAAGACACAUGACCGGAGAUGAAUCCAAGUUUGCUUUUCUUAAAAAGAAAAAUGGAGGAUAUGUUACCUUUGGAGACAAUGCAAAAGAAAGGAUGAUUGGUCAAGGCAACAUUGGUAAUGGCACAUCCUCUCUCAUUGAAAGUGUUUUAUUAGUAGAUGGUUUCAAACAUAACCUUUUAAGCAUUAGUCAAUUUUGCGACAAAGGUUUUUAAGUGAUUUUUUAAGCAUCUCAUUGCAUCAUCAAGGAUAUUCAAAAUGAUAAAACCAUUUUCAUGGGCCAUAGAUGUGAUAAUGUUUAUGCUAUAAAUAUUUCAAAAUAUGAUGGCCAUGAUAGAUGUUUUUCAAGCAUGCAUGAUCAAAGUUGGUUGUGCCAUAGGAGAUUGAGACAUGCUAACAUAGACCUCAUUUCCCAACUCAACAAAGAUGAACUUGUUAGAGGCCUUCCCAAAAUAAUUUUUUAAAAAGAUAAAGUUUGUGAAGCUUGUCAAGUGGGAAAGUAAAUCAAAAACUCUUUUAAAAACAAAAACUUCAUUUCCACAUCUAGGCCACUUGAGUUGUUGCAUAUGGAUUUAUUUGGUCCCUCUAGGACACCAAGUCUUAGAGGAAAUUCUUAUGCAUAUGCUAUUGUGGACGACUUCUCUAGAUACACAUGAGUCUUGUUUUUUAGUCAAAAGAAUAAAGUUUUUUAUGAGUUUUCAAAGUUUUGCAAUAAGAUUCAAAAUGAAAAAGGUUUUUCAAUUACUUAUAUAAGAAGUGAUCAUGGGAGAGAAUUCGAAAAUAUUGAUUUUGAAGAGUAUUGCAAUGAGCAUGGAAUUGACCACAAUUUUUUGGCUCUUAGAACUCCUCAACAAAAUGGGGUAGUUGAAAGGAAAAAUAGAACUCUUCAAAAAAUGACAAGAACCAUACUAAAUGAAAACAACUUACCAAAAUAUUUUUAGGCCAAAACGGUUAACACUUCUUGUUAUGUUUUAAAUAGAGUAUUAUUGAGGCUCAUACUUAAGAAAACUCCCUAUGAGCUUUGGAAAAACAAAAAACCCAACAUUAGUUAUUCCAAAGUCUUUGGAUGCAAUAUUUUAUAAUAAACACCAAAGACAAUCUUGGAAAAUUUGAUGCAAAAUUGGAUGUUGGAAUUUUCCUUGGUUACUCAACUUCAAGUAAAGCUUUUCGAGUUUUAACAAAAGAACCAUGGUUGUAGAGGAGUCCAUCCAUGUUAUUUUUUAUGAAUCUCCAAGAAAGAGAGAGGAUUGAUGAUGAUUUAGGUUUGAAGACCUCUAUAGGAAGAUUGCAAAUCGAAGAUAGAAGACAACAAGAAGAAAAUGGAGAGAAUCCAAAGAAAGAAGGAUCACCAUUGGCACUACCCCCUCAUCAACAAGCGCAAGGUGAAUCAAGUCAAGAGCUUCCUAAAGAAUGGAAGUUUGUCAUCAAUCACCCACAAGAUCAAAUUAUAGGCAAUCCAUCUAGUGGGGUAAGAACUAGAUCCUCUCUUAGAAAUAUUUGCAAUAAUCUAGCUUUUAUCUCUCAAAUUGAGCCUAAAAAUAUAAAUGAUGUUUUAGAUGAUGAAAAUUGGAUAAUUGCAAUGCAAGAAGAGUUAAAUCCAUUUGAAAGAAGUGGAGUAUGGGAAUUAGUACCAAGACCUUCAAAUCAAAGUGUUAUUGGAACUAGAUGGAUCUUUAGAAAUAAAAUGGAUGAAAAUAGCAUAAUUGUUAGAAAUAAAGCAAGAUUGGUAGCCCAAGGUUUUAAUCAAGAAGAAAUGAUAGAUUAUGAAGAAACCUUUGCCCCCGUAGCUAGGUUGGAAGCCAUUAGGAUGCUACUUGCCUUUGCAUGUUUUAAAGACUUUGUUUUAUAUCAAAUGGAUGUGAAAAGUGCUUUUUUAAAUGGUUUUAUAAAUGAAGAAGUAUAUGUUGAACAACCACCCGGUUUUCAAAGUUUCAACUUUCCUAACCAUGUUUUUAAACUUAAAAAGACACUUUAUGGUUUGAAACAAGCACCUAGAUCAUGGUAUGAAAAAUUGAGUAAAUUUCUUUUGAAAAAAAUGUUUUAAAAUGGGAAAAAUUGACACAACUCUUUUUAUAAAAACCAAAGAAAAUGAUAUGCUCUUAGUUCAAAUAUAUAUUGAUGAUAUCAUUUUUGGUGCUACUAAUGUCUCUCUUUAUGAAGAAUUUUCUAAGUGCAUGCAUAGUGAGUUUGAAAUGAGCAUGAUAGGAGAACUCAACUUCUUCCUUGGACUUCAAAUCAAGCAACUAAAGGAAUGAACCUUCAUCAAUCAAGCAAAGUAUAUAAGAGAUCUUCUCAAAAGGUUCAACAUGGAAGAAGCCAAAACAAUGAAGACUCUAAUGAGCUCAUCCAUUAAGCUUGAUAAGGAUGAGAAAGGUAAAUCCAUUGACUCUAUUAUGUAUAGAGGCAUGAUAGGUUCUUUGCUCUAUUUGACCACUAGUAGACCUUACAUUAUGUAUAGUGUGUGUUUGUGUACUAGAUUUCAAUCUUGUCUUAAAAAAUCUCACUUAAGUGUCGUGAAAAGAAUCCUCAAAUAUUUGAAAGGGACAAUGGACAUAGGCUUAUGGUAUCCUAAGAGUGAUAACUUUGAAUUAAUUGGUUUUUUGGAUGCUGAUUUUGUCAGUUGUAGGGUUGAAAAAUAAAACACUAGUGGCACUUUUCAUUUCUUAAGACACUUACUUGUCUCAUGGCAUAAUAAGAAGCAAAAUUUGGUAGCUUUGUCAACAGCAGAAGCUAAAUACAUAGCAACUGGUUUAUGUUGUGCACAAAUCCUUUGGAUGAAAUAAACACUUAGUGAUUUUGAUUUAUCUUUUGAGCAUAUUCCUAUUAAAUGUGAUAAUAGUAGUGCCAUAAGUAUAUCAAAAAAUCUCGUGCAACACUCUAGGACUAAGCAUAUAGAGAUUAGACAUAAUUUUCUUAGAUAUCAUACACAAAAGGAUGAUAUAACACUUGAAUUUGUAAGCAUAAAAGACCAACUUGCCGAUAUCUUUACAAAACCUCUAAGAACAUUUUGUUGAUAUUAGAGGACAAUUAGGAGUGAUUUCUUUAUGAUCUAAUGUGAUGAAUUCUUGAUGAAUAUACUUUUUGAUUGCAUGAAUUUCAUGUCAUAUAUGCAUCAUAUAGAAAUAUACUUAGAUAAUGGUCAAAUUUCGACCAAAAAUCAAAAUUCCCAUGGCAUUAGGCAUAAAAAUUUUGGAAUUUCAACUGAAAAUGGUAGGAGGAGGAUCACAAAAUGAGAAAGUAUGCAAAAAUUGAAAAAUCAAAACGUUGACCAAGCGGUCAAUCGGACUAGACCGAUCGACUAGUUUGUCGAGAUUUAGGAUUUUUAAGAGACUCCAACGCUUCAAUUUUUGCACCGUUCUCCUCUAUUUCUUCACGGUUUCUCUGAUUUUGUCUUUUAGAGACUAAUUUGAGUGCGUUUUGGAUCAAUUGAAGCAUUUUGGAUUGGAUUUUAGGAAGAUUGAAAGUUAAGGUUUCGGAUUUGGGUCGCCUUCUCUUCCUCUCGCGUGUCACAAUCAGCUUUAGCAUUGUUCUCUUUCCAUUUUCACACACCUAGGGUUUCAGUUGUGAGCAUCUCUCUCUCUUUACCAACCACUACUCCCUUGCUUCUUCCAUAUGGCUCCUAGGCGAGAGUCCGCUACUUCUAGGGCACAAGGCAAGCACCCAACUGAGUCGUCUCAGUCAAAGGCACGUCGAAAAGUGAGAUUUGACAUUGCCUUGUUCAGUUCCAUGGAGGACUACCAACUAUACAAGCAACACUUUGCUUAGAGACGAGUAGUUCCCAAGAGAAAUAUUAAUUUUCCUCAACUUCAGCAUUUCGAAUUUAAGGGUCUAUUUACUAGGAUGGUUGGUUGUCUAUUGUCACAAUUUCGGAGCCGGUUUUCCUGACCUUAGUGCGAGUUUUUUACUCGAGGGCGACUUAUGGCAUGGGUGGCAUGAUCAUUUCUACUGUUGGAGGAGUUGAGAUCUGUCUGGACCCAGAGAGCAUCUGCCAUAUUUUCGAUAUUGCUCUGGUUGGACUCAAAGUAUACAAGUCCAAAAUGUGGCCCAUUGUGCCAGGAUUUGAGCUUAGAGAGGUCAUUCAGAGGAUUUGUGAACUUCCAGACGCCCAGGAGAUGGGCAAACCAUUGCCACACAGUUUGACGGUCAUCAACAGGGUGCUACACCAUAUAUUGUGCUCUAUCUUUCUACCACGAAGUGGACAUUGAGAUGAGGUCUCUUAUUAUGAGGCAUUCCUUAUUGACUCCAUUCUAACGGAGAGACGAAUUCAUCUACUAUGUCAUCAUUCACUAAGCCUCCUCACAGUGACAUACCACCUCAUCAGGCACCUCUUGCUCCUGACCAUGCUCCAUUGAUGGAUUUAUUUACUCAUAUUAGCUCUCUAGGCACUCGCAUGAAGGAGUUUGUUGUAGUUAGUGAUACAUGGUUCUACUCCAUAGAGGAUCGCAUGGAUCAGUAUCAGACUGGCUUCACGUCACAGUUUGAGUAUCUCCAAUAGAGGAUUGAGCAUAUUGAGGAUCACUUGAGCAUGAGAAGAUGAUGGCUUUUCUAUGCUCUGUGUUUCCACCUCCACCUCGUCAACCUUGAUUUCUUAGAGACCCAUUGUUUUCAUUUUGUAAUGUUGCCAAAAGGGGGAGAUAUUUAGGAUCUAGGACUCUAUAGGAGACUUACAUGCAUAUCAUUUUCAUAUCAUUGUUUGGAUCGUACAUAUUGGAUAGUGAUACUUUUUACUUAUAUAUGAUAUGCCUAUAUGUUUCAUGUCUUACAUUGUUUCUUAUUGCAAAUUAUCUCUAACAUGUCUUGAUUAUCUUUUUUUUAACUUCAUAAAUUUUGAUUGUUAACCCAUGAUUGGUUUGAGGGGAAGAUUCUUCUUCUCCUAGAUAACCAAGGUUUGUCAUCAUAAAAAAAUUGGAGAUUGUUAGCCCAAGGGUUCUCCUAAUCAUGUUUUGAUGAUAACAAACCAUGCUUAAGUUACUAAUUGGUUUGAAUUAUAAAGAAUUUCAAGUGUUAAUUUGAAAAUUCAUCAAAGAACCUAAUGGAUGCAAGAUCAAGAUUUUUGGAAGACCUUUAAUCAUAAGAAACAUAUGUAAGAUGAAUGCAUGGGUGCACUUAAGAUUUGCAUAUCAUUUCAUGCAUAUUUGGAAAACACGGUUUAUGCUUUAAAGUUACAUUUCCAUCAAAAUUUGAGAUCCAUCAAAUGAACCUUAGGAAAAAUGUUUUAAAAUUGGCAUAUAAUUUUACCUAAAGACCUUGCCUAAGUGUUAGAAGCAAAAGGACAAAAAAAAUAUAGGUUUUCUGGUCAAAAAUGGUGAACCAGUCAAGGCAUUGUCUAAAUCAGCUCAAUCGGCCAAGGUACCGGUCGAUCGGUUUCCCUUUCCCUGUCGAGAUCUAGUCAAGAGGUACAAAAAUCACAAUCUCUGUCUCUUUCUCUCUUUGUCUAUCUUCCAGUAGUCUUUCCUUCCCGGUCGAGGGAUUUGCCUUCCCGAUUGAGGUCCGAUUGAGAGUAAUAGUCACUUGCCAAAUAUUAAAUGCUCCAACAGUUAGUGAACUGGUCGACCCCCACCUUGCCCAGUUGAGGUUACUUUUUGGUUUUCUUGGCUCCCGAUGUUAGAAACCUAUAAAUAGAGAGUUCCACUUCAUUUAUGAGCAAGAGAACACUUGCAUUUAUUUGUUUACCUACUUGUUCUUGCCUUAAAAGCUCUCAUUUCUUUUCUUGGUGCAUUAAAUCUCCAUUUUGAUAUCCUUUAGUGCACCUUUGUGAUUCAUCUUAGCCUUGAGUUGUAUUUGAGCCCUUUUUUUAGCUAGGUUGAGAGUUUCAUACUUGUUAAUUGAGUGUUAAAGCCUUCAAGUGAGUUGAAACUUGUAGAGAUUAUGUGAGAGUCGAUUGGAGCCGAAAUCCAAGUGUAAAGGUGAUUAGAAGCUUGGUUGAAGCUUCAAGUUAGUGGAAUCCUCACUCAAUUAGGAGCUUGAGGAGAGUGGACGUAGCCAAGGAAGUGUCGAACCACUAUAAAAUUUGAGUUUGAUUUCUCUAACAUUGUCUCUUUAUAUUUGUUUAUCUUGUGCUUAAAUUUAUUGUGUUUAAAAAGAAUUUUUAAAUACCCAAUUCACCCCCCUCUUGGGUGUUUUUCUCUUUUAAAAUUAGCCUUUAUUUUCUCACAAACUAUUGUAGUAUAGUGGUUUUUAGGUGUCAUCCAUUAGGAUGAAUUGUUCUCGGUAAUUAAGGCGUGAAUGAGAGGAGAAUUAAUGAUUGUGAUUAAGUAAAAUUGAUUUGAAAAUUCAUGGUGAAAAAUCAAUUUAACAAUGGUUUCUAAUUGAGAAAAACAAUGAAAUGUGAAAUAAAAUAAAAUUAAUAGGAAAUGAAAUUCUCGAAGUUAGAAUUUUCUAAAAAACAAAUUCCAUGGUGAAUGGAUGUUGAGAUCUAAUUUUCAUCAAGUUAGAUUGAAAACCGAAAUUUUCAUAUAAACUGAUUUUUUAUUUAGUUUUAGGUCUAGAUUUAAUUUCCCUUAAAAUUAGGUUAUUUAAUCCAAGAAAUCAAUUCAAAUCAUAUAUUCAAUUCAUCUUAAAUUAUCUUCCAAUUAUUCACACAAUGCAACUAUUCAAUCUCAUCAAAUCUAGCUUUUAAGAAUUUAAUGAAUCUACCUAGUUUGCAUUGUAAUAGUCAUCCAUGACAAUUUGAAGAGAAAAAUAAUUCAAUUAAUCAAUCACUUGGAUCAAAUUACCUUUGCAAUUAAAGUUCAUUUCUCUAAUUCACCACAGAUUUUGUCUCUAGAUCCUCCUUUCUCAAAGAAAAAUGAGAUUUAGCCACACAUGAUUGGAGAUUUGGUCUCAUAAGGCAUGUUUAGCUAGUGAUAAAAUGAGAGAAAAUAAAGAAAAAUAGAGAAUUCGAUUAAGAAAGAAAAUCUAAAAAAUUCUACAAUUAGAAAUGUCCAAAAAGCUUUUUCAUGAGAAAAUCAAGUUUCUAUUUAUAGGCCAAGGUCAAGUGGACACUUGACAUCAUCUAAGAGGUCUUCCGGAAGCUUCUUCAUCAAGAAAUCUGGAGUUUAAUAAUAAAAUGGUCAUUUCACAAGAGCUCAAACAAUUUCGCAUGAUUAUGUGAAAUAAAAAAUGCAACAACAGCAAUUUACAUCUUCUUGGAGCAUUUCGCAUGACUGUGUGAAAUUUUCACAUGAUCAUGUGGAAUCGACUUGACAACUCUCAUUUAGCCUACAACAUAAUUCCACCUUUUGGUCCAUUUUUCAUAGUCAUGCGAAAUGGAAAUAUUUGAUUUUUAAGUUUUCUUUUGUCAUUUCUUUCAUUUCCUUCUCUUGAUUCCACUUCAACUACCUCCGAAUCCUGGUCCAAACCAAUUGCAUUACUUCUUUCAUUAUGCAUUUGGAUCAUCAUCAACAUUAUUUGUUCUCUUCAAUUUGAUUCAUCUCUUUUGUCACCAAUUUAUCAAAAUCAUACCUUGAAAUGACUCCAAAACUUCAUAAAACUUGUUAGUAACUCUUGCAAGGGCAACAACAUAUUAAUUAAGUGUUUUAGGCAUAGUUACUACUCAAAAGAUGCGAAACUCAUGAUAAUUAUUAUAUAAAAUAUGCUCUUUUUGAGUAGUAAUCAACUUUCUUGCAUAAGCAGACCUUUUAGGGUGGAGUACUAAAGACCAAUAUGCUUGUCCUUGUUGUAAUAAAGAAACUUGCUCUUAUUGAUUGCACCAUGGGAGAAAAUUUUGCUACAUGAGUUAUCAUCAAUUUCUUCCCACCAAUCAUAGAUUUAGACGUGACAAGAGGCCUCUUAAUGGCAAGGAGGAACUGACACUCACACUUAUACAAUUAUCGGGCAUUGAUGUGUUGCAACAAUUAGAAUAACUUACACCAAUUAUGUUGGGGAAGUCACAAAAGGCAAACAUGAAAACUAAAAGGAAAAAAGAAAAAUGUUACAUAUCACCACAACUGGAAAGAAAAAAGUAUUUACUUUCAUUUGCCAUAUUGGAAAGCACUUAUUUUACAUCAUAAUAAUUUAGACAUAAUGCAUAUUGAGAAAAAUGUGUGACAAUAUAAUUGAGACAUUGUUCAGUAUUGACGAAGAAACAAGGACAACCUAAAUAGUCAUCUCGAUUUACAAGCUCUAACUAUUAGAAAUGAGAUUCACCCAAUAGAAAGCAGGACCAAAUUUAUUUUGCUUGCAACAUGCUACUCACUCACCCCAAAUGAGAUUAAGGAAUUUUGCAAGUUUUUGAAAUCAAUAAAGGUCCCCAAUGGCUAUUCUUUCAAUAUCUCUCGUUAUGUGCAACUCAAUGAAAGGAAGAUAUAUGAGCUCAAAUUGUAUGAUUGUCAUGUCCUAAUGCAACAACUUCUCUCACUUGUAGUUCGUGGAGUUCUACAUAAGAAUGUUUGUGGAGUUAUCAUAGAAUUGCGUAAUUUUUUCAAGCAAUUGUGCUCAAAGGUGUUAGAAACAAAUCACUUACACCAACUUGAGAACAAUAUUAUUGUCAUACUAUGUAAAAUGGAGCAAAUAUUUCUUCCAUCAUUCUUUGAUAUUAUGGUGCAUUUACUUGUGCAUCUAGUAAGGCAAAGGUUGCAAGACUUGUGCAAUAUUGUUGGAUGUACCUAAUUGAACGAUAUUGUUAUAAUUUCAUAUGAAUCAUUUAAUUUUAUUUUAUAUUAUGUUCAGUUCAUUAACAUGUACAUUGGUCUACAUAUGGAUGAUGAUAGGUACCUAAGCACUUUAAAGUCAUAUGUGCGUAAUAGAACUUUUCUAGAAGGUUCUAUUGUAGAAAGGUACCUUGCAAAAGAAUGUACAACAUUUUAUUCUAGGUACUUGAAUGAUGUGGAAAUAAAGUAUAAUCACAAUGAUAGAAACUUUGUUGGUUUCAACACUAGAGGAGAUGAAAGGGGUUAUCUUUAAACAUAUUGGACAUGCAUUGGGAAAGCCCAUAUUUCAUUAACUUAGUUCAAAAGAGUGGUCACAAGCACAUUUAUAUGUGUUGACAAAUUGCGAAGAUGUCAUACCAUUCAUUGAGUAAAAAAUUUAUUUGAAUUUUAAUUAAAGCUCUAGUUUAUAUCCUUAAUCAAUGUUUUUUAAAUUCACAAGGAGCACAAGCAAACCAUCAAGGCUAGACCACAUAUACGUGUUUGAGACGUAGAUUUAAUUCAUAACAAGGAAUUUAUCAAGUGGUUUGAAAGACAUGUAAGUAUAUUCCUUAUUAUAAGGGAUUUAUUUCACAUUAUGUUUAUAUUGAAUCCAAACCUAUUAUUGAAUUGUAGGUUGAACAAUUACAUAAUGAAGGUCAUAUAUCUGAACACCUUCUCACAUUAUCAUGUGUUCCAAAUUCAUUAGUUACAUGCUUCAAAUGAUAUAUUGUCAAUGGAUUUAGAUCCCACAUUAAAGAACGUGAUAAAAAAGUUUUUAAAAAAAGACUCAGAAUAAUGGAAUUGUUGUAGUUGCAAAAACGUCAAGCUUUACAAGUGCAUGUGAUAUGAGUCCAAUUAUUAGUGAUGCUCUCUACUAUGGUGUUCUAACUAAAGUUGUUGAGUUACAUUAUCUUGGUGAAAAUAAGGUUGUUUUAUUCGAGUUUGAUUGGUGGGAUGUUACAAAUAUUGGAAAAUUGAUAAAAGAUGAUGAGUACAAUUACACAUUUGUUAACUUUGCAUGAAUUCUAACCACGAACGAACGAUUUGUACUUGCAUCUCCAGCAAAGUAAGUGUUCUAUGUGAAGAAUGCGAAUGAAUCAGAUUGGCAUACUAUCAUGGAGAUGCAACCUCAAGACCUCUAUAAGAUGAACGGGAUAGGAUCCAAUGGUGAUUUUGAACCAUUUCAACAAAGUGAACUACAUGAUCACUAAUAUAUCUCAGAUUUAGUUGAUGAAGAUAUAAUCAAGUGGAACAAAAGUGAUGUUUUAGGACUAAUCAUCCUAAAAAAUAUUGUAGUUUCUUAAAAAAAAAAUGAAAAUGAAGAAGAUAAUUGAACCUUUGUCAUACUUUAAAAAGCAACUAUGCAUUGUUCAUUUUGUAUGUUUUGGUUUUCUUCAUUUAAUUUCCUGAUUUUUGUGAUUCAAUGUCAUAUUAUUGAUCUUGAAAUAUUUUUCUAAUUUUUCAUUCUACGAUGGUUUCAACAAGGAUGACAUCAAGUCAAAAAAGGAAAUGUGGUCCCACACACAAUAUUGCAUUACAGGGAUUAAGGUCAGGGAAGAAGGUAAAAGUUGCAUUUAAUGAGUACAAUCAAUUGGUUAAACAGAAAAAUGGAAAACACUUAUCGAGCUACAUAGGGACACUUGUAUCUAACCAACACAAUGUACCUCUCCAAGCUAGUGAUUGGAAAAAUGUUCCAAAUGAUGCAAAAGAGAAAGUAUGGCCUUUGUUUUGGUAUGUUGUAUUUCUCACUAUAUGAUGUCAUUUCACUGUUAUUCUAUUUUGUGACUAACGUUUGAAUCAUAUGUAAGAAAAAUUUGAAGUAGAUAAAGACUGAAAAGAUUACAUGUUGGGUAUAGCCUCAAAUAAAUAUAGAAGCUAUAAAAAUAUGAUGAAUGCAAAAUACUAUGACCCUUGGCAUAAGGAUGCAUGAGGAGAGGUUAAUACAUAAAUCACCAUUUGUCUCUGAUGUUGAUUGGAAGUGGCUUGUCUCUGAUGCAUAAACCAAAUCCCCCACUGAAUGUUUGAUAUUUGAUAGCAGGAAAAACACACCCGCAGCUAUACACCUCCAUCAUUCAGAUAAUUAUAGUGGGGGAGAUGAUUCAUGGUUGCCCUUAUACCCUUUAUUUGCACCAUCUAUUGAGAUUCUUUAUCAUGGCCAGGUUUUACUGCAGCAAUAAGAUAUGGUGGCAACAAUUUUAUCUAUAGGUGCGGUUCCAGACCGCCUCCAUAGGUGCGGUUCCUGACUGCCUCCAUAGGUGCCUCUUCUUGUAAUGUUUGUUCUGGGAAUUACACUUGAAAGCCUUAUCGUGAUAAGGGAUUACAAACACUAGUUCAGAGGACAGCCAUGUUAAACUUCCACUAUGUUUGUGUCACAUUAUCAGCAGCCUAGUGUUUAUUGGUCAUGCUAUCUGCAACUAAUAUAACCCGGUGAACUUCAAUCUAAAUUCUGAAAGUACUCAUGUGACAGAUGGUGCCUUUCAGCAGAUAUCAUCAAUUUAAAAGUAGUGUGUGUGCCUAUAGGUGGGAAGGCCUUGGCAAAUGUUCAGUAUUCCGGUAAUUCAAGAAGGAUAUAUCUAAAAUAGAUUUUCUUCUUGCCCAUUUCAAUAGUUAAAAUUUGAGAAGAUUGUGUCCACAUCACACAAAUAUUAUUGGUCCUUCUGUUGCAAUUUACCUCUGAACAUGUCUUCCAAUUCCCACGGUCCUGUUACUCCAGGAAAACUAUUUCGGUCAUAUUGAAAAAAAAAAUAUUAAAGAAGGUACACAUGCUUUUAAGUGGACUGGGGCAUUCAUAUCAGGUGGUCUGUAUCCACAUAUGCCACUUCGUGAAAGGUGGAACAGCCUAAUCACUAGGCUAUUUAGUGUGGCCCAGCCACGUUAAUCAAGCACAAGUCUUCAUACUUAAAGUCAAAUGGUGUCUUUAGUCUCAUUACACAUCGCUAUUUGAAGAUUAACUCAUCACUAGUGUAAUGCGAUUAAGACAGUCCUAACUCAAUAUUUGUUCUAGUUUUGGAUGCAAAUGCUUGCUGGUUUCAUCAUUGGAUGGGAUAAAGGUGCAAUCAGGACUAUGAAUACGUGCAGUAAUACUUCAUUCUCUUUUUUCUCAAUGAGACUUCUUGGCACAAUUUUGCUGCUCAGCAACCUACCUUUCCAUGGAAAAUCAGUUGUGACUGAUAGUAAUGGAUAUAUUCUAGAAAGCUAAACAUAGAUAGCAUUCAAUAUUAUCGAUAUAACAUUAACAGCGUAUGUCUCAAUGCUCAUCAGCUACAAGCAAUGGACAAACACUUUGAGUAACUCACAGCAGUCAAAAUUCCUAAACAGGACAGACGUGACAGAUCUAUAUAUAGAACACUGCAUAUGAGUCACAGGAAAAGAUAAUACGGGUACAUAGAAGCUCUUAUUUUACAUAUUACUCAUACUGAUCAAAGUCGCUCAGUUGGGAUGGAUGGGAGAAGGAGGUUUGAGGGGUGGCUUGUGCGGGGAAGUUGGCAGCUUCUUUCCGGGAGCUGGUUGCUUCUUUGCUGGAGUUGAAGGAGGCUUAAUCUUCCGAGGUGGCUUGUAUGAGUCUUCAGCAUUCUCAGCAGGAGGGUGACCAGGGUUGUGACCAUAAUGUGGUGGCUUCUCUCCCUUAGGUGGUUUGCCAACUGGGGUUGGUGGCUUGUUUUCUGGGAGUGGCUUCUCUCCCUUGGGUGGUUUGCCAACUGGGGUUGGUGGCUUGUGUUCUGGGAGUGGCUUCUCCCCCUUGGGAGGUUUUUCGAAUGGGGUGGGUUUGUGUCCUGGUGGUGGCUUCUCUCCCUUGGGAGGUUUACCAAUUGGGGUCGGUGGCUUGUGUUCUGGGAGGGGCUUCUCUCCCUGGGGAGGUUUAGUGGGUGGCUUGUGUUCUGGAGGUGGCUUCUCCACCGGAGGCUUAUGCUCUGGUGGUGGCUUCUCGAAGGGGGGAUGCUCAGGGUAAUCACCAAGUGAGGGGGUGGUGAGAACCACCAUGCCAAGCAACAACACUAGCAAGUAUGUAGUAGACAUCUUUGGGUUUGGACUCAGACAGUGCAAAACUACGAGAAAUCGCUAGCCCUUUAUAGCGGCUCGGACCUAAUACUGACAUAAUAUAAAAUAAAUAUUAUAUUUUAUCAAGAGAGAACAGAGUGUAAUUUUAUCAUUAAUACCGAUCGAGGCCAAAGAAAGAAGACCCAUAAUCCAUUUCCCACAAGCAUACACAAUGCAGCUGUAAUUUUAUCAUUUACUUUUAUCCCUUGGACCACUGCAUUUUUGUUGAGAGACACAAUAACACAUUUUUAUCUGUCAUUCAACAUUUACAGUAAAGAGAGGGCACAAAACGCAAUUAGAUAAAUUAUGUUUUGCCUGCUAAAAAGAGGCAAAUAACUUUAUUUGCAACAUAAUUAUUUUGGUUUCUAGUGACCCCGGGGCCUUUCGGUUGGUUUGGGAUCGGAAAAUGAACAUCAUAGGGGGGGUUGUGCCCUUAUGGGCAUAUAUAUCUGAUAGCUUCAACUGGCCUUGUUCCUAGAAAGAAAUUGCCAAAGAUAUAAACUUAUUCCAGGCUGAAAGUAGAUGAGAGUCAUAAUGAACAUCAACCUUUGUUCAGUUUGAUUCAAUGCCCCCAUAGUGUUCAUUUCACAGAUCUGAAUGAUUAUAUCCGUUGAAUACAUAAAUUAAUGAAGACAAAUAUGAAACCCAAGAUACAUCUCUGCAUAACAACCCCAACCCUGGUUGCUAUGUUUCCCUUCUUCUAUUCACAUGAGGAUACUGGUUAUAAUUGUCAAACUUGCAACAAGCCCUUUGACACCUAACGUCAAUGGACGAAUUAAAAGUCUCCUUCAAACGUCUAUUUCACAGCAUGAAGCUUAUAAAGGAUGCUGACAACCUUCAGAGUUAGCGACAAAAGAUAAUUAUCAAGGAGAGAUAGUUCCAUGAGAAUUCCAAGGAGUCUGAAUCAAAGACAAAUUGCUCACUCAAGGGUUCUUAUUUUCUUUUAGGUACAAAUCUCUUGAGUGUUGUUAAAGAAACACGUCACUGUCAUUUUGAUUUGCAUUUAACAUUUCACUUUUGUUCUGGAAGGUUUGUUCCGGAAACAUAUCAAAUGAGCAUCAUUUUCUUCUUCGGUGACACAUGGUCGCGAGUACGUGGGUCCAUUUUCAUGCCACUUAGUUGAAAAGUUGGAAAGAAAAAACAUGCCAACAAGAAGAUAGUGAGAGAAGGGGCACUUCAAGCCUUUAACAUGAACAAACAGUAAAUAAAAGAUGUUUCUCCACUCAUAAAAGUGUGUUAGAUAGCAAUAUAACGAAUCACAUCCAAAAUCUUUACUAGGCUCAAACAUAAAGAAGACUCAUUUUUAAGAAAAGAUAAAAAUGGCAUUGUCUGAUAGUAUCCAAUACACGAGAUGGCACUUAAUUUGUACAAGAUCUGUCAAUGCUGACGCACAUUUUCUGAUUAAAAAAAAACUGAUCAGUCAAAAGCAAUGAAGAGAAGUGAUGACAAUGAAUGAUGCUUCCAAUAUUUUCACCCCUUAUAGUGUUCUUCAUGAUUCAGAUAUAUAAUUGGAAAUAGAACAACCCUAUGCCAUACAUUCGUCUAAGUAUGGUGUCUAAUUUUUUGUGUCAGCGGUUGCGAAUGGAGCGUGCAAAAGUCCAAAUUGGCGUCUCUCCAUUUCCACAUAGGAAGGUGACCUUUAUUGACAAAUACCCAAUAUUUGUAGACAUUCCUUAAAUAUCAUAACUUCUUGUUGAUUUGAAAAUCAUUUUUCAACUACCAUGUUUUAAUAAAUAUUUUUUAAAAUGUAUUUUUAUCAAAGUCCACCAUGAUGGAUAAUAUUCACCAUGCAAUAAUUAAUAAAGUACAAACUAAGCGAAAUGAAAAGCAUUUUCUUUGCUUUGAGUUGAUUUUGGUUGCAUUGAGUUGAUUUUGGUUUCAUGGUUUUUUCAACUCUUAUUUUGAUUGGAAGAUGUCAAGAAAAGAAAACAUAAAGAAAAAUUAAAAGGGAAAAAAGAAGAAAAAUAAAAAAAAAUAGAUUUAAAAGUUAAUAAAUUAUUUUUUAUAUUUAUUUUAAUUCAUUUCACUUAUUUUUCUUUUACUAUAUAAAAUUUAAAUAAUUUAAAUUUUAUAAUUAAUUUAAUUACAUUUCAUUUUCUUCUAUAUUUAAAUAUUGGAAAAAUAUUUUACUUAAUAUUUUUUUCUUUAAUUUCUUUGGCAUUUUGGGAACCAAACUUAGCCUUUAAAAUAAAAAACAAAAAAAAAAUGAAAAUAAGGAGGGAAAAGUGAGAAAAGAUAAAAACAAUAUGUAAAGGAUUUGAAAAGUAUUAGUUUGUAAUUACUAUUUGGAUUUCAAUAGUAUUUUAUUUGUCUUUCUAUAUUUCAUGUAAGAGAGAAUUUAAGAUAUUCCCCAAGGCAAAGCAUUAGUUACCUGCAAUCAGUGGUGAUAAGGCUCCAAGCCAAUUUUGGGCCCCAUAUCUUAAGACAGUACAAUUUCCAUUUCAACAUUUCUGAUUUCUCAGAUGUUUCACAUACCACAGAAGAACAUUGUUUGUGAAAAUAUGCAUUUAUGUUGGAUUUUGUAUGCUGUGGGGACUGGGGCAAGGAUCAUAUGGAAGAGUGGUUGACUUUUUCUGUACUUUAACGGUUGAAAUAGGAUAAGCACGGGCAUUUGUGAGGCUUAAUUGAUUUUGAAGCCUGAAAUUGCGUUUCUGUCAUUUUGUCAAAAAAAUGGCAGAUUCCAUACUCAUAUGUUUGGCCUGUGGCCAUGUACAGAUGCCAUUUAGUGACCAGUUUGUAACUGUCAAUCGUUGCGUUUUGACUCUGCCUCAACAACAUCUGCCAUUGACGGGUUUUCAUACUUGCAAAUCAAAUAGUCUUUCGUCCCAUCAGGAAUUUCGGUUUAAAUAUUAUUAAGCAUACGUUUGGCUGACAAUCAUUAUCCAGUUCAUGAUUUGGUUUCUUACCCUUAAUCAAUGGUUUCUAAGUGAAUAUAUGUAGAAGGAAAUCCGAAGUGUAGACAGUAGUAUCGAUAACUCUCAAUAUUCUCUAUAUAAUAGAAUAAACAGCGUCAUAGUGAUCGUCGCCUACAAGCAAGGUACAAAUACCAAAACGAGUGACUCACAUAGACAUCUCCCAACAAGAUGUAGUAGUGACUGACACAUGGACACAAUUAACUCGUAGAAAAGGAUAAGACCAUUGCACAGCAGCUCUUAUUUUACAUACUACUUAUGCUAACCAAAGUCAAUUAGUUGGGAUGGGUGGGAGAUGGAGGUUUGUGCGGUGGCUUGUGGGGCGGAGUUGAUGGCUUCUUUCCAGGAGCUUCUGGCUUUUUCAUCGGAGCUGAAGGAGGCUCAAUCUUAUGAGGCGGCUUGUAUGAGUCUUCUUUACUCUCGACAGGAGGGUGGCCAGGGUUGUGAUCAUAAUGUGGUGGCUUCUCUCCCUUAGGUGGCUUGCCAACUGGGGUUGGUGGCUUGUGUUCAGGAAGUGGUUUCUCUCCCAUGGGAGGUUUAGCAAUUGGGGUUGGUGGCUUGUGUUCUGGGAGUGGCUUCUCUCCCUUGGGAGGUUUAGUAGGUGACUUGUGUUCUGGAGGUGGCUUCUCCACCGGAGGCUUGUGCUCCGGUGGUGGCUUCUUGGUUGGAGGGGGCUUGGGGUAAUCAGCAAGAGAUGGGGUGGUGAGAACCACCAGUCCAAGGAACAACACUAGCAAGUAUGUGGGAGACAUUUUUGAGUUUGGGCUGAUCAGAUGAUGCAAAACUAAAGCAUUACGUGACCUUUUAUAGCAUGUAGCUCCCAAUACCCACUAAGUAUUGUGGGGUCCAUUUGUGCCCUACGGGGUUGAAAACUUAGACAAUUGGGCAAGGACCCACCUGACUAUGGAGGACUAGUGAGGUGUGAUCAUAGCUUUAGGAUUUUUCUUCCUCUGCAGCCGUCGUGCCGUUGGCAUGAUUUUCUUAAUCUUAAAUAAAGGCAUAGUUAUAGAGUUGUUUAAUCUCUAAAUGGGAUUUUAUAUAUAUCUUCAGAUAGCCAUUAAUAUAUUUGAUGAAGAAAGAAAGACAAGUGCAUACAACAUGUAUACGACUAGCUUUCAUGGAGUUCAUUUAUGAUCAGUUUUCCUGUACAUGUAAACCAGGAUCAUAUAUAUGUUUCUGUUCCACAACUAUUUUGGAAUCUUGUUUAUCAGUUUUUAUCAUUAUAAUGUCACAUAGGCUGCCAACUUGGGCGCUAAAAGAACCAGUUGGGCUAGUUCGUUUCAGAAUUUCAAUGUGGAUUCAGGAAUUGUUUUGUAAGAUAUGCGAAAUAGUAGAGGGAUGAAUAGUGUUUCAUUAAUAAAAGUGUCCUGUAAAUUAGAAGGUGUCAUAGAAACUAUAAUCAAUAAAUAACUUUUUUUCCCCACGGGUGGUGUUUCUUGUGGGGAUCAGUGACUGGUUUAGGUUCACCCAAAAUGAGUUCAGACUAAAAUUGGUUUGAGUCAAUGCCGUGUCUCUUUUUUCCAGAAAUCAACUAUUUUAUGCAUUGAAUAAAUCAUACAAAGAAAAUAUGAACGCCCGCAAAACCUAAACCCUGGUUGCUAACUUUCUAUGUUUCAGUUCUAUUCACGCAAGAAUAUUAGUUUAAGUUUGGGAAAAAUGGCAACUUACCUAGUGAUUACUUGGUUUUGGUUUGCGACUAUUUACGCAACCAACCAUGAGUUUGACUUUAACGUCAUGGGUUGAAGCCUCCUACAGGAAGGGAGAAAGCUCCACAGCUAGCUCCAAAAGAGAAUUAUCACAUUGAUAGCUCCAGAGAUUCCCAAGGGGACUGAAUCAAAGACAAGUUCCUCACUUUUUCUUCUUUUGAGGCCAAAUAUGAACCAAGGAUCACACAACCUCAUUCAACUUCAUAAGUUUGAUUUCAUGCAGUUGAACACUGGGUGAAGGCCAUGACAAGAAUUGAUUCAAAAAUUCUAUCACUCUUUUAAGUAAUGGAAGAUUAUUAUCUCUGAUUGGCAUCACAACAGCACAUGCUCCUAGAUCUUUCUAGACACUCCAUGCAAUGAAAGCACAAUGGAUCUUGUAACGAUAGAAACUAAGCCAUGCUACAGUACUAGAUGAUGAGGUAAAACUAGUAGACACGGGUGGCAGCCUAUAUGGGAGGGACACAAGUCUAAUUGAUUUGCAUUUCAGCAUUAUAGAUAGGUAUGUUUUGGAAGAUUUGUUCUGGAAAUACCGCACCAAGUAGGAUUCUUUUUCUCUUUAGUGGGUCCACUUGCAUGCCAAUUAACGAGUUGAAAAGUAUGAGCACCUACCUCGUGCUCGUGGAACCGAAGGUCAGUGAAGUGGGGCUCCUUUUGGCCUCGUGUAAACUUGAUUCAGAAGUGAAGUUAAUAGUCUUCCAUUCAGAUGGAUACAUGGGAAUUUUUCUCUUUUAUUUAUUUAUUUAUUUUUUUUUUGUGUGUGUAUGUCAAAGGAUAAUGAAUGAAGCGCGUUAGCUUGUUUUCUGACUGGAACCGCAGAUGUCCAAAUUGGAGUUCCUUCAUUUCUUACUUAGGAUUGUUACAUGUAUAAACAAGGUAUAAGAAAUAUGCCAACGUGUCUUGAGGAGUUAUUGAUUAGAAAUAACAAGUCACCCGACUGUAGAGUUCCAAGAUUUGAAUCUUCAGACCCUAUAGCAGCCUCUGGGGUACGUGGCAUCCUAUAGCAUAUUAAUGAAGGCUUUUUCGAUUUAGACUUCACAAUACCAAUUAAUAUGUAUGCACAAAAUGGAGAUGACCCCAAAAAAAACAGAAUCGCCAUAGUUUAUGAGGUUAAGGUGAUUCUCCACUUAAUAUCUACAUUAGCUAAUUAUGUAAAUCAAAUGAACUUCUAUUUUUCCUUUUUUUUUUUGGUUUAUGUCAAAUAGUAGCCCAUAAUUAACCCAACCAUUAGCCUGUUUGAAUUGAUUUCACAUGCACAAUGUUGUAGUAGUUCAUAUUUUGAAUUUUAUUUUUACAAAGGUAGUUAAGGAAAAUGAAGUAUAAUAAUUAUAAAAGCAGACUAUAUACACUACAAUAAUUGUUAGAAUGGUAUCUCAAAUUCUAAUUUAAAAUAUUAUUUUUUGUAAAAGAAAUAUUAUAUAGAAUAUUUCCUAAUUUUAUAAAUGAUUAUAAUUAGAUCUUUAUAAAAUAAGGAAAGUUGGUAAGAAUAUCUUUAUAAAUAUUUUAGGUCAUGAGAGAAAGAAAUGGGAUAAAAAUGUGAUGAAGAGGUGAAAUAAGAGAGUUGAUUAGGAUAUAGAUGUGAAGAAGAAAGGGAUUCAAUAUAUAUAUAUCUUUCAAUUACCACAUUAAAACCCUGUGAACCUUUUAUAUGGUUUACUUUAUUUUUAUAUUCCUCCUUUAAUAUAUUUACAUUAAUGCUUCCAUUGGCACAACAAUAACGAAUUACAAAUACAAGCAACAAGUCCCAUGUUUUAUUACCAAAAGCAGGUAAAAUCCACCUAAUAUAUUACAAUAUAUUCAUCCAAUAUUUUAGACCAAUUCUUCACCAUAAAUAUCAUAAUGUGGCUUUUGUUCUUUCUUAAAUUUAAAUUGAAUUGUCUUAUAUCAAUUUGUUUGUGAUUUUUUCAUUAACUUCACUUUCAUUUGGUUAUCUUUGGUUUUUGAAAAGUAUUAAGGAAUUAAUUAACAAAAUAAUGUUAAGAAAAAUAAUUUUCUCUCUUUUGAUUUUGAUUUUGUAGUAGAAAAAUAUAAUUAAAAUUAUUUAAAAAGUAUGUAAUUUUAAAUUAUUUAAUAUUUAGAUAAAAAAAAUAAGUCUAAUGAGUUUAAAAUAACAUAUAAAAAUAAUUUAUUUAUUUUAAAUUUAUUUUUUAUUUUCCAUUAUGUUCUCUUUCUCUUUUACUUUUUCAUAUUUUUUCUUACGAAGAAUCAAACACAACCUCAUAUUAUAUGUCAAGUGUUUGUCUAUAUUUGAGCAAUGUUAGAUACGGCCAUGGAUUCAUCAAACUAAACUGAUUUUAAUAGAUACUUCACAAAUUGAUUUAUACACUAAAUCAUUGGAUAGCAAUGAUGCAUUGGAAUUAAACGUAGGAUGAAGCUCGAAGAACACUGUUUGUGUAACAACAUAUUUAUGAAAUUAUGCAAAGGAUGAGCUUCGGGGUAGUAGUACAAGGUCAUUAAUGGAGAGCCGUGUUAAACCUUGAUUGUGAUUGGAUUCCGUUAUCAGCAACAGCAACCUUGUUUGUAACCUUGAAAGUCAUUCUGUCCACAUCGAAACUCCAAUUUGACGUUUGUAAUUACCAUUCCUGGAGUGUUCCUUGAUUGAAAUUUAAAUAAUAAUUGCGGCCCACAAGGAAUAUUUUCGAUUCUGUGGGAAUUUGACAAGGUUUGUUAGAGAAGACUGGUGACAUGUUGACUUCAAUGGUUCAAAUAGGAGACGUAUGUGGAUUUGGGGGGUUUAAUUGAAACUGAGUCCCUAUGGCUUUUUAAUAUUUGCAUUGAGCAGUCUCCAUGUGACUUCCUAAUUCCCACCAACCCUCCUGUCCAUGCUGUGAAACUAAAUUGUAAUUUAUCAGCCUUUGUCAAUGGUUUCUAAAUUAAAGAUAUAGACCAUGCAUGUACUUUAAUAAAAGCAAAUCUAAAGUGUAGAUAGCAGCAAUGGUGACACCCAAUAUUCUCCAUAAAAUAGAAUUAGAAUAAGCAGUGUUACAUUGUUCAUGAUCACCUACAAGCAUACAAGAACUUCCAUGAAUAACUCAUAGCAAUUGCCAACAGGGCGUCGUAGAGACUCAUACAUAGAACACUAUCCACCCAGAGGAAAGGACAAGACCAGUGCGCUGCAGCUCUUAUUUUUCACAUGUAUACCACCACUCGUAAUAACCAAAUUCACUCAGUUGGGAUAGGUGGGAGAUGGUGGUUUGUGGGGUGGCUUGUGGGGAGGAGUUGGAGGAGGCUUUAUUUUCUGAGGCGGCUUGUAUGAGUGUGCAGGAGGAUGCCCGGGAGUGUGACCAUAAUGUGGUGGCUUCUCUCCCGUAGGUGGUUUGCCAAAUGGGCUUGGUGGCUUCUCUCCCUUAGGAGGUUUACCAAUUGGGGUUGGUGGCUUGUGUUCUGGGAGUGGUUUCUCUCCCUUGGUAGGUUUGCCAAUUGGGGUUGGCGGCUUAUGUUCUGGGAGUGGCUUCUCUCCCUUGGGAGGUUUGCUAAUUGGGGUUGGCGGCUUAUGUUCUGGGGGCGGCUUCUCUCCCUUGGGAGGUUUGCCAAUUGGAGUUGGCGGCUUAUGUUCUGGGAGUGGCUUUUCUCCCUUGGGAGGCUUGCCAAUUGGGGUUGGCGGCUUAUGUUCUGGGGGUGGCUUCUCUCCUUUAGGAGGUUUGCCAAUUGGAGUCGGCGGCUUAUGUUCUGGAAGUGGCUUUUUUCCCUUGGGAGGUUUGCCAAUUGGGGUUGGCGGCUUAUGUUCUGGGGGUGGCUUCUCUCCCUUGGGAGGUUUGCCAAUUGGAGUCGGCGGCUUAUGUUCUGGGAGUGGCUUCUCUCCCUUGGGAGGUUUUGUUGGUGGCUUGUGUUCUGGAGAUGGCUUCUCCCCUGGAGGCUUGUGCUCCGGAGGUGGCUUCUGAAAUGGCGGGGGCUUGGGGUAAUGAGCAAGAGAUGGAGUACUGGUGAGAACCACCAUUCCAAGCAACAAUACUAGCAA